rnacentral:lncRNA from 1 species
UAAAACCCACUACGUCUCAAUCUCAUUCCAAAAAUCCACCUAUCCAUCACUGCAACGAUGUCUGCCCAUAUCAUAGUGUUCCCUUUUUUUGGGCAAGGCCAUCUCCUCCCUUGCAUUGAGCUCUGCAGACACCUCGCCUCCCGCACCUUCAACACCACCCUCAUCAUCUCCUCCAAUCUCUCCUCCUCCAUCCCCUCCGAUCUCCGCCGUAUUCCUCUCUUCCACAUCUUUGAGAUCUCAUCCUCAUUACCUCCUCCUCCUCCGCCAUCGUCGCCCUCCCCGGAUUCCGAUCCCAUGAGCCACCACCAUCCCCACCACCAGCAGAUGGGUACGGCCAUCGAAUCCCUCCUCUCUUCCAGAUCCACAUCCCCAGACUACGUCCCACCCCUCUGUGCCAUAAUCGAUGUGAUGAUGAGCUGGAGCAAAGAUAUUUUUCAUAAGUUUAACAUCCCAGUCGUUUCUUUCUUCACCUCCGGUGCCUGCUCCGCUGCCAUGGAGUACGCCUCCUGGAAAGCCGGCGCCUUUAACAUCAAGCCCGGCGAAGUCCUACCCCUUCCCGGCCUACCCGAAGACAUGGCCUUGACUUACUCCGACCUUCAACGCGGCCCUCACGGUCCUCCUGGCGGCCCACCUGGACCCCCCGGUUCAGGAGGCCCACCUGGACCACCCGGUGCAAGAGGACCACCACGGUCGGGUCCCAAGUUCGGGGGGCCACCCAAACCGGGGCACCAGCCACCGUGGGUCGACGAGACAGCGGGCUCGAUCGCGCUUAUGAUCAACACGUGUGACGACCUGGAGCGUCCGUUCAUCGAGUACGUGGCCCACCAAACCGGAAUCCCGGUCUGGGGUGUGGGCCCGCUUUUGCCAGAUCAGUACUGGAAGUCAUCCGGUUCGCUCCUCCACGAUCGGGACAUCCGACCCAACAAGAAAUCCAGCUGCACUGAGGAGGAGGUGAUCCAGUGGCUAGACUCCAAGCCCCGUGGAUCCGUCCUGUACGUGUCAUUCGGAAGCGAGGUAGGUCCUACCAUGGAGGGCUACGCCCAACUGGCGCUUGCAUUAGAAGCCUCGAACCGGCCAUUCAUCUGGGUGAUCCAACCCGGUUCAGGCCGGCCAGGUCCACCUCGACGACCGGGUUCAGACUCAAACGAAGACAGCGGAUACUACCCAGAUGGAUUGGAGGAGAAAGUAGGAAAAAGAGGUCUGAUAAUACGUGGGUGGGCACCACAACUGUUGAUACUGAGUCACCCAUCGACAGGUGGAUUUCUAUCACACUGUGGAUGGAACUCCACUGUGGAGGCAAUAGGGCGUGGAGUGCCCUUUUUGGCUUGGCCAAUCCGUGGAGACCAGUACUCCGAUGCGAUGCUAGUGGUGAAACAUCUCAAAAUUGGGUACAUGGUGUUUGCUAAAGAUGCUUCUGAAAAUAUCGUAAAAGAGGCCAUAGUUGACGGAAUAGAGAAGGUGAUGAGUGAUAAAGACAUGAAGAAAAGGGCGGAGACGAUAAGUGGUAAGUUUGGGAAUGGGUUUCCGGCGACUUCGGCUGCUGCUUUGGAUGCUUUUAGGGAUUUUAUCAACCAAAGGGCUCCAUAAGCACUUAUAAUUAAUGUGUCAUCCAUCCAUACACCUUUUUUUUUUUUUUUUUUUAAUGUAUUUACAUAUCAUGUAUCAUGGAGGCCUAACAUAUUAACAUUACGAUCUUAUAAGCUUUAGUCUCAAUUUUUGCACUUUGAUGAUAUUACUAAAAGGAGGCCCGGUAUAAUAAUAAUUUAUCUUUUAGUUUUUUAUUUAGGUGUUUGAUAAAAUUUAAUAAAGUGAUUUCAAGUUAAUUUAUUAACUUAAAAUUUAUUAUUUAAUUUUUAUUUUGAGUACUAAAGUUAUUUGAUAAAAUCAACUUAAAAUUUAUUCUAAAUUAUUAAAUUGAUAUAUUAAUUUUUCAUAAAUUAUAAUUAAGAUAAAUAAGAUCAAAAUAACAAUAAAUGUCGUGGAAUAGUAAAGAAAAUCAUGAAAAUAAUAAGGAAUGUUUUGAAUCCAACUCACCUACCACUUUAAUGGAUAAACAUCCCAACCCUUGCAACAUACUAUAACCCCAAGUGGUAAAGAGCUGACAUCAGUAUGCCAAACCUUCUCAUUGAUGUGAGCUCUUGGAGAAAGAUUAGUAUGUUAUCCUUAAAAUAACUUUUAUUUAUUAAGCAAUGACCCUUCCAUUUGACAUAAUCGAAAUCACUAAGGCUAACUUUUGUCCCUACUUGAUGAGUGAGUCUCGUAAUUAAGCUCCUUUCUACCUUUGUACUUGAGGGUCAAUCUCCAUUCAAUUAGAGGAAACCUUUGCACGCCUUUGUUAUCUUUUAGAAAGUAUAGGAUAAAAAUAUAAAAUGAAGAUAUAGAUUUAAAAAUAAAUUAAUUAUUUUUACUUAUUAUUUAAAUUUAUUUUUUAUCUUAAAUCAUACCAUUCAAUUAUUUUAUCAUAAAUACUUGACAAUAGCAUGCAACCCCAGAUGAAACAAAGAGUCCAUGCCUGAAGGGCCUAAAUUCUAUUUUUAUUUCCAAGCGGGACCCACUAAAAUAAAAGUAUAUACGACAUCUUAUCAUUAAGACAAAUUAUUAAAGAUUAAUUAAAAUUCAACAAAAAGAUUCAAUACAACUUUUUAUUAUCAUAAUUCUGAUGCUAAAAAAAUGAAAUGUUAUAAAAAACAAUCAUCCAAAAAUUUUAAAUAUACUGCUCAUUUUGGGAUUAGGAUUGUUGUUUUCAAGUAAAGAAGAUGAGGGCAAUGUUAUAAUUUCACAUGUUAUAUUUGUAUUUUAUUUUUUCAUAGUUUUUAUGAUAAAAGUAAAUAUAAAAAAAUAAUUUUUUUUAAUAUACUUAUGGAAGUUAUUGAAAAUAUGUGAAAUUAAAAUCAUUAAAUGAAAGUAAAAACUUAGAAAAUUAAAAUAAAAAAUGAAAUCAAAUUAUAAAGCAAUGGGAUUAAAGUUGAAAAAAAAAUAUAAUAAUAAUAAUAAUAACAUGUACAAAACAAUAAAAAUCAGAUGCAUCGCCUAAUCAGGAGUAGAGAUUAGGUGUAGAGAAAACGUAACUAAUGGUGUUGGGAGUUAUAUGGAUUGUUAAGUUAUUAAUGAAGAAUAUUUGGAAGUUAUCGGUAUAUAUUUAUAAUUAUAGUUAUAUUUAUAAGAAAAGAAAUAAAAUAACUGAUUUAAUUAAGAUAUAUCUUAAGUUGUUUUUUUUAAUCUUAAAUUGUACUAUUAAAUUAUUUUAUUAAACAUAUUUAAUUUAUUUAAUAAUUUAAAUUAAAUUAUUAAAUUACUUUAAGUUAUUAAAUUGGUUUACCGACAUUAGAUAACUUAAUGAUUAACCUUCAAAUAAUUUAUGACAAUAGCAUGCAACCGGGGAUGAAACAAAGAGUCCAUGCUUGAAGGGGCUAAAUUCUAUUUUUAUUUUCAAGCUGGACCCACUAAAAUAAAAGUAUAGAUGACAUCUUAUCAUUAAGAUAAAAUAUUAAAGAUUAAUUAAAAUUCAACAAAAAGAUUCAAUACAACUUUAUAUUAUUAUAAUUCUGACGCUAAAAAAAUGAAAUGUUAUAAAAAAUAAUCAUUGAAAAUUUUAAAUAUACUGUCGGUUACAAAUAUUAUUAAAAGUAACAUGUAAUUAUCAAAAUGGAUAUGAAUUUUUUUUAAAAUUUAAACAAUUUCUUUAUUCCACUAUAUAAACCAAGCUUUAAUUAAAUAAAUUACUAUCUUAUUUAAAACCCAAUUCAUAGUAGUUUCCUUUCUAUUUUUUUUAAAUAUAAUAUUUAUAUUUUUAUACUUUAACUAAAUUCAAGUAAACUUGAUAUUAAUAAUUUUUUUGUAAUUUAUAUUUUCCCGAUGAGCAUAUAUAAAGGAAAAUUAUAAAUACAUUCACCUAAACUCUUUUCACAUCUACCCUAUUGGCACACUCGCUUAAAAACUUCUAAAUAUGUCCACCCUACAAUUUUUAAAAACCCAAAAGACCCUUCCCAUUAUUCUCUCUAAACCCAUCUUUUUCCUUUAUCCCUCAACUACAAACCCUUAUUACAAAUCAUCAUGUUUGAAGUUUAUUUAAUAUUAGAAGCCUAUUGUAACCAUGGUCAUAACUAAUUUUUGAUAAAAAAUAAAAAAAUAAAAACAAAAAAAACAUGUUAAAAUGGUUGAAAAACAAUUUGGAAGGAUGUAUGUGUAAUUUAAAAGUGAGAAAUCAUGAAUGGCUGAUGUAAAUGAAGGAUAAAAAAAUAAAUAAAAAAAUUGACCCCGUGAUAUCCAAGAAGGUCUAACAUAAUUGAGAUAUUCAAUCCUUUAAUUCCAAACAUCUCAACUAUGUUUGGUUGGUGAGUGUUAGACAUUUAAGCUAGGACCUAACAUCAUGGUUCCAUUUUUUUUUUUUUUUUGGUUGUUGAAUGGUACCUUGAGGGAUUUCAUCAUGGGGCAUUUAUAAACUCACUAAAAUAAAAGAUAAUGAAAAAGUAUAUGUAAAAAAAAUCGUAAAAGAAAAAAGAUUACUACACAACAUAAUAAACAAAUAAAUCAUGAUGACCUUUGAAAAAUGGCCUUUCACCUGUUUCAAAAUUGAUUUCAAAAUCCAUUAGAUUAUUUGGAAUCAUUUUUCAUUUACUUUUACUAAACAGUAGCCAAAAGUAAAUUACAAACGAACUCUCAAUAUGGAGUGACAUUUAACAAAGACACCAGCUGUAGACCCCCAUUUAGGCAUGGGUCACUCUUUCUCUAUUUGUUUUGCAGAUCACAUUUUUAGCCAGGUGUCGCUAUCCCAGCGGGCCACGUGUCGCAUCCUUAGUGGCCAUAAGGAUUUUGAAGCUGCAGAAGGAGUGAGACAGAAAAGGUGGUGACCGAAAAGAUGGCAGAAAAGGCAGUUGCAGGGAGGCGAGACAGAAAAAAGGUGGCAGAAAAGGCGGCUGCAGCAGAGAUCGUUGGGAAGGCAAAUCCGAGAUAGAGAGAAAGGAAGAAAAAUGAGAGGACUAGGAAAGGAGAAGGAGAAGACAACAUUGUGGGGAACGGAGGAGUUUUUUUAGUUUUUUUGAGAAUUUUGAGGGAAAGAGAUGGGGGUUUGAAUUGGAGCAGGAAGCUAAGAACAGAGGAGCGCAGAGUUGCUGGGAAGAGUCCAGGACACGGAGCUGAGAAGGGAGAUUUCCAGGUAUGACCAUUUGUUUUUUUAUGCAUAUUUUCCAUUUUUUUCAUAUUGUCCAAGCCUGAUCAUCAGUGAUUUUUCAUGUCUGCUUGUUGGGUUGUUCUGUUUUGGUGAUUACUGAUUAAAUGUUGGAAGAGUUUGUUGUGUUUUAUGCCCUAUUCUGACAAGUAUUUUCAAUCGUAACUCACUGGAUGUUGGACCCAUGGAUGAAACGAUGAAAUGGGUCUGAUAUGCUGGUUAAAGUCUUCAUUUUCUUCUUCUUGUUGCUAUCCUGUUAUCUCCUAGUUUUCCUUUCCUCCCUGAGUGCACUCAUGCAAGCGUGUCGUCAUCUCAUCCCCAUGUUUUUUUUUCCUUUAUCCGCCAUACCCAUCAUUCGUCUAUACACCUCUCUCUCUAGGUCGUCAUACCCAUUUCCUCACUCAAGCUUGCAGGAAUCAGGCAUCCUCCACUGCACCCAUUUUCCUCUCAUUCAUUCUCCAUCCCACUCCCCCACUUACAUGGAAUCUCAAGAGUGCAUGCUAUCCUUCACUCUUUCGCAUACCCGUUAAAACCACUCACCCAAGCCUCCAUAUCCAUACGAUCCACCAAACCCGUUUCUCUCUCUAAACUUUCACCUACCUGUGGGAUCCUCCCUAAAAAAAUGACACGUGGCUCUCUCUCCCUUGCACGUGGUCGGCCCCCUCGCGAUGCGUGACAUAGCUCAUUCCAUCCGGGUGUCCCACACCCGGAAUUCCUCUCCACUGCCAUUCCAUUCGGGUGUCUCACACCCGGAAUCCUUCUCCGCCGCCAUUCCAUCCGGGUGUCUCACACCCGGAAUUCCUCUCCGUCGCCAUUCCAUCCGGGUGUCUCACACCCGGAAUCCUUCUCCGCCACCAUUCCAUCCGGGUGUCUCACACCCGGAAUUCUUUUCCGCCGCCAUUCCAUCCGGGUGUCUCACACUCAGAAUUCUUCUCCGUCGCCAUUCCAUCCAGGUGCCUCACACCCGGAAUUCAUCUCCACCGCCAUUCUACCCGGAUGUCUCACAUCCGGAAUUCUACCCCGUCGACGUUCCACCUUCCUCGGAUAUCUCGCAUCCGGAAUCCUGUCCGUCGACGUUCCACCUUUUUCUCCAUCCUUUGAGCAUUUUCUUGAGGUUCCCAAGAUCCCAUCUUCAAUAAACUUGGCCACCAUUUUCUUCUUGGCGAGCAACUUUCGAUUUUUUUUCGUGUUUUUAAAAUGAUUUAAAAUAAGCGUGAAUUUAAAUCCUGUAAUUCCAAACGAUAAAGUUUAUAGAAUUAAUUCAUGCAAAAUAAACGGGCUUCGAUGGGGGCCCUGCAUAUGAGAUUUCAUGAUUGAUUGACUGAUUGAUUGAUUCAUUAGUUAUAUGUGAUUGAUUCACUAUGUUCCUUGAUAUACAUAUAAUCAUUCUGUGUUUAUUCACUAACCCCAUUCCAUGACAGCGCGUUGCUGUUUGCUGCCCAGGUACGCAUUCACUCAUUCUGAUCAUUCACUAUACACAUUUUGAUUCCCAUAUGUGCAUAAUCAAUUCGGGUAUUCAUUGAUUUCCUUAGUUAUAUGCAUAUGAGAUUUCAUGAUUGAUUGACUGAUUGAUUGAUUCAUUAGUUAUAUGUGAUUGAUUCACUAUGUUCCUUGAUAUACAUAUAAUCAUUCUGUGUUUAUUCACUAACCCCAUUCCAUGAUAGCGCGUUGCUGUUUGCUGCCCAGGUACGCAUUCACUCAUUCUGAUCAUUCACUAUACACAUUUUGAUUCCCAUAUGUGCAUAAUCAAUUCGGGUAUUCAUUGAUUUCCUUAUCAGAUGCCAUGAUUGCUUCAUUUUAUUAGUAGAGACCCAUUUUAAGGACUUAGAGGGGGUGCUACGGUCUUUAUCGUACCUUCCCGAUAAGUAACCUGACCCCCGAACCCAACCCGAUUUUUCACAGAUCACCUUUUCCAAAUAAGGAGUCACACUUAGGGUUUUCUUUCUUAUUUUGUUUACCCUUUAAAAAAUAAAACAAAAAUAAGUAGCGACUCCAAGUCAUUUUUUUUAACCAAUUAAAUCUUUUUUUCGAAAUAAAAAUCGAGCUUCACCAUCGAGUGGAAAACGCAUUGAGCCGAAAUGCAGGGCCCACACCAGCACAAAGAAAAACAACUUGGGAGUUUGAAAAAGCAUUUGACGAUGGAAUUCUACAAAGCCAGACUAAGAAGCAGCUUAUGAUGUAAUGCAUUCAACUUGGAUUUUACUGUGAGAUUGGUGAGGGCAUAAAAAUUAAACACUCACCUGCUCAUGAGCCACAGCUUGUUAGACCUCCAUUCUCAUCCGGUUAUUGAUCCAUGUAUGCUGAUUAUGUUGGGAAAUUCAUCUAUAGAACUCAGCUUCUCCAGGAUCAACCUCUCUUGCUUGGCAUCUAUGUUAUAAUGUAGUUAAGAUUUCACACGCUAUCUCAUUGAAAUAAAAUUAAAGUAGGCCAUGUAUAUGAGCAUCAUAUCUCCAUUAACAAUCUAGCUUAACUAUGGACACAGAUUGUGAGGAUACAUUCCUGAUCAGGAUUCUCAGUGAAAUUGGAGUGUAGGGCAUUCUCGACAUUGUCCACAAUGGUUGAGGUGGUCAUGGAUGAUUCAAUGCAGAGAAUGGCUGUGAUGGCAUCUAGUCUGGUGACCUCAUUUCUGAACAUCAGUCCUGCAUGUGCUGCAACAUUACCAGAGUUACUAGAGCAUCAUAUAAGUAGGAAGGUUGCGUUGGAAAGUCCAUGGAGGGCGAGAUACCUUGGGCUAACCGUAUCAAGCUUUCUAGCAUGCGCACAGUUGUUCGUUCUGCAUUACUUGAAUUAGUGUUCAUCACAUUAACCAUAAUUGGGGAAAUAAACAAGAGAAGAGAUUCAAAUUGGAAACCUCUCAUUAACCAUAAUUCCAAUACCAAGGUAAUCCAAAGCUAGAGGAGCAUCAAAUCAAGUAUCCAAGCAUUUGUCCAUAUAAACUACAGUGAUAGAUGUUAAGAUAGCACCCACUGUUCAUCUCCUCCUAAAACUAUGUUUAUGGAUGUCGAUGCCACUAUAGGUCUUUUAUUGUUUGUUUGUUGUUCUUUCAUAGUUAUUCUCAGCGUGCAAAUUGAUUCUUUUGGUACUAUGUCAUUAUACUACACUGUCAAAGGAUGUUAGGGUUUACAGAAUAAGGAACACAAAGGGAGAAGAUAAAACAGAAGUAAAUGGAAGCUCACUGCUGACAAAUGCAGUGCCCUUAAAAAUUCCAAAACUGAAAGCUAAUCCAUUGGUACAUCAGGAUGAGACAAGAGCACUGCUCACAAGUGAGAUAGGAGCACAAAACAAAGGCAAAUUCCAAAAGGACUAGCAUAAGGACCCAUCAAAUGGAUAGGUGAUAUAUGAUAGCACUAUGGAAAUAUCUUCAUCAAAGAAAACUGGUGAUCAUAAUCUUCCAAACCACAACAAAACAUGCCACUAUAUUAACUUAUACCAUUAAUAUAAUACAUGCCUAUAUUUAGUCCGACAUAGUAUUGAUAUGAGCGUAAGUGGGCAAAGACAUAAUUCCAGAUUAUAGUGCAGUCCAUACAGAUAUGUUAGCAGGCCUCUCAAAGUGGUGUUAAGGAGAUGUGUUUAUACAAAAACCAAACAUGCCAAGCUAGAUUUUAGUUAUGCUACAGUGCAAAACACUUAUAAAAGAUUUUACCUCCUAAGUAAAGGAAGUGGCCAGAUAUUUGCUAGAUUUUCAUCACGCCUGUCUUUCUCUGAUUCUUUAGGCUAAUCAAUUUCACAAAAUAAAUAAAUCAAUAAAAUUCAAAAUUUAAAAAUUUAAAUUUUUUUUUUUAAAAAAAACUAUUUUUCAAAUGCCUCGUGAAGAUUAGGGAGCUAAUGUAUCAAUUUUAAUGAUAUAUUACCACAGAAAGAAUGUGAGAAGAGACAACUGCAUCCCAUUCUGGGUUCUUUGUAGAGGUGUCCAUUGGGUCGGGUCGCCCAUUUUGGCCCGUGGCACGACCUGACAUUGUAGCAGCUAGGCCAGCACGACCCAAAAGGAGCGAGCCAUGCUGGGCCUAAAGAAACAGCCUGCGCUACCCGCCGUGCCCACUGUGCCGCCCACUUGGCCCUUUUAAAUUUAAUUUAUUUCAUUUCCUUUUAUAUUGAAUAAAAAAUUAUUUUUUUAUAUUUCAUUUCCUUUUAUAUUCCAUUAUUUUAAAUUUAUUUUUAUUUUGAUAAAAAAAUAAACAAAUUCAAAUGUAAUUUUUUUUUUUACUAUUUUUAAAAACAAAAAACUAACAUUUCUAUAAAUUUUACAACUACAAACUCGAUAAAUAUAAAUGUAAAAACUAAAAAGUAUAAUUAUUAGAGGUGUAUAAAAAAUAAAAAAUAUAAUUAUUAGAGGUAUUUAAAGUAACAAAAAGAAAUUUUAUUUAAUAAUGAAAAAAACUUAAGAAAAAAUGACUUAAAAAAUUAAAUUAAAAUUUUUAACAAAGUGGAUGGCCCAUGGGCCAUGGCCCACCAGCAUGACUCAUCGUCACGACCCGCCGGCCCGACACGAUUUGCCCACGGACUUAUGGGCUAUGCCAUGCCACCUCUUUUCCUUACAUGGGUUGGCCUGGCCCAGCACACUUUAUAAGUGAGACGUGCUAGCCCGGCACGUUGGCCCGUAAUGGCCCGGUCAAUAUCGGGCUGUGCCGACCCAGCACGGCCCAUUGGACACCUUUAGUUCUUUGUAUCCAAGAGGACAAGAACUAUAUCAAAUCUGCUCAAUAAGGGUCCAAACAGUGUUGUAUUAACACAGAGAGCUAAAUUGGGUUAAGAAAUAUUUCAAUAUCACCAAGGAUUGAAAAAUCGGAAAAUGUCGCCGAUAUUUCGGAGAAAUAUCAGAUAUCGGGCGGCACCGAAACGAUAAUCGGCACCGAUUAUCAAUCGACGGAAAAAUCGGCCAGAAAUCGCGAUAAAUCGGCGAUUUUUUGAAGCUCCCAUGCUUUUGAUUUGAUGGCCAAUUUUGAAUUUUUGAGGAUCUGAUGGCCCAGAUUUCACCCGUGUAUUUGUAAAGGCCUCCAACGGUCAGAUUUGUGAUCCAAUGGUGGAAAAUCAAUCUUCACUUUAUCCAAGGGCUAUGGAGUGUUUCCAAUGGUUAUAUGAAGAUCUAAUGGUGAAAUUUGAACCAAAUUUUGAUCCAACGGUUAAAAUUAAUUUAUAACGGCUAUUUGACCAUCCAACGGCUAGUUUGACCAAAAAAAUUCCUAUAAAUACCCACAUUCCAUUUCAUUUCAUACAUCAAAAUUCUUAUAUGAUCUAGCAAAAAUUUUUUAUUUUGAAAAUUUGGUGGUGAAGGGGAUUAACUCCAAGUCAAGGCUAAUUAAGGUAUGUCUUACCUUUCAUAAAAUUUAUUUUAUUAUGCAUAAUUCAAUUUUAUUUGUUAUAUAUAGUUUAAUUGAUAUUAUCUAAUUCAUAUGGAAAUGUAAUUGUAAUGUUUAUCUAUUUCAUAUAUGCAUAAUUCAAUUUUAAUUUUUAUUAGUAAUGAUUCUUAUCAAUUUCAUGAAUAUGCAAAUUUAAUUUGUUUUAAUUUAAUUUAAGUCUUAUCAAAAUUUUAUUGUAAUGUUUAUCUAUUUCAUAUAUGCAUAAUUCAAUUUUAAUUUUAAUUUUUAUUAGUAGUGAUUCUUAUCAAUUUCAUGAAUAUGCAAAUUUAAUUUAUUUUAAUUUAAUUUAAUUCUUAUCAAAAUUUUAUUGUAAUGUUUAUCUAUUUCAUAUAUGCAUAAUUCAAUUUUAAUUUUAGUUUUUAUUAGUAGUGAUUCUUAUCAAUUUCAUGAAUAUGCAAAUUUAAUUUAAUUUAAUUUAAUUCUUAUCAAAAUUUUAUUGUAAUGUUUAUCUAUUUCAUAUAUGCAUAAUUCAAUUUUAAUUUUAAUUUUUAUUAGUAAUGAUUCUUAUCAAUUUCAUGAAUAUGCAAAUUUAAUUUAAUUUAAUUUUAAUUUAAUUCAUAUUGAAAUUUUAUUGUAAUGUUUAUCUAUUUCAUAUAUGCAUAAUUCAAUUUUAAUUUCAAUUUUUAUUAGUUCUUAUCAAUUUCAUGCAUAUUAAAUUUCUUACAUGUUUUAUCUUUAAUAAUUUUAAAUUUGAUAUUAGUUUCAUAAUUCAAUUUUAGAAAAUGGCUAGUGAAAACGGUAUCAUGGGUCGAGAUCCUUGUUGGAAAUAUUGUACACCUAUGGAAGGGAACAAAAAUGGAACAAUAUGCAAUUAUUGUGGGUUGGCAAUAAAGAGUGGUGGGAUUACUCAUUUUAAUUUCACCUAUCACAUACAGACCCUAAUUCAAAUACAAAAAAGUGUCCUAACGUGCCUCCAGAAGUGAAACAAGAAAUAAGACGACUUAUAGAGCAAAGAAAUAAGGCAAAAGUGAAGAAAGUUGUAGAUAUAGAAGAGAUUCGAGCAGAAUUGCGAGACACAAUGGGAAGAAGACAUAGACAUGUAAUUGGUGAGGACGAUGAGGAGAACCUUGGUGGUGAUGGUGGUGGUGAUGAUGAUGAUGAUGGAGAUGAUGAUGUGUAUAUGUAUCCGGCUGACAUGCACCCUGAUGAGCGACAUGCUUAUAGAGAGGCGGUUCGAGCAUCAAAAGCUACUGAAUGGAAUUGACAACAAGAAGAACAUUUUAUAAAAGGCAAAAGAAAAAACAGGUAUAAUAUUAAUUUGAAUUAUUACUGUUUCUUAUCAACUUUAUCAAUAAUAUUAAAUUAGCAUAUAUGUUUAAUUUUAAUAAUUAUAAUAGGCGAGUCUUCACAUCCAACCAAUCCAACAACAAGGCAAAUGCGAAAAUCGCAAAGUGUUCGAUAUUCAGAUCCAUCACUGCCUGAUGCACCCUCAUUGUACAAAUCUUCAGCAGCAAGACAGAAAACUGUGAAAAAUCUUUUCAAAGGUGGUGCCAUCAAGGAAAUCAUGGGACGUUUGAUCAGUAAGUUCUUCAUAUAUGAGAGUGUUCCGCCCAGUAAAGCAGACUCUCACCACUUCAAGAACAUGAUUGUUGGUGCACAACAAGCAGGUAAUUACUAUAAUUUUAAAAGUUGUAUUUAUUUUAACAAUAUCAUUACUAUUUAUAUAGUAUGAUUGACACAAAUGUUCUUAUAUGUUUUAAUUAUAUAUGGAUGGUAGGUAUGGGUAUAGAACCAUCGUCUCCUUAUGAAAUCAAACACAAGUAUUUGGAUAUGGAGUACAAAGACAUGGAAGCUUAUGUCAAUAUUCAAAGAGAAAAGUAGAAGACUUAUGGAUGCACGAUUAUGUCUGACGGAUGGACUGGGCCCACGAAAUUAAGCAUAAUUAAUUUCAUGGUAUAUUCAAAAGGUAGCACAAUCUUCCUCAAAUCCGUUGAUGCAUCAAAUAAUAUAAAGGACAACAAAUACAUAUAUGGUUUGUUGAAGGAUGUGAUCAAGGAAGUUGGCAAACAAAAUGUGGUCCAAAUAGUUACAGAUAAUGGGUCGGCAUUCGUGAAGGCGGGGAAGUUGUUAAUGAAGAAAUACAAUCUUUAUUGGACUCCGUGUGCAGCACAUUGCAUUGACUUAAUGUUCGAAGACAUUGGUAAAAAGACGAGUGUUGCAGAUCUAAUUACAAAGGCUCGAAAGAUAACCAACUUCAUUUAUAACCAUGGUUGGUUGCUUGCACAGAUGCGGAAGGUGUGUGGUGGAGACAUAGUUCGUCCUGGAGCAACAAGAUUUGCAACCAAUUAUAUAGCCCUCGACAAUCUUUUGAAAAAGAAAGCAAACUUGAAGAAAGUGUUUAUCAGUGAUGAAUGGGCACAACACAACUUAAGUCGCACAUUAAUCGGCAAAGAGGUUGAAUCACUUAUGUUUGACCAUGAGUCCUGGGAAAGAGUGGGAAAGUUAGUGUCAAUAUAUGAGGCGCUAUACAUAGUUCUUCGCAUUGUCGAUUCAGAAGUUGUUCCUACAAUGCCAUUUGUGUAUGAAUUGAUUCGAGUUAUGAAAGAGAACCUCAUUCGACUUAAUGCUAAAGAAUGGGUGUUAGAAAUAAUUGCAGAUCGUUGGGAUAGAACUCUUAAACAUUUUCUUCAUGCAGCAGGUAAGUAUUAUUCAUCUUUGAAAUUUAUUGGUAUUUAAUAUGUUUCUUUCAUAACAUUCUAAUUUUACAUUUCUACUUUACUAUUGUAGCAUUCUUUCUUAAUCCAAGAUUUCAAUAUAAACGUGGAGUUGGUACUAAUCCUAAUCUACUUCAAGCUGUUCAUGAAGUCUUUGCGAAAUUAGAUCCUACAUCAGAAGGUUUUAGUCAAUUUGGAAAUGAGGUAAAUUAUUAGAGUUAUAAUAUAAAUUAAAUAAUUGAAUUUCAUUUACUCAACUUUUUCACUUUCAAUUAUUUAAUAUGUAGAUUAUACUAUUCCGAGAUGCAAAAAGAGGAUUUGGUGAUCGAGCAGCGAUUGCUUCGAGGUCAGAAAUGGUUCCCGGUGAGUAUUAUUUGUGAAUUAAUAAUUCAUUUCAUUAGCAUACUAUUGUAACUUUCCAAUAUAAGUAUUGAUAUCAUUUAUUUGGUUGUAGUUGAAUGGUGGUUCAUGUAUGGACAUCACGUUCCUACAUUGAGAAGGUUGGCCAUCAAGGUUUUAUCGCAAACUGCAUCAUCUUUAGUUUGUGAGAGAAAUUGGAGCACGUUUGCCUUAAUCCAUACAAAACAAAGAAAUCGGCUUGCUUACCCGAUGCUCCAACAAUUAGUUUUCUGUUAUUAUAACAUGAAACUAAAGAUACGUGACAUGGAAGCAGAACAUGACAAAGUUGCAGAGAAAGAUUACCUCAAUUUACUUGACAUUGCAACUGAGGUUGGUGAAGAAGAAGAUAACCAAUUGUUUCAAUGGGUUAGACCUCUUCAUUUAGAUGAUGAAGAUGGAAAUCCCGACCCACGAAUUGCCGCACAUGUCCGAGAAGCAGGUGUUGAUGUUGAUCGAGUGUUAUCCGAAGAAGUUCAUACUGAUAGUUUCAGCCAAGACACGAGAGAUUCAUUUCGACAAGGAAUUUCUCAGCCGGCAGUCACUUCUCAACCUUCUUUUGACUCCAUGAGUGUUGAACAUAGUAGUAGAACUAGUGCUACUGGUACUUCCGCUUCAGGUUAUGAUGGUUCAAGAGGAGAGGGGACCAAUGAUGGUAGCGACCCUGGAAAUGAUGAAGGGGAUAUUAGACAACAACAACAAAGUAGACAAUCAUUGGCAUUUACUUGUGAAGAUGAUUUCACACAUUGUACUCAAGAUGAAGACCACGGCUCUAGAAGAGCCGGUCCAGGUGUUGGAGCCAUUGGAAAGCCAUAUAGAGGAAGACAACGAAGGAUGAUGCCAUACAACGAGGACUCAUUGUCGGCCAGUUUUGAGUCGAUGAGUGUAGAGACUCAAUUCAGUGAUUCAUCAAAUGAAGCCAACAUUUAUGCCCCUUAUGCAAUGAGUUAUGGUCAACCUCCUCAAAAUCUUUCAAGUUCCACUGAUGAAGAGUAUGAAAGGUAUAACUAUCCUUCUUCCACACAAAUGCCAUACUACCUUCCACAUCAGCUGCAACAACAAGGAUUUCAAACGAGCACUGGGAAAACCCUGGAUUUCCUAUCCAUGGACAAGUUGUUGGUAGGACUCAAGAAACUUAUGCAUGGCAUGUUCGUACAUACAAUCAAUACUAUCGAAACUCCAUGUCCUGGUAUGAAUAUUGUCUUCAACAAGAUGGACUCCUUUCAUCUAACAAUAACAAUAUGAUGGAACCACAUCGAUCUUCAUUUUGGUAUUAAGGACCAUUGCAAUGUCAUAUACUCAUAUGUAUUAUGUUUAUGUGUAAAUUGUUUUCAUUUAAUAAAAUCAAAUAUUUCUUAACUCAAUUCUAACUUUCUAAGUGUACAAUUCCAAAUUUCAUAUUUUCUAUUCUUAAAAUCCAAGUAUCGUAAACUGUUUACCGAUAUUUUUUUCUUUGACCAUAUUUAUGUCAAUUACACUUAUAAAAUAACUUUAACAUGUAUAUUCUUGCUUAUUUUAUCAUUCUUUGGAUUUUUCUAAGCAUUCCCAUCAAUUUUGGAUAAUUUUUGUCUCACCGAUAUUUAAUGAAAAAUAUCCACCGAUAUUUCUCCGAUAUUUCCGAUAUAUCCGUAAAAUCCAAGUACCGAUAUAUCUGUAUUUACCGAUAUUUCAAUCCUUGAAUAUUACAAGGAAACAAAUAGAAGGAGAGGCUACUUUUGGUAAAGAUAGAUUUAAGAACACCUAGCUAAAGUAUAUUUCAUAUUUACCUCUUUUGUUAUGUUACAUGGAUUCAGGUGCUAGUGUGCUUGUAGGCAUCCAAUCCUUCAAAUUCCAAAAUUUUAGGAUGUGGAGACUUUAAUAAAAAGGAUCCAUUAGCAACUACUGAUACAUGGAUACAACGUAAUAAUGAUUGAAAUACUACUAAGCACACUUCCCAAUUAAGUCAAACAUAGUCUUGCAUUCAAGCAUAUUUUAUUUGACUUUCAAUCUUCUCAAUUAUGAGUUAUACCAGUAAUAAGCUUAUAUUUCCAUGUUCCCUGAAAACAAGUCUCUUCAAAAGCGGCAACAAUCCUUUUAAGGCAAGGUUGCAAUGAUCUCUAGAGAACAAAAGAAAAAACUCCCUUGUAAGCAAGAGAGUAGUAUCCAAGAAGGAUUUCAUGCCAUGUUGACACGGGAACUUAGGUGAAGUAAAAGAGGUUGAGUACCACAAUUUCUGUGAGACAAAUGCAAGAACAUAUAUUUAACAGGAAACCAAAUAAUAUAAACAAUCAAGUAACCAUAAUUUAAAGACAUAAAUUAGAAAACUAGAAAUUCUAAAUCAAAAUGAUACAUUGACCAGGAUCAUAAUGUCCUUUAGGAUUUGUUGCACCAAAGACAAUUGUCCUGGUACAAAGAGACGUCACAAGGCUAGCCUGAAAAAGGAAAAUAAUUAGUAAGAGAAUGUCAUUCAUGAAUUAUGCUUCACUAAACAUUAAAAGAACAAAGAAAAAGGCAGUCGAAUUUCUAUUUAAAAAGUUUAAACAAAUGGAACAAUAACAAAGUGAACAUACGGUAAAAAUAACAAUAAAAGGUUUUAAUUAAUCUCACCAACUUAUAAACCAUUGAAGGGGAAUUGGAACACUAGAGGAGAUAUGUAGGUGAAACAAAUACAUAUACUCUCAAUAGCAAACCCUUAAUACAUUCAUUUGUGGAUUCUUGCCUCUAACAUACCUCCUCUCUCAUCAAGAGUUCUCAACUCUACUUUCCUAGAACCUCUACUGGCUUAAAGGUCAUCCCUUAGAAGGUAUUCUAAGGGAUGCACAUUCUGAUAUCUCUAAGGAUGAAGCUUCUCUCUCACAAAAAAUUCCUAAAAAUGCCUUUAUUUCGAACCUUCAACUUAGCUUCAACAUACUUCAGUUUGCCCAUGAAUUUAUAGCCUUUCCACCAAUUAACCUAAGUCUGUCUCAACUCCCUCAAUCUUCAAACCCAUGGUAGUGAAGCUGCAUGCCUAGAAAAUGGAAGGAAACCAAACUCCAAAUAAUUUGGUUAGAAGUCACCAGAAUAGGGCAAUGCUUUGAAACAGGGCUUCACAUUGCUUCUUGUACAAUGUGGGGAAUUCUAAAUUCCAAAUGUAGGAAAUAAAAAUAUCUUUCACAAAUGGGGUUGCCCUCGGCAAUGCAAGUUUGGUGAAGUCAAAGACAUCCUUAUAAAGGGAGGAUCAACAAAACUACAAGCAAUGGCAAUGUUAUAAAAGCCCAUCAUAUGAAGUUAGUUAAGAGGAUCCAAGCUUCCCCAAAGCUCUUCCAAAGAGUAAGUUAAACCAAAUAAGUCUUCCAAUUUGAUCUAGAUGUUCAAUUCUAGAGAUAAGCUAUUUGGAUUAUAAGGUGCUUCAACCAAUAAUCCUCUAAACAAUCCAAGGAAAAUAUAACAGAAAAUGAUUAAGAGCCUAACACCAUCUCACAUGUCUUUUGCAAGUAAAAUAUCUAAAUAAUCCAAGCCUCAUAAGAGGGCAAUUCAGCUAAUUCCUUACUUCAACCCUCUAAUAGGAUUCAAAUAGUUUUCCUACCAAUAUGUUCCAGUUUGGUUUGUUAGAGAAUAACAAUAUCCAAGACUCACUUUCGAAGGAAAUAUCAAAUUGCUUCCCUAUUACUCCUAGACCUCAACCCACAAAUAUUUUUUAAUAGGCAAGAAAGAAUUUAUUAGAAAAUUUUCCAAACAAAAGACCCACCACCUAAUGCCAAAUUGUAUACCAACUACAUUGCUAGAAUGCCAUUGUGAAAUCAUCAGGCCUAGGGCCAUAUCACUUCCCAAACCAUUAAGAGCAUAAAAGAACUCUUCUUCCCAAAAAGCCUCAUCUCACUUCUCCACAACCAACCUUUCUAAAGCUCUAAAGACCUUUUAAUAUUGGGCCUCCAAUCCCCAAAAUCUGAGAACUGAUGGAAAAACUAGCAACCCAUUCUUUCAUUCAUCCUUCUCAAAUAACCAACCCUAUUUAUCAUUAAUUUUCCAAAAUCAUUCCUUCUAAACUGGUUUUGAGCCAUCCUAUGGAACAUUUGAGUGUUUCUAUCACCUCCCUUUAGCCAUGACUCCUAAGACUUCUAUCUCCAAGAGGUCACCUUUAGGUUUGCUUGAUAAUAAUAAUAUGCCAUAGCACGCUUUCUAGCCUCCAAAUCCUCAUCUUCCAAAGACCCAACUCUCUCCUUAUUGUACUAGUAACCAGUGUUGUCAAAGGUAAAAGGUGAUGCCAAGGCGAGAAGACCCUUUUUAACCUGAGGUGAAAGGCGAAAAUUAAGGCAAUCACCUAACUAUAAUAAGGUGAUAAAAUAGUAUAAAUAUAUUUACCAUUUUACCUAUUCUAUAAUCAACCAAUAUAAGUAUUCUUCAAUAAUCAAUACUACUAAAUUUUCAUCCCCUGUGAUGCCUUAUAAAAUUAAGAAAAUAGUAAUAAUCAUUCAAAGUGUUAAAUAUAAUACCCCACAUCAUAAGAAAAGUCAUACUAUUUAGAGAAAUUCAUCAUGUCCAUAUGCAUAUUCUAAUGUUCCAAACAUUCAAAAAUUAAAAUAAGAAACAAAAUAAGAUAAUGAAUGCCCUAAAGAUGCUUUAAGCAUCAUCAUUGUAGUCAUUAUUGAAAUUAAAAUUGUCAUCACUUCCAUCAAGACUAUAUUGGCAUCCCUCCAUCUCAUUAUCAUCCUCUUCAAUGUCCUCUAAAUUGCUCUCUUUCUCUUCAAAAUCAAGUUGUGAAGUAGUAGCCACUAAAUCCCCCUUUAAACUUGUCUUUGAUCUUGCUCAAAGUCUAGUGGAAAUAUUUGCAUCUCCCACUCCUGCUACACUUGCCACUACACCCCAUGUCUAGCUAUCAUCUACAAAAACCAAGCCAUCCUCCACAUGAAUGGUGGUGUCUUCUUCACUUAUUUUUCCAAUCAACCACUCAUUACUUUCGUCAAUAUCUACUAAUGAGAUGGGGUCAAUGACAUUGCAUCUAUCAUAUCGUGCUUUAAGAGCUUGGUUGUAUUUAACAAACACCAAGUCAUUUAGUCAUUUUUGCUCUAAUUUGUUUCUCUUCUUGGUAUGAAUUGGUAAACAUUUAUUAGUAAAUUUAACCACAAGCUAUAUUAGUUAUAACCAUGGAUUCAAAUAUUGUGUUUCAGCGGACCUCGACAUAAUAUAUAGAAGAGAAAUAUUGAUACUCCGAUAUUUCGUCAAUUUAUCGAGAAUUUUGCCGAUAUCUCGUAAUUAUCAUUAUUUUAUCGGUUUUUUAGCGAUUUAUCACGAUAUUUUGUUGCGGUCAAUGCAGAGAAGUGUGGUCAAAGGUAAAAACUCACUUGAUAUUUUUUGUAGCUAAGGGAGGUCGAACCCCAACCAAAAGAUUCAACUUGUAGAUGAACCAAGCUUGUUUCUUAUAAUAUAUACCACAUCAAACAUAUAUAACCUAAAACUCAUCAUAUAAACAUAAUAUUAAAAUAACAUUUUAAUGAACAAAUUAAUUAUAAUUAUUUUAUAAUUAAAUGAAAAAAUUUCAUUUAAUUGAUUAUCAAAAAUAUAAAAAUUAUCAUGAUAAUUUUCUUCAUAGUGUUUUUAAUAUCAUUAAUAUAUUAAUUAAAUAUUAAAAAUUAUACAUAUAUUAAAUGAAUUAUAAUUUUAAUAUUAAAUAUAUUUUAAAAUUAGACAAAGUAUAAUAAAAUAUCACAACAUUAUUAUCAAAUAAUAUUUGAUAUAAUUUAAUAAUAAAUAUAUAUUUAUGAAAUUUAUAUUUUUUAUGGAUGUAUAUAAUGUUAUUAUGAAACAUGAUGAAUUAUAUUAUACAUAUAUCAAUUUCUUGAACAAAAUAACUUUAAAAUAUCUAAUAUACUUCUAAUUUCAUUUUUGAGAGUUUAUUUUUUUAUUUUUUUAUUUUUUUAUUUUUACAUUUGUAUAAGUUUUGAUUAAUUUUAGGUCCAUCGAUAUUUUGUGUCAAAAUAUGCACCGAUAUAUCUCUGAAAUAUCUGUAAUUUCUGAUAUUUUUAUCCUUGGUUAUAACAACUUAAUUUACUUAACUAAUAAAAUUUCUAAUUUUAUAAAUUUAUAUAUUAUAUAAUCAACAAAGUAUUAAAUACUUACAUGCUCAAACACACUUCAAUUACGUUCACAACCCGAUGCACUACAAGUCAAGCUAAGAAUCUUUAUGGCUACUUGUUGUAAAUUUGGGGUUGUGUUGCCAUAUAGUUUCCACCAUUCAGCUAUAAUGUUUUAAAUGGAAACAAAAAAUUAGUAGAUUAGCAAGUAAUAUUUGAUCUAAUAGCUAAAAAAAUAAGUAAUUUAAUAUCUUAUUUAGAAAUAUAAACUUUCUUAAAGUACUUUAUAGUUUAUACCUGGAGUUAGCGUCUUCCUUGAUCUAAUGGCUAUUGGAAUACCGAAGAGACCCUCCGCAUUCUUAUAAGUUGACAACUCACAAAUGAUCUUAUCUUGCACAUCAAUAUUAGAAACUAAUCUAUCUAUACAAGAAUAUAUUCUUGAUGUCACUUCUUCAUCAAACUUCACAGGAGGGUUGUCAUAGAAAAAUUCCAAGUUUAAGAAGCACCUACUGCAUGCAAGGGACAAUAGAGUUGACAUUCCCAUUUCUUACCAAUAAUAGAGAAGAUCUCCUUGUACCUAUCCUCAUUCUCGUUAAAUGACUUUUUGAUAGUCUCUUUACAUCUAUCCAUAGCUUCAUAUAUGUACCCCAUGUUAAUGUUACCAUAUACAAUUUAGGAAUCAGACUGGUUGUACAUAUACGAAAAGAUUGAUAGUUAUGUUAAUGUUACCAUAUACAAUUUAUGAAUUAGAUUGGCAGUAAUGUUACCAUAUACAAUUUAAGAAUUAGAUUGGUUGUACAUAUACGUUUGUAUAUAGAUGGAUGUAGAGAAUAAUAAAAACAGAAGGGAGUUCUCGGUUUCUAGGGAUUUUUCUGAGUGUUUGACAUGGUAUCAGAGCCAGGUUUCGGCACCUUCUGAGUGAAGUUCGUGCUUCUUGGAGGUUUUGGCACUUUCUGUUGGUGCAUUUAUGUUUUUUUUUUUUGUGAUUGCUAUGGGUGUUUUUUUGGGUUUUGAUCCAUUUCAUCGCGACCUGAUUCUUGGCCAUUUUUGGUGGAAGGUGCGAGGAAACUAGAAAGAAGAGGGGAUGAAAGAAAAUUGGGUUUUGUAGAUGAUCUUAGGUCCAGUUUCUCUCAUUGGAGACAACUACAAAACUUCUAUUGUUGUGAGCGACUGGAACAUCACAUCCGUACAUUCUGAAUCAUCAUUUGCUGCACCAGAAUUUUAAGGGGAGAGUCUUUAGUCUAGACAACUACAGAUCGGGUUCCAAAGCGUGAUCCUCCAUUGCUCGUGUUGCCGCAACACUUUGUGCCAUACCCAUGCAUCUCUGGCAACACCCUACUGCCAUUAGAGAUUCGCACCAGCUUGUUAAUCCUGCCACCUAAACACCACAGUCGCAUCAAAAUUUUAAGAGAGAGGCUUCCAUCACUCUAGGGAUCUUCACAACUUUAUCUCCAAGAGCACAAGUGUGCACCCUGUCAAAGGGAAUUUCUCUCCAUUAACGUGUUGCAUUAUGUCAUCAGAUAAUUUGGAAUCAUUUCCUAUUAGAUUUACUGGAAAAAAUUAUUAUGCUUAGGAGUUUCAAUUUAAAUUAUUUGUCAAAGGAAAAGAAUUAUGGGGUCAUAUUGAUGGGAGUAAUCCUACACCUCGUGAUGUCGAGGCUUUGUCUAAGUGGGAAAUUAAGGAUACUCGGGUUAUGGCUUGGAUCCUUAGCUCGAUUCAACCUCAUCUUGUUCUCAAUCUGAGGCCUUAUAAAAUUGUUACUGAUAUGUGGAAUGAUCUCCACACAGUUUACAAUCAAGACAACUCUGCUAGGCAUUUUCAAUUGGAGUAUGAGAUGGCUAAUUUCACACAAGGAAGUCUCUCAAUUGAGGAAUAUUUUUUCUGGUUUUCAAACUCUUUGGGUUGAUUAUUCUGACAUUGUUUAUGCUAAUGUUCCCGUUGAAGCUCUCUCUGCUAUCCAAACAGUGCAUGUAACCAGCAAGUGAGAUCAAUUCUUGAUGAAGUUACGACCCGACUUUGAAAUUGCACGGUCUAAUAUGAUGAAUCAUCAUCCUGUACCAUCUCUGGAUGCCUGCUUGAGUGACCUUUUACGUGAGGAACAACGUAUCAUAACUUAAGCUACCAUGGAACAUCGGGCUAAUGUUAGUGCAUCUGUUUCUGUGGCUUAUGUAGCACAGGGGCAGAAUAAGGGUCAAGACAUGCGUGUUGUCUAGUGCUUUAGUUGUAAAGAUUUUGGUCAUAUUGCUCAGAAUUGUCCUAAGAAGUUCUGUAACUAUUGCAAGAAACAAGGUCAUAUCAUCUCUGCUUGUCCUAUUCGGCUUGAAAGGAAGCAGGGUACUGCUUAUCAUGCCUCUACUGAUACCUCUAGUUAUGCUACAUUGCCUGUUGUCUCGUCAGUUGUUCCUAUUCCUGCUCCUAUAGCCUUAGCAAACCUGAAUACACUCACUCCUAAAAUGGUACAACAAAUGAUCAUUUCUGUUUUUUCUGUCUUUGGGCUCUCAGGUAAUCAUACGGUUUCUUAUAAGCCAUGGUAUUUUGACUUUGGAGCCUCUAACCAUAUGACGAAUUCUAUUCUUUCUCUUUCCAAUGUUAGAAAUUAUGAUGGAAAUAUGAAAAUUAACACUACUGAUGGUAGUUCUGGCCUAUCAGUGCUGUUGGUGAUCUUUCCUCUUCCUUAACUGAUGUUUUUAUGUCUCCUGAUCUCUCCACAAAUGUUAUUUAUGUUGGUUAAUUGGUUGAUAAUAAUUGUAAUGUCAAUUUCUCAUGUUCUGGUUAUGUUGUGCAGGAUCAAGUGUUAGGGAAGAUGAUCGCGAAGGAGCCUAAAGUGGGACGACUCUUUCCUCUUCAUGUUUCUCCUUCUACUAUUAUUCCUAGUCUUCAUUUAUUUUCCUAUGCAUGUAAUGUUGUUGGUUCUGGACAUAAGAUGUGGCAUAGACGUCUUGGCCACCUAAACUUUGAUGUACUUCGUACUUUGUUUAAUUCUAGAUUAUUGGGAAAAAAACAUGUUCUUCUCUUGAUAUUUCUUUCAAUUGUACGUCAUGCAAACUUGGCAAAAGUAAAGUUCUACCUUUUCCUCAUCCUGUAUUUUGUGCCUCAUAAUGUUUUGAUAUUAUUCAUAGUGAUGUUUGGGGGAUUACACUUAUUGUUUCUCAUGCACAUUACAAGUAUUUUGUUACUUUCAUUGAUGACUUUAGUCGCUUUACUUAGGUUUACUUCCUCCGGGCAAAGGCUAAAGUUUUUUUUCAGUCUUUAAGCGCUUUCUUGCAUUUAUUGAGACUCAAUUCUUUGCCAACAUCAAGGUCUUGCGCUUAGAUUCUGGCAGAGAAUACACGUCUAAUGAGUUUCAGGACUUUUUUCAAAGCAAAUGGAUCAUCUCUCAGCGUUCUUGUCCUUCGACACCACAACAAAACGGUGUUGCUGAGAGAAAAAAUCACCACCUUCUUGAUGUGGUAAGAACUCUUUUACUUGACUCAUCUAUUCCUCCUCGUUUUUGGUGUGAAACACUUUCUACUGCAGUUCAUUUGAUCAAUCACUUACCCUGUCCUAUGUUAAAUCAUGUUUCUCAUUUCUCUAAGUUGUUUGGUCAUUCUCCUUUAUAUUCUGAUCUUCGUACAUUUGGUUGUGUUUGUUUUGUGCAUCUACCUACUCAUGAACAACAUAAACUUACUGCUCAAUUUGUUAAGUGUGCUUUUCUUGGUUAUACUAUCCCUCACAAGGGUUAUGUUUGUUGUGAUCCCCAUGCUCAUCGUAUACGAGUUUCCCGGAAUGUGAUUUUCUUUGAAAAUCAAUAUUUCUUUCCAUCUCAUGUUGAGUUGCCAUCUGCAUCUGUAUCUCUUCUGCCUAGUUUUUCUGAAUCCCUAACAAUUUUGGAAAGGUUCAAACCUGGUUUUGUGUAUGAAAGACAUAGUCGACAUGAGUUCGGUUCCACUUCCUCUAUGCCCUCUUUCGAUCUUGACCUGACGCCUGAUCCUGCUCCUGCUUUCACCACUCUUCGUCUGUCUACUCAUAUUUUUCGACCCCCUGAUUGGUAUGGAUUCUUCUUUUAUGUCUUUCUUGUUGCUACUUUAUCCGCUAUUUCAAUUCCCUCUUGCUACAAAGAGGCUAUGGAACAUGAGUGUUGGCAAAAUGCAAUGCAAGCAUAACUUCAAGCACUUGAGGAGAAUCAAAUUUGAGAUAUUGUUUCUUGUCCUCCUACAAUCAAACCUCUUGGGAGUAAAUGGGUUUUCUCAAUAAAACUUCGUUCUGUUGGCUCUUUGGACCGGUAUAAAGCUUGCCUUAUAGCUCUGGGUAACAAGCAAGAAUAUAGGGUUGAUUAUGAGCAGACAUUUGAUCUUGUUGCCAAAAUGACCACGGUUUGAACCAUCUUACUUUGGUAUGACUAAUUCUUCUCCUCAUGAUGUUUAUAAGCUAAAAUGUUCUUUGUAUAGGCUCAAGCAGGUGCCCCGGGCUUGGUUUGAGAAGUUUUGCAGUACAAUUCUUUCCUUUAGUUUUACCUAAAGUCAGUAUGAUUCUUCCUUCUUCUUCCACACGUCUGCGUCGGGUACAAUCCUUCUCUUGGUUUAUGUGGAUGAUAUUGUCAUUACUGGCACUGACUGUGGUUUGAUUGCUAAGCUUCAACGGCUAUUACAUACAACUUUCCAUAUGAAAGAUCUUGGACAACUCACAUACUUCUUAGGAUUGGAAGUUCAUCAUCGGGCCAAUGGUAUUUUCGUGAACUAGCAUAAGUAUAUUCAAGAUCUUAUCACUUUGGCUGGUUUGAAGGACACUGCCUUUGUUGAAACUCCUAUGGAGAUAAAUGUCAAAUAUAGGAAAGAUGAAGGGGACCUUCUGGAUGAUCCUAUUCUUUAUCGGCGCCUGGUUGGGAGUCUUAUCUACUUGACCACUACUCGACCUGAUAUCUCCUAUGUUGUUCAUCAGGUCAGUCAGUUUAUGACUUCUCCUUGGCAUCUCUAUCUUGUUGUAGUUCAACUCAUCAUCCGCUAUCUUCGAGGUUCACCUACUCGUGGGUUGUUCUUUCCUACCGGCUCCUCUCUUCAACUUGUUGCCUAUAGUGAUGCCGAUUGAGCUGGGUGUCCAGAUACAUGUCGAUCUACUAUGGGUCGGUGUAUGUUUUUAAGUGAUGCCUUAAUUUCUUGAAGAUGUAAGAAACAAGAUCGCGUUUCUAAAUCCUCUACCGAGGCCGAGUAUCAUGCCAUAUCUACUACUUGUUUUGAAAUUGUAUGGCUACACGGUCUUCUUGAGGAGCUUGUGUUUCCUCAAACUAUGUGUACACCUCUUCAUGCUGAUAACACUAGUGCUAUUCAGAUUGCCACCAAUCCCGUUUUUCAUGAACAUACCAAGCACAUUGAGGUUGAUUGUCAUUCUAUUUGAGACACCUUGGAAAGUCGGGUGAUAUCUCUUCCUCACAUCUCUUCUGAUCUCCAAGUGGUUGAUGUCUUCACCAAAGCUUUGACUCUACAACGACAUCAAUUUCUUGUUGGCAAAUUGUUGCUGGUUGACUUACCAGCAUCAAUUUGAGGGGAGAUGUUAAUGUUACCAUAUUCAAUUUAGGAAUCAGAUUGGUUGUACAUAUACGAAAAGAUUGACAGUUAUGUUAAUGUUACCAUAUACAAUUUAGGAAUCAAAUUGGCUGUAAUGUUACCAUAUACAAUUUAGGAAUCAGACUGGUUGUACAUAUACAUCUAUAUAUAGAUGGAUGCAAAGAAUAAUAAAAACAGAAGGGAGUUCUCGGUUUCUGGGGGGUUUUCUGAGUGUUUGACACCCCAUAGCUAGCUUUCUUUCAUUGUCAACAAGUCGAAGAACUUUAACAAGAGGACCCAUCACCUUAAGAAUAUAAACAACUUGAUUCCAAAAUGAAGGCAUCAAAACUAUUUUUGAGACUUGUUUUCCCUUUGCUUCCUUUGCCCAUAUACUAGUUAACCACUUGUUAGAAGUGAACAUCAAUCUCAAAUUACGCUUUUGCAUAUGGAUACUUUGUAGGGUAUGAAAACAUGUUACAAAUUGAGUUAUGCCUGGCCUAACCAAUUCUCUUUGUUUGGUGAACUCUCUCAUCAUAUUUAGCACUCCCGCAUGAUUGUAGAUGAACCCAUUCAAUGUGAUGGCUCUAGUCAAAGUCCUCUUAAUUAUAGGAAGUUUCCCAAUAUCUUCUAAAAUGAGAUCUAUGCAAUGAGCUGCACACAAGUGUCCAAUAUAAAUGUGGUCGUUUUGCCUCUAGGAACUUUCCUAUAUAAAGUCAAAAUCAUAAAAACCAUAAUAAAUAAAAAUUAUGAAUAAUAUCUUAAAUUCAUAAUAUAAUGUUUCAAUUCAAAUGGCGCAAAUAAAACCUAAAGAACUUCAUCAAAUAAAAUCUUACCUGUCAAUACAUAGUUAGAUCCAUUGUCAACUAUUACUUGAACAACAUUUUUCUCCCUAAUGCGCUCCUCAAACUUGUCUAAUAAUUCAAAUGUAUUCUCCCCAGUUUUCCUGAUUGAACUAUCAUCAAUGGACUCCAUAAACAUUGUUCCAACUGGGCAAUUUACCAAAAAAUUCAUCAAGGUUUGAUUUCUUUUAUUUGUCCACCCAUCAGACAUAAUAGAAACUCCAUACUUCAUCCAUGCAACAUUAUGAUCUUUCAAUUUUUUAUUUUUUUUUUGUACUCCACUUCUUUAUGAAGGAUUGGAACUCUUAAUUCAUGAUAACUUGGAGGUUUCAUAUUUGGAUCAUAUUGUCCAAUAACUUCAACCAUCCAUUUAAAACUAUCUAGAUUUGCACAAUUAAAUGAUAUUUCUUCUUGAUAAAAGAAUCGACCUAUGUAUUGACAUACGGUUUCUCUUUUCUUUUUAUCAAACACAUCAUUAUAGAACUUUGUUUGAUCUUUCCCUCUUUCCAAAGUUGAACUACUUUUUCUAGCUUUUGAGACACAAAAGCAUCAAUGGACCUUUUGUUGUUGAAUUCAUCUUCUUAUUACUUUCCAUGCCAUUUUUUUUUAUUAUCAAUCACUUUUUUCCCAUGCAAAUUGACUUCUUCAAGUUCCUUUUCCUCAUCAAUAUCAACAAUGUUUUCUAAGCCACCAAAUUCAGGAAAAAAAACUAUAGUUGUCUUUUUUAUUCUUUUUAUUAGUCAUAUACUGCUCAAACUCCUCUCUUACUUCAUCUAGACAUUUUAAACACCUUGCAACAUUUUCUUUUGUUUUCCUAUUUGAUGUUGUUUUACUCUAAAUAUUCCACAUUUUGUCUCCUUCCCACAAAAUAAACAUGUAUCUGAAUUUGUAUGUUUGGAUCUUUCAAAAGAUUAUAUUUCCAAUGCGGAAUUUUUUUUUCGAACCUUUUGAUGAUGUGCCAUCUUCUAAUGCCAUUUCCAAAAUCUAAAUUUAGUUUUUUUUUAAAAAAUAAUUACAAAUUUAAAAUUUAAAAUAUAAGGAAAAUAAGACAACAAUGUAAAAAAGUUAUAAAAUACAAAAAACUUUUAUAACAAAUAAUAAAAUUCUCAUGCAAGAAGCAUGGUCCGUUGAAUGAUAUAUUUUCAAUAAUAAGAACAUAUAAGUGGUGAAAAUGGUGGGACCCAUUGAAAUGAUGAGUCUAAGGAAGGUGGAGUAUGGCUUUCUGCAAUGUGCAGUGGCAGUAGAAAAUGGUUAAAUCUUUGCAGUGUGUGUACUGUGUAGUGGCAUUGUGACAGGCUUAAAAAAAAUUGGUCUAAGAAGGUAUAGUAUGGGUCUCUACAAUGUGCAAUGGCAGUAGAAAAUGGUCAAAUCUCUCUGUGUAGUGACACUAUUACAGGUAGCUCUAUAGUGUGUAGUAUUUCAGUGACAACACAGAGUAAAAUAUAUAUAUAUAUAUAAAAGUGGCCCUUGUGAGUCUUCACAUCACAAGCAAAGACAAGUUUUUGGUUUGCAGAGAAUAAAAUGAAAAAAACAAUAGUCAAUAGCUAUAAAGUGUGUAAAAGAAGGCAGUCUUCAUUCUUCAAAACACAAGCAAAGAUAAUAUUUUUCUUUGCAAAGAAUAAAAUAAAAUAAAAAUGAGUCAGUUCAAAGGUGCAUCAAUCAAAACAUACUUUUUUUCUUUUAAAAAAAGUUGGCUUCAUUGUUCAAAACUUCAAAUCGUGAAGAACAUAAAACAAAGGUCAUAAGAAGAGUUAUAGUGAAAAGAAAGAUGAGAAAACAUUGCCAAAGUGAACCAUAAAGCUGCUGAAAUCUUCAUCCCUUCAUCUUGUCUUUUUAUUGCUAAAAAGUAACAAAAAACUUUCUUUUCUUCUUCCCUCCGCCUUAUCUUUUUUCUUAAGCCUAAAUCUUGUUAUUUUCUUUUUUUGCCCUUUUAUUAAGGCUUUGUUAUAAACCUUUUAGCUUCUCCAUACCUCAACUUUCCAAAUUUUAUUUUAUUUUAUUUUAUUUUCCAAGUUUUCAGCCUUAUGAAUAAAGGCAAUCACUAUUACACCUUAAACUUUAUCCUAAGGUGACCACCUAGGGGUUGCCUCUUUGAAGUUGCCUCACUUAGGUCUUUAAGAGGCGUUUUUUAUUUUUCUCACUUCGCCUGGUGGCCUAAGCAAACCAAGCGAUCUCCCUUGACAACAUUGCCAGUAACCAAUUUGCUCAUAAGGAGCUACUAUGCUAACUACCAUGUUACCGAAGAGUCGUUUAUGUAAAGCUUUAAUAUCUUCUUUCAAAGCUUUCAGCUAGUUCAAAUAAACAAAACUCGAUGGUCCAGUCAUAUUGUAGCUUUUCCACUAGUUCUUCACAAAGCCCUAAAACCAUCCACCUUUAGCCACAUAUUUUUAGACCUAAACAUAAUCUUACCGAUUGUAACCCCAUUACUAUCCAAUGAAAUCAAUGUAUUAGCAUAGAUUGGCCUCGACAACACGCUUUAGACCAAAUUAAAGAAAUGAUCCUCUUGAUCUGUAAUCACAAGAAAGAGAUCAAGAGAAUGGGAAUCCCUUCUUGCCUCCCCACUCCAUGGAAACUCUCCUCUUGAAAAUGUCAUAUCUAUUAUACUAAAAUACCUUAAAAACUUCAUGAAGUGCCUCAUCAUUGCUAAAAUAUGGAUGCAAUGUCCUUUUUCUUAAGGAAAUCCCACUAUAUAAAAGUCUCUCCUAAUACACCAAAGAUCCUCCCACAACCCCAUAAUAUCCCCUAGUUGUUUUCGAGAAAUCCUCCUUGUCCCAUUUCGAAUCCAGGUGCCCCUAAAAGCCCACACAAAUUAUCCUCAAAACUGGUAAAAUAGUAGGAAAAUAAAAAUGCUCCAUUUCUCCUACUCCCACCUCAACCAUCUCAAAAGCUCUCUCAUAAAAAUAAAAAUAAAAAUAAAAAAACUAUUGGGGCAUGAAAUACAAUAUGGGUUCAAAUCCUACUAGCUUAAGCUUUUAGGAAAAUUAGUUGUUCAACAUGAUACCAAAGCUUCAAUUAAUUGGAGGUCAAGAGUUUGAAUCCUCUCUCCAUAUAUUUAUCUGUCUUAUUUUUUGUGAUCUGAAAUUUGUGAUUUGUCAACAUCUACUAUUGUUUGUGACUCCCACAAUGGGUAUAGGCCACAAAGGAGGGGAGAUGGUGGAGCAUGAAUUACAUUGUGGCUUAAAUCCUACUAACUUAAGUGUUUAGGAAAAUUACUUCUUCAACAAAAAAUACCCACUUCCCCAAACCUCCCAUUGCCCUUAAAGCUUCCAAAACUAAAAAUACCUGCACCCAAACUUCUCAGCAAAUAUAUCAUCUGCUUUGCUAUCUUGCAAGCAUACCAAAUCCAACUUCCAAGACAGGAUGAUAAUCUUAACAAUUUUCAUCUUCUACCGAUUAUUUAGGCCUCCUACAUUCCAUGACAACAUCAUUAUUUUCAUUGUGUUGAAGAUCCAUCUCUAUCUCCUUUUGAUCUACUUUCCAUGUAUUGGCCUUAUAAUUCCCAAAGCGCUAAUUUUUUCAAUUCCCUCUGUUUCCACCUAAAGCCUCUUGCUUUUCACUUUCUAGCUUAUACUAAGAAUGACUUUCUAUGUUUUGCCCCUAUUUUUAUAAUCAAGGUCAGAAUUUCUUCCUCAAAACUAUCAAAGGAUGUGCCCACAAAUCUAUUGAAUCCCACAAAUUUACUAUUAGACUAUAGCAAGGAACCUUUUUAACCAUUUCCAACCAAACUUCUUAAUAACUACUACUCCUAGAAGAAUCUAGGGGUAACUCAGACAAGAGAGAAAUAAAUGGUGAUGAAAUGAGGAGAACGCUUCUCAUUAGGGACCAACUUCCAUGAAUUACAUGGCCCUGAACUAGAACUAGAUUCUCAGGAAAAUCCAUUGAUCUGUCAUCUUGCAAGAUCAUUCUCAAGGGACCUCAUCCGCCAUAGCAAACUCUAGAGCUUAUCUCCCUCACCUUCUAGAAAUCCUUUUGCACUAACCUCAUAGGAGAAGCAAUCUAAGAAGAAAAUGUAGGAGUAGAAGACUCAUCCCCAAGCACCAAAACCUAGUAAUAGACUAAGAACCUAGGGUUCAAGAUACUAGUACCAAGAAAAGCUUAAAAGCAUGGUGUUUUCUUAAGAAAUCAAUUAUUUGAUGUGCAAGAUGUCCUCAUCAUCUAGCUACUAGAACCAAAUAAUUUUCUGUACUUCACAUGCCUAUUUAUAUGGAUGUCAGUGAGAUCACCUUCACCUAGGCAUUACAGACAUUUUUACAAAGAAUAUGAAUUGAUGAUGAAUUUUUAUAAAAUUUGUGUCACCCAUUUUCAUUAAUAAUCUACCUAACUUAGAAGUUGAAUCUAGAAAAGUGAAACAAAUUCACCAUUUCACACUCAGAUGAUGACUUAAAUUAAGGGCAAUUCAAACUAUAUAACACAAGCAUUUGUAGUAAAGAUAUAGCGAGCACAAAGUAAUAAAGAUAUACCAAGUACAAAUUUAACUUUCCUCUAUUGUUUUCAGUAUCUUAUAUUUCAAAAUUAUUCCUAAUGUGCAAAAAUGAAGGGAGUCCUGCUAGGUAGAAAUCCAGCCUUAAAACCCUUAAAACCUUAUGAACAAGUCAAGUUCAAAUCUAAAUAGAAUCUUUCAAUAAAUUUUCAAAAUAUAGUCAGAACAAGUAAUUUACCUUGGCAAUACCUAUAGUCUGUUACUCCAUUGCUUCAUGUAUGGUUGCCCUAUCAUGUUCCCUCAUACUGUCAAAUAGAACAUGAUUUAGAUUAAGAAUUAAGAAAGGGGAAGACAAAAUGGGGGGAGAGAGGAUAACAUGAAAACAAGAUGAGAGAUGAUAGGAGAAAUAAUAAUAAAAAAAUUAUAUAAAAGAUAGAGGUUUUAUAUAUAUAUAACCUAACACCAGGUUGUUAAAAUAUAAUAUUAGGGAUAUUUAUGUCUUAUGUAUGUUAGAAGGGUAAUAGGUAGUUGCCUCAUGUUUUUUUACUCUCAUUGUUUCCUUCUAUUCCGUUUUUUUUUUUUUUUUUUUUUUCAAACCAGGGAAUUCACCAUAAUACUAGCAAAUAUAAUUAACCAUCUCAUUCAAAUAACUAGCAACCUAAUAAUAGAUCAUUUUGGGGGAAGCAAGUCAAAUUCAUAGUGGAUAACUAUGACUUUAUCACAAACCUCCAUGCUAGAAAAUUUCAAUUGCCUAAUUAUGUCAACCACAGUUAUUAGUAGAGUUAUUUCUUUAAGGGGGUAAAAAAAAAGGGAAAAGAGAACAACACAACUACCAAAAUGAUAAGAAUAACAAGACCUAAAGAGAGAACCAUAGCUGGUUGAUAUUUUUUUCCUUCUCCUUCUCAAAAUAAGGUUCAGAAAACAAAAUAGAUUAUGCAUGUCGAGUUUGAUACACGAUUUACAAAAGCAAAGAGAAAGGUUGCCCUAUUUAAAGUUAAUGAUGUACAAAAAUAGAUUUUUCAUUCAAUCAAAAUGGCAAUACCUAUCAAAUUCGUCUAUACAACAAAGCCCACCAUCUACCAAAACAAGAGCCCUAGCUUCCAACAUCCAUUCCCCUAAAAAUUCCUUAAAAGUGGUUAGUCUUUUUAGUUGAAUUGAAUUUCACAUAUGUGGUUAUAUUAUGUAAUAGAGAAAAUUUCAAGGAUGCCCAAUGAAAUUUCUAAAAAUAAAUGGUGUACAUACUUAUAUGAUGACCUACAAAGGGCUUAAAAAAGCAAUAGAUAAAAUUUCAAUAAAGUAUGGGAUUGCUUGAUAUUCUGCAAAAUGGGGAUUGCUUCGUCUAUUUAAGUUCUCGAUGUAAACCAAAAUUUUUCAAUAAAGUAUCAUUUAGUUUCUCUUUCAAAUUCAAUAUGGUAUCAAAGCCCAAGAUCUGAACAUCAACAUGGUGAAAAUUGCAAUGAUAACAUCUAGCAAGGUCUUCGAAUGUCAUUUUCAAUUCUUUUUUUGUCAAUUCCGAUGGUAAUGGUGGUUUUGAAAAUUCCGUUCACCACAUUACUAUCCACAAAUUCAAUGGCAAGAAUUAUCUCCGAUGGUCUCAAUUAAUAAUGAUGUAUAUAUGUGGGAGAGGUAAAGACGAUGAUGACUAUAUCACAGGCGCGAAUAUGAAGAAUGAUGCAUCUUAUAAAACCUGGUUUUCUGAGAACAAUAUGAUUAUGUCUUGGCUUACUAAUUCCAUGGCGCAGGCCAGACGUUCCUCUUCUACAAGACAACAAAAGAAAUCUAGGAUGCAGUCAAAGAGACGUUUUCAGACAACGAAAAAUGCAAUAGAGGUGUUUGAAAUCAAAAGUCAAUUUCUAGAAUUACGGCAAGGGGACCUCAAUGUGACCCAAUACUUUAGCAUUCUCUCUUGAUAUUGAAAGAAACUGGACAUGUGCGAAGAAUUGGAAUGGGAUUGCACUAGUGACAACAUCAAAUAUCAGAAAAUUGUGGAAAAAGAAAAUAUCUUCACAUUCUUGGCGGGACUCAACAAAAAUCUUGAUGAAGUCCAAGGAAGGAUUCUUAGCACUAAGCCACUCCCAUUACUUUGAGAGACAUGUUCUAAAGUCCUGACAAAAAGAGAGUCGAAAGAAAGUCAUGAUGAAGGAUCAUAACUCAUCACAGUCUUUUUCGAGCAACGACGGAUUAGCUUUGGCCACCAAGUGACCAAAUUCUCAACACUUUGAUUCAAAAAGGAGAUCUAACAGGCCAUGGUGUGAUCAUUGUAAUCAAGUUGGUCACACUCAAGAAACUUGUUGAAAAAUUUAUGGGAAGCCAUCUAAUUGGAAAAGUAACAGAACUUAGGAAAAUAAACCUCAAGGUUAUUGUGCCACCAAUGAUGAACCACCACAAUCCAAUAACUUAGCUAACAAAACACCUUUCAACUAAGAACAGAUGGAGCUACUUCAGAAACUCCUCACAUGUGAUCCUUCGAGUAUCUCCACUAUAAGAUCAAGUUCCAUUGCCUAGAAAAGGAAUAUGUUCCAAAGCCUUGAAAGCUUUUUCAAAGUCAAACUCAUAGAUUAUCAACUCUAGCGCAUCUGAUCACAUGACCGGUGAUAUAACUUUUUUUCACUCUUAUUAGCCUUGUUCUGAGAAUUAUAAAAUUAAAAUAGCUGAUGGUUCUUACUCACCAGUGGCCAAUAAAGAGUGUCGUUCUUCCAAAUAGCUUUAGAUUGCUCUCUAUUCUUCAUGUUCCCAAGCUUACGUGUAACUUGCUCUCUAUAAGCAAAGUCACUAAAGAUCUGAACCGUGUUAGUAAAUUCUUUCCUAAUCAUUGUGAAUUUCAGGAAAUGGAAACGAGGAAGAUGAUUGGUUGUGCCUAGGAGCAUGAGGGUUUAUAUGUCUUUGGAAAUAAAGCUUCAAAAGGACACACUUAUAAGGCAAGCUGCAAUGUUCUUUCAUCUUUUACAAAUUCCAGUGACCAUGAAAUAAUGGUUUGCCUUUUUAGGCUAGGCCACCCAAGCUUUCCAUAUUUGAAAAUAUUGCUUCUAUCGUUAUUCAAAAAUAAAAACUUAAGAGUCAUUUCAUUGUGAGUUCUAUCAAUUGUCUAAACAUUGUUGAAAUUCUUAUGUUUCACAACCUUAUAAAAAAUCUCAUCAUUUUUCACUCAUACAUAGUGAUUUAUGGGGACUUUCCAAUAUUAGAAACAUAACAUGCUCUAAGUGGUUGAUUUCAUUUAUUGACAAUCACACACAAAUAUGUUGGGUGUAUUUGUUAAAAGAAAAUUUUGAAGCAAAAGAGAUUUUCAAAAAUUUUAAUAAUAUGAUUACACUCAAUUCCAAACCAAAAUCCAAUUUUUUCGCACUAACAAUGGUACUGAAUACUUAAUUCAAUUCUUGGACCAUAUCUUCGUGAACAUGACAUUAUUCAUCAAAGCUCAUGCAUUGCUACACCACAACAAAAUGGAAUUUCAAAAAGAAAAAACCGUCAUCUAUUGGAAGUUGCUUGAUCCCUUAUGUUCAUGACAAAUGUUCCUAAAUAUUUUUACGAGGAAACCGUUCUCACUGCAUCAUACUUGAUAAAAAAAAUGCCCAUUAGAGUAUUACAAUACCAAACUCACAUCGAAGUCCUAAAAAAUUGCUACCCUAACAUCGGCUAGUGUCAUCCCUUCGACCAAAAAAUUUUGGUUGCAGCGUUUUUGUCAACACUCAUGCCAAAAAAAAAAUGAAACUAGAUCUAAGAGCCCUCAAAUGCCUUUUCUUAGGAUAUUCUUCAACCCAAAAAGGUUAUAAAUGUUACUCUUCAAUCACAAAAAGGUUCUAUGUUUCCAUGGAUGUAACAUUCCUUGAGAAUCAAGCCUAUUUUCCCAAAACUCAGCUUCAGGGGGAGAUUUCAGGGAAUUCCAGAUCAGAUCAAUUUUGGGAUAUUGCUAUUCCAACUAAUAUUGCUCUUUCAGCCCUAAUUUUUGAAUCUGCCACCUCAACUGCCCCUGUAACAACAAGUAAGUCUAGCCCUGAAACCACUGUUGUUCCAUUCAAACCAAAUUUUGUACCCAAUCUUCUAGUAAAUUUGACCUCAAAGCUUUAGGUUUAUUCCUGAAGAAAAGUUGCCAGGGAUAUACAGACUCCCAUGCCCUCAACUCAUGGCCAGUUAACUAAACCUAAUCCGGAUCCUCAUGACCAGAAUUCAGGUAACACGGUAACUGAUACUAAUCCAGCUGUAUUAAAUGAUUUGGAUGUUCCUAUUUCAUUUUGCAAAGGGGUUAGAUCGUGUAUUGCACAUCCCAUUGUUGAUUUUGUUUCUUAUGAAAGAUUAUCUCCACAGUUUCGAGCAUUUACUACUAAUCUCUCUAAAGUUGAUAUACCCAGGGACAUUCAUGAGGCAUUACAACAUCCAAAUUAGAAAGUAGUUGUGCAUGAGGAGAUUAAAGCUCUUGAAAAAAAUGGAACCUAGGAAUUAACUAAAUUGCCUUUUGGAAAAUCGAUUGUGGGAUGCAAGUGGAUUUUCAAUAUGAAACAUAAAGCUAAUGGGAACAUUGACAUAUAUAAGGCAAGAUUGAUGGCUAAGGGAUUUACGUAAACGUAUGGAGUAGAUUAUCAGGAAAAUUUUGCUCUAGUUGCAAAACUUAACACUGUUCAAGUUCUACUCUCCAUUGCAGUCAACAAUGAUUGGCCUCUUUAUCAACUAGACGUAAAAAAAAUGCAUUUCUAAAUGGUGAUCUCAAUGAAGAAGCCUAAAUGGAUAUUCCACUAGGAUUCAAAGACAGAAAAAAGAGAAUCAAGUGUGUAGGUUAAAGAAAUCUUUGUAUGGCUUAAAGUAAUCACCUAGGGCCUGGUUUGACCGGUUCACUUUAGCUAUUAAGAAAAUUAGGUAUAGUCAAGGACAAUCAGAUCAUACGAUGUUUUUCAAACAUUCAUUGGAUGGGAAAAUAGCUAUUCUUAUUGUCUAUGUGGACGACAUAAUUCUUAUAGGUGAUGAUGAAGCAGAAAUGAUAAAUAUGAAAAACACCCUCUCUCAGGAAUUCGAAAUCAAGGACUUGGGAGCUCUUAGGUACUUCCUUGGUAUGGAGGUGGCUCAAACUUCAAAGGGAAUAUCAGUCUCUCAACGAAAAUAUGUCCUUGAUCUUCUAGAGGAAACUGGUAUGCUUGGAUGUAGACCAACAGACAUACCUAUGGAGCAAAAUGGCAAGCUUAGUGAUGAUGAAGAAAGCCCUUCGAUUGACAAAGGUCAAUACCAAAGACUUGUUGGGAAGUUGAUCUAUUUAUCCCAUACUAGGCCAAACAUAGCCUUUCUUGUUAGUGUGGUUAGUCAAUUCAUGCAAGCCCCCAUUAAAGAACAUCUUAGUGUAGUUCACAUAAUUCUCCGAUACUUGAAAAUGACACCUAGAAAGGGGUUAUUUUUUUGGUAAAAGUACCAAACGAAUAAUCAAAGUAUAUUCUAACGCAGAUUGGGCAGGUUCCGUGAAGGAUAGAAGGUCCACUUUAGGCUACUGUACCUACAUGUGGAGUAAUUUGGUUACUUGGAGAAGUAAGAAGUAGUCUGUAGUGGCUCAGAGUAGUGUGGAAGCUAAGUUUCAGGCUAUUGUACUUGGUGUAUGUCAAAGACUAUGGCUAAAACAUGUGAUGGAGGAGUUGAAGAUUUCAACCGAGUUUCCAAUGAAAAUGUUUUGUGAUACCAAGCAACCAUCAACAUCUCCCAUAAUUUGGUUCAUUAUGACAAAACCAAACAUGUGGAAAUACACCGACAUUUCAUUAAGGAGAAAGUUGAGAAUGAGGAGUUUUUAGUGCAGUACACACCUACCAAACUUCAAACUGCAGACAUUCUUACAAAAGCUCUACCAAUAUAGCAUUUUAAUUCUCUUAUAAGCAAACUAGGAAUGAUCAAUCUCUAUUCCUCAGUUUCAGGGAGAGUGUUGAAACUGUAGGUUUGAUUUUUAGGAGUUUGAAUUUAAAAAUAAAACCAGAAGAUAAGACUUGACCGAGUCCUAUUAUUUUGGACUGUUUAGUUUGGAUAAGUCCUAGAUUUUUAGGAGUUUGAAUUUAAAAUAAAACUAGAAGAUAAGGCUUGAUUGAAUCUCAUUAUUCUAAACUGUUUAGUUUAGAUAAGUCCUAGUGUGUUUAAAUUUGUUUUUAUCUCUAGUUUAAAUUAGAGAGAAUAUCGGAUGAUAUUUUGCAGUGCUACAUUCUCUUAACUCACAUGCAUGGCUUGAAAAUCUAAUUCACCUGACAAGACAUGCAAAAUACAUGUACUAAUGCAUUGCCAUCAUUUUCUAUUUUACUAGUGAUAGGAAUAAGAAUAAGAUAUCUAAGAGUUUGAGAUACACAUGUCUACUAGCAUGUAUCAAGAAAUGGUUGUGAGCUUCUUUCAUUGGAAAGAGAGUUAUAUAUAUAAAAGGACACAAAACAGGAUGGCCUAUGGCAAGCAUGCAGAAGGAAUACAAGCAACACCCUAAAAAAAAGAUGGAAAAGAAAAAAAAUGGAGACUUCAAGCAUUUCCAACCUAGCAAUGAAAUUCAAAAAACACACGCUCCCCAACAAGUCCACUGGCCAAACAAACAAUGACUUGAGAAUAAUUUCUUUCAGUUUCAACCCCGAAAACCCACUUGGUUAAAAAACUUGGUGAUUCCUCUUCCCCAAAGACACUAGGCUAGGUACAAUGAAGUUGUGAUCUACAUUUUCAUUUUCUUCAUCGAUCAACAAAGCCAACUAGAAAGAUAUUCCUUCAGUCUAGACAAGAUGCAAGCCACCUCAAAAGGAAUCAGCCAUAGACCAGAGGUUACAUAACUGUUGUAUCAAGAGAUGUUUGGUGGACUUCAACCAAAAUAGAGUUCCAAAUUUUUACAAUGCGCCUAUUGAAAUAAAAUAUUAAAAGUAGCAAAGCAGAAUUUUAUGACAAAAAAAAAACAAUUUUAAAAAAAACGCAUAACACUUUCCUUGCAUCAAAGAAUACACUGUUUAGAUGUUCCUUUAUAAUAGUAUCAAAGUUCACUACCCUAAAGAGGCCCGAUAGCAAGGGUUGGCAAUAGCAAUACACUGUCUAGAUGUUCCUAGGAAUUUUAGCAUUUAUGUGGUCUUAUAUAAAAAAGAAGCAUGUCCUUAUUUUAAAACACAGAUUUGAUCAACUCAAUUGCACAAACGUAUUGUUGGAAGGGAUCCAAAAUUAAAACUUAAAAUCAUGAGGAUCUAUUGGAUUGGCAUAGCUUAGACAUCCAAUGUCAUGUGAAUCUUGGGAAAUAAUAAGUCUUGCAAAGUGCCUUAAAACCCAGAAUUCUUGAUGGAUUGAGAUUCUCUUAAAUUUCUCAAGUUAGGAUCUCAGUUUGAACUUCCACAAUUCAACAAGAGAAAGUUUUCCAAUCAAAUUCAAGCUUGAAUUAAAGUGUUUCUGAUUCAAGCCUUAAUGUAUUUAUCCAUUAAAAAUUAUUUUAACAAAAAUAUACAACUUAACCUAAAUUUGAAAAGGCUAAUACUAAGAAUAACAAAGCCUGAUGGUAUCAGUCAGGAAAACCAGAGAAGAAAUUACCAGGAUCACCAACUAGAAGCAAAUGAGAUUUUCCUCGAACCUUAGUCCUAGAAGCAUCAACAUGUUGCACACCUCCAAUAAGUGUUAAUGCAACUAGAUUAAAAUAAGAAAAGUUAGAUGUGGUAAGUGAAGUAUGAAGCAAUAAAGAUUAUAUAAUUUUAAAGAAAGAAAAAAAUAUUAUCUCAAAAUUUGGACCACAUUAGCAUGUCCUCUGUAAAUAGGAGUUUAAAGGUGAAACAGUACAAUGGGAAGUUAAUCUUCAAAAUCCGUGACAAUGGAACUUGACAUUGGAAAGGAAUAUACUUGCAAGUUUCACAAUGAAGAGUCCAAAAACUUGUGGGCAAAUACCCCUAAGAAUGGCAUUUCUCCUUGGUACAAUUAAGCUACUUUAAAUUAAAAGUAGAAGAUGCCAAAAUUCACAGAGCAACUCUAAAUAAAGGAUGCUAAAAGAAUAAAAAUGAAUAGAGAACACACUUUUUUAACAAGACAUUCCUUAAAUAGCCUAAAUCUUCAUAUGCUGAUAUAGAAAAAUUAUGAAAUUUAUGUGAAUAACUAAUUUUCACCUUUUAAUGGGGUAUCUUUGAAGUCUAACCAGAACUGCUUGAAUUUCAUAAUGACCUAAUCAAGGAUAUCCAUGUCUAAUCUAAGCUCAUUAGUUCUCCUAAAAACAAAAAACAAAGAAAAUAAUAAACAAGAGCAAGUUAAAAAAUACCAUGCUCACUAAUAUAUGUGUGGACCCGCAUUUUUCACGUGCGUCCCUACUCGAUCGGCGAGACUCGCUUUUUAUUUGUGAAAAAUUAAUUUUAAAAAAAGUUGGAGUCGCCACCUAUUUUAUUUUUAUUUUAAAGGGAAAAUAAAACAAGAAAGAAAAACCCUAAAAAGUGACUCCAUAGUUUUGGAAAAAGCAUGUCUUUGAGAAACCUGAGUCUAAGUUCGGGAAUCAGGUUACUUAUUGGGAAGGUACCUCUAAGAGGUAGCACCCCUCUAAGCCCUAAAGAGGUCUCUACUGACUAAGUUAAGGGGAAUAUGGCAAUUAAUCGGUUAAUUAUGGAUACCUAAGUAGGCUAGGUGAUUUCAAAAAAAUUUGCAUGCUAAACAAGAUCAAAUCACAAUAAAGGAGAGUUAGGGUGUGUACCUGGACUGCCUCUCAAGCGCUAUCAUAAAACAUCAGAGUUAGUAUAGAAGUGUAACACACAACAUGUAUUUAAUCAUAGUGAAUCAAACAUACAUCUAAACACCUAAGGAUUAUCAAACAUAUGCAUACUUCACAGUGACAUGAUUGUUUACAAAAUUUAGAAAAGUAGGUGAUAGGGGGGGCGUACCUGGAUAGCAUAGAUAACUUACAAUGCGCUUCCAUAAGACAUGAGGGAUUAGAUAAUAAUAAAAUAAAGAAACCCUAGCAUGCUUGUUAUCUAAUUAGCAUAACAAAAAUUAUCAAAGUAUAUGAAAACAUUAAUUAUCACACACAUCUUGUAUACAAUUCCUAAAAAAGAUAGACAUAAUUUCAACAAGUGACAAAAAUGGCAACAAAAAUAAUUUUUGAAAAGAUUUUCUUAUGUAGGGGUUUCACCAAUUCCCCAAUUGAUAUACACGAAUUUAGCUCAGAGUUAUCCCAUUUAUUUGGGACUACAAGCUUUGAUUCGUGCCUUUGUUCAAAACCAAAAUUUUUGUUGAAAACCGAGAAGGAUGCCAAACUGAACAAGAUAUGGUUGCAUAUUAUUUUUAAAUAAUAAAAAAAAGGAAAUUUUGAUCCUGAGGACUCUAAUGAGUUUUUGAAAUAGAUUUUUAAAAUGAUUUUUUUUUUUAUAAAAGUAUUUUAUUUUAAAAUAAAAGGGAUUAAUUUGGAAAAAAUAAAAAAUAAAAUACCAAACAAAACAAAAAUGAAACCUCAAAGUAAAAUUUUUUUAGUAAUUAACAAAAAUGAUAAUGGUGAUGGUAGAGGCCAAUCUUCAUGAUUUUCCAAUGGCCUCUAAAAAUCAAAUUUAAUAAAUAUUCACCAAAGCAACAAACCAAACAACUUUAGAUCAAAUAAAACUAACGAAAUAUUAAUCGGGAUUUACAAGGAUCAAUCAAACACAUAAAUUGAAAUAAACAAUCAAGAACUAAUUUAAAAUCAACCAAACACCUAAACAUGUAAUUAUAAUAAGGUGAAUAUAGUAACACAAGCACAUAGAAUUCUAAAACAUAUUAACUAAUCAAAAACUAGAAUCAUCAAUUUUAGAACGUGAGCAAAAUAACAUAAGAUUAGUUAAACUAAUUAACCUAUUAGAAAAAAAGCAUGAACUAAAUAUUGAUAAACCAAGAACGAAGAUUAGUAUACUCAAAACAUGAAUAAUACGACUUAGGGUUAAUUAAAUUAGUUAUCUAAAACUUUGGAAAACAUACAAACUAAAAGUGGAUCAACCAAGAAUUAACCAAAUAUUUCUUAAACUAAUCAACUUAAAUCCUAAAAAGGAUGAAUCAGAAAAAAUGAUUUACAAUUUUUUUUUAAAAAACAUAAAUUUAAUUAGAUGGGAUCAAAUAGACUAAUGAGCUAAAAUUCUAAAAUACCUAAACUAAAUAAGAUGAACCAAAACAUGAUCAAAAUAAACUUAAAAACAUAAACUUUAUUACAUGUGAUCAAUUAGAAUAAUAGACUAAAAAUUAUAAAACACUUGAACUAAAUAAAAAGCUGACUCAUAAAAAAAACUGACUUUUAAAAUUAAAUCUAUUAAAACCGAUCUAAGCAAAAUUCUAACUUUUCGAACUAAGCAAGGAAUCAAAUCCAAACUACACAAAGAUUCUAAUUUUUCAAUGUAAUAUAAUGAAUCAAAAUUAAAAUAAAACAAAAAAUUCUCACCUUUUAAACCAAAGUAAUGAAUCAAAACUAAGCAAACAAAAAUUUACUUUUCAAUUUAAUAUAAAAAAAAUCAAAACUAGAUUAAACAAAAUUCAAACAUUUCAAAAUAACGCAAGGAAUAAAAAAUAAAUUAAAUAAAAUUUUAACCUUUCAAUCUAGUUCAAUGAAUAAAAAAAUUGAAUCAAACAAAAAUUCUAAUUUUUCAAGACAAACAUAAUGAAUUAAAAUUAAACUAAACAAAACCUAACUUUUGAAACCAAGACAAUGAAUCAAAAUCAAACUAACUACAUUCCAACUUUUUCAUCCGAUUAAAAAAAAAAUUAAAAUUAAUACAUAAAAACUCUAACUUUCAAUCCAAUAUAAAAUUAAAACUAAAAUCCUUAGAAAUUCUAACUUACCUUCUCUAGAAUUCCUCUAUGGUGGUGCGGCUGCUAGUGCUCAAUGGUGAAUGCGUGGUGGCUGCCUCCUUCCUCUUCCUUCAGACCUCUCUUUGUUCCCAGCAAAAUAAUAUCUCUUUCACCUUCUCAAAAAGCCAAAAAUCUCUCCUUUGCUUCCCAAAAAUAAUCUCUCUCCAUGUGCCUCUCUAAAAAAAAAUUCCGUGUGUUGAUCUCUCCUCGUCCACACCAAAAAAUAUAUUGUCUUCUCUUAUUUAUAUGGCAGCCUCACCCUCAUGGGAAAUUUUUAUUUCCUCUUUUAAUGCACAUGGAUGGCCUCUUCAGUAUGGAAAGUAUGACUGCUGAUAUGGAAUGCACCACCAUUCGUGUACGAGGUUUCUUAUUUUGUCCUCCCAAAGGAUCUCUUAUUCAGCCACAAUAUUUCCUUAUACGCUGCAUCUUUCCGGAUUUGAAAAUUAUUUAAUAUAAGGUGGAAGAUUCUUACUUUCUCAAUUCUAUAGUGCUGAAAGAUGACUAGUUUAUUGGCUCUCCCCUUCUCUUCGAUGUGAUGACUGCUCAUUUUUAAAGAAAGAAAAGGAAAGAAGCUACAGGCCAUGUUGUGGAGCCCUCCAUUCCCCGGAACUGAUCAUGCGUGUUGUACGCUAAUGGUAGACUACAUGUCCACUUCUUCUCAUGCGUGGACUGCGUAUCAUCCUUGGCGGCGUCAAUCCCAUGGUUUUAUUCCCAAUACGCUUCUACAAUCCCAAGAGCAUCAUGGUGCAUGUCCACUGCAGUAGCACCAAGCCUUCGCACACCUCUUAUCCUCAUAUGGAUAUGCUACAUUGCUGUCACCUUCAGAUUCAUCAAAAUCCAUGUCAGAUGACGAGCCUCCUUCAGAGUCAACGUCAGCUGUGACAUCUUCAUGAACUGGACGCCUCAUUACUGAUUCCAUGUCCUUAAUAAAACGGUCCACAUCAAGCUCCACUGCUUUUAGGUCUCUUGAUUGCUACAGUAGGUAAGCUCUUAAAAAUUUCAUGAAGUUUAAAUAGCUUUUUCUUGGAAGGAUCUAGGGCAUUGCAAUGCAGCUUGCAUCUAAGAACGUGACAAUCAGAGAGAUUCCCCCAGGCUCCUGUUGUCCCCAAUAUUGUAUUUAUAAUACUCUUCAUGUUUAACAAGCAUUGGAGUUCUCUUAUUGGUGCUGAAUUCAAGAAAACGCCCCUUCCUCACGUGAUAGCCCUCACUAAUUUCAUAUUUCUCCCUUCACAAGAGCCACUCAUCCCAGAUUAUGUAAUUCCACCUCCUCAUGCAAAACAAAAUAAAUAAAUAACUAAAAAAAAACUAAUGAAAAUUAUGAGAUUGGUAAUAAAAUAAAAUAUGAUUUAAAAGAAGAGAAAGGGAACAAUGAGAGACCAUAUUAUAUAAUUCCAUCAUUCAAUAAGGGGUCGUAUGCAUAUUUAAUGUCUAAACAAUUCUAACAAUUCUCUAUCAAGUAGGUAAAUAAAUAAAAUAAAGAAAAAUAAAAGAAGAAAAAAAAACGUAAUAGAAAUUUAAAAAAAUGACUAAAUAAAUAGAUGAAUAAAUAAACAAAUAAACAAAGUAAAUAUAAUCAUCAAAUGCAUGCAAUAAUGAUCAAGAGAUUAUAAAAAAAAAAGUUGAGCCUCAAUGAAGUGUUUAAGCGGGCCUAAGGUGAACCUAAGUGUCCUAAAGUGAUCGGGAUAUUGUCUAAGUGACCUAAACAUGCUUAAGAACCAUCCUAAAAAGGAAUGGAAAGCUUAAGUCUAAAUCAAAACUGCCAAGGGUCACAAUAAAGGGGCGGAUAAUCCCUCAACCAAAAUCUCCGAGGUGACUCAAAAAAGGGUAAGUGGUAUGAGUAGCUAUGGGCCACCAAGGAAUUAUUGUGGAGCAUUGAAAAUGAAUUUUAAAGACAUGUGCUAAAGGGACAAAAUUGAGGGUCUACAAUAUGAUAUGAUAGCAUUAGGUUCCAAAAACAUCAAGCAUUGUUCAAGUUCUAUAAGCCAAAAAAAAAAAAAAUACAAAUCUGAAGGAUUUUAUUUUUCCUUCUUUUUCACUUGGGUAAAAAAUGAUAAGAUUCUGAAUUUGUUAUCGCUUGCUGAAUUUCAAACUGGUAAGAAAGGCAAGAAGACAUAACUUAAACUGAAAAAUGACACCAAAAUAUACACCUUCUAGGAUACCAAGAGCCUAUACAAGACCAUUCAAUUUGGGAUUGCAAAGGGGUAGGUUCAGGUUGGAGUGCAGCCCCACCAACCCCAUUCCUAUUGAUAUAAAUCAUCAACCCUCAUCCAAGCUCAAAACCAAUGCAAGGCAGAACCAUGAAUCCCAUUCUAGGAUUGGCCAGGUCGGUUUAUAUUGGUUGAAAAACAACUCUGAUAUUUGAUUAAAGAAUAGUAGUACACAUAUAUAGUAGUGUCUAAGAUGCAAACACCCAAUUUACAGUUGUUCUAAUCACUAAUUUACAGUUAUCCUAGUCAAUAGUUGACUGUUACAAUUAUCCUAAUUUGUACAUUAAUUGACUAAUUCUACAAGCUUAUAUUAACAGCUAAUAUAUACCACAUAUAGGUCCUUUAAAGCUGAUCGAACCCUAAAAUGAAGAGAUUCUAUUGAUUUUCCACACUCCCCCUCAAGCUGGUUUGAAGAUAUUCUUCAUUCCUAGCUUGCAUGUCAUUGAGUUGAAGCUUGGAUUAGACACUCCUUUAGUGAAUAUAUCAGCCAACUGCAUUUUAGAUGAAACAAAAGGAGUGCAAAUAAGACUAUUAUCAAUCUUUUCUUUGAUGAACUGUCUAUCCACUUCAAUAUGUUUAGUGCAAUCGUGUUAAAAUGGGUUAUGUGUGAUGCUUAUGGAUGCCUUAUUGUCGCAAUAUAGUCUCAUAGGUUCUUCAAUGUCAAAUUGCAAUUCUUUUAGUAGAGUUUUGAUCCACAUGAGUUUACAAAUACUUAGGAUCAUAGCUCGGUAUUUAGCCUCAACACUUGAUCUAACAACUAUUGGUUGCUUUUUACUCCUCCAAGUCACCAAGUUGCCCCUUAGCAAGGGGCAAUACCCUGAAUUAGAUCUCUUGUUGGUUAUUUAUUGAUUUUUUUUUAUCAAAAACAAAUAUAUGUAUUAAUAGAGAAAAGGGACAUGAGAAGGAUGAGAAAUCCUCCCUAUGAAAUACAAACCUGAUCAAAAGAACUAGGUAAACCUCCACUAACCAAGGAAGGCUAUACAAGAGGUAAAAAAGGUCGCAUGAUCGAAAGAACUAAGUAAACCUCUUCUAACCCAAGGAGGGCUAUACAAAAGGAACAAAAUGGCUAUACAAGUAAAAGAAUCUUGACCCUCUAAACCCAACCCUACGGUGUACAUAGUGGAAGCGAACUAAGUUGGAUUACACUCAAAGGAUAGGGUUUAAAAAUGUCUAUACAGUAAGCCUGAAAAUAAACAUAAAAAUGUAAGGGAAUUUUAAGAUAUGUUUUUUAGUUGCAUUAAAGAUCGAAAAAAUGCAAGGGAAUUUUCUUUGGUCAAGUGCUAGGGAGCACCAAAGAGACCAUCUCAUUAGUUGGGACCUAAUGUGCAAGUCUAAAGUGGAAAGGGGUUUACGAAGAUUUCUCUAAGAAAUUAUGCUCUUUUAGGGAAAUGGCUAUAGAGGUCUCCUAAGGGAAGUUAUACUUUUUGAUAUCAUGUUAUUUGGAGCCUCUAUAGAACACAUUCUAAUAGGUAGGAUGUCGAGAUUAUAGUUAGGUGGUCACAUCAUUGUGCCUAGAAGGUCAUUGCACUUGUUUUUCAGGAUUUUUCUAAACAUACUCAUUUUAUAGUGGGUGAUGGGGUGAGAAUUUGUUUUUAAGAAGAUUUGUGAUGGGGGUAUGAACCUUUGCGCUCACAUUUCCUAAGUCUAUUAAGAAUUUUCAUGGUUAAAAACCUUCCUAUCUCAUCAAUUCUUAGUUUCACUUACCCUUGUUCUUUAAACUUUAAUUUCCAUUGCAACCUUUCUAACUCGAAGGCUGAAGAUCAUGAAAGACUCAUGUCCUCUCUCACUUGUUUAUAUUUAUCUCCAUCCAUCCUAAAUGCAAAAGGCUAAUUGUUAUCUUCAUGAGGAUUAUUUAUAGUGAAGUCAUUCUUUUUAGUCUUGUGUAACCAAUUUAAUCUAAUUUCGUUCUAUCCAUUUAAAUUUGUAUGGAAAUCUAAAUUCCCAGCUAAGCUCAAGACCUUUUCUUGGCUAAUGGCACACAAGAAAGUGUACACAAAUGGCAUGCUACAAUUGAGAAAAUUCUACAAAGCCCUUACUUCUUAUGUUGGCUUAUUGUGUAUGGAGAAUGGAGAAAUGAUGAAUAAUUUUUUCUUACUUUCUUUGUUGACUUUGGGCCUAUGACAUAUAGACUUUCCAAAUCUACUAACUUGGACUAGGUUCCUCCUAGGAGUAUUUGUGACAUGAUGAUCAUCUCAUAUAAGGGAUUGAGAAGCUCCAUUAGAGGCAACAUUGCUUGGUAAACCACUUGUCUCGCGUUUAUUUGGGUUGUUUGGUGGGAAAAAAAUGGGAGGAUUUUUUAAGGCAAGGUGAGGACUUCAAAGGCUCUUUGGGAUAUCAUUCAUUUCUUUUCCUCCUUUUGGCCCUCUUUCUAAAUCCCCUUCCAUUUUGGGCUUGCACACUAUGUCUCAACUAAUGAGAUGAUCUAUUUUCCUCCCCUAUCCAUGACCAUAGAAAAUCCCUUUGCAUUUUUUUAAUCUUUGUCACUACUACUAUAUAAUGAAAUGAAAUAAUUAGGAAUGUGAGUCAAGCAAGACAAGAUUACGGUAAUUCUUCCACUUAAAUACCAAAAAACCUUUUCCCAACCAUUUAAUCUUCGCUAAAUUCUGUCUUCUUAAUCUUAAAAGACACUAGCCUUUGGAUAGAUUCAAAUAGGUUAUUUAGCCAUUCAUAAACCUUACAUUCGAGCAUCGAAGCUAGCCUAGAAAUUUGAUCCUAACUCUUGUUGGAAAUUAUGUUUCUUAUAGACUUAAUCCACUUCAUUUGCACUUAUGCCAAUCAUUGAUGUGUUUAUAAAUCUGUGUUUGCGAUGGAUGUUUUUGUAAGUCUUUGGUGAUUUGGGAGAAAACCAGAACAAUUAAGUUAGUUGUUUUGAGAAUUCAUAAAUCUCCUCUCUCAAAAGAAAAAGAAAGACGUUCUUAGAGUUGUGGAAAUGACUAAUCUAGGGAGGAAGUUAGUGAUGAUAAAAAAAAAAAGUGUAGUUAUUGUUAUUGUACUAGAAGUGUAUAAAGCUAUCACUUCUCAUAGAAAGACUAACACGAGAACAAGGAAAAAGAAGAAAAAUAAAAAGAAAAGACUUAAUAUAUUUUGUUUUACGAUACUGUGUUUUAUUUACACAAGGAAAAUGCACCUAGGUCUAAUAGAUUCACCAUUACAAUGUUUCAAGAGUAUUGGGAUGUGAUUAAGGAUGAUUUUUUUCUAUGUACUUCCUCGAAAGUUUUUAUGAUUGUGUUGUUGUGAAUUCUACAAUUUGGUUUGAUACUUUUUUUUUCUCUAGGAUUCAUUGAUAUUACUUAUGUUGAACAUAUUAUUUAGAUUACUUGACCUUUUUCUCAAAACAUCUUAGAUUGGGAAUAUUCCUCAUCCAUUUGAAAUUUCUGUAUAGGUUUAGUGCAGAGGAUGAUGAAGAAGGUUCGUGAUUUGGUUCAGAGAAAAACAAUUGGAAAUGGUUGUCUUUGAUUUCCUUUAUUUCUUUAUUCAUAACUGGUUCGAUAUAAUUCUUGUUUGAGUCUCGUCAUCUUCCUUUAACUAGCAGGUUUUCCAGACUCAGUGUUUAACUGGACUCAAGAAAUGGAUUCAAAAUUGUCAAAUCAAGAUAUCAACAAUCAAGCCUUUUCCUCUAAUAAAAUGACAAUAAUAAUAAUAAUCAAGUCUUUCCCAAAAAGCAUUGGCGUCUUCUCUAAUGCCAAAAUGGUAAAUCGUUUUUGCGGCAUUUGCAUUAUUUUUUCUGUUUAAUACAAAGAUGAUAAUCAAGGAAUCAAUAUAACCUAUCUAGGGAGGGAAGUCAGACAAUUGAGUAACUGGUUAUCCCAUAAUUAAAUCCAUGAAUUAUUAAUUACAAUUCGUCUAGAUAAUUGUAGAACUUCGAAUUUUUGAAGAGCUUCUUGAAGUUGAUUACCUUGUAAGGCAUUGUUUAUUUAUUUCAUUCUACAGGCAUCUCAUGAUUUUGCUUUUGCAGUAGGCUAUUUCUCAUCAACGUAACAUGUACCUUUCUUUUUGCAACCAAGGAGCUAUAGUAGGGCAAUGAAAGCUGUAGGGGUUUGUGAAGGCAACCUGUGAAAAAAUAUUUGAGCUUGUAAUGAGCAUGGAUGGAACACGGUUUGAGUAAGUUCUUUCUAUUUUAAGUAAAGAUUAUUAUGAAUUAAUUCCAAAUGGUCAUUAUUAUGGUUUUUUGAAGAAUUUAUUUUGUAUAUAUCAUCCGACAGGUCUACUUCAAAGCUCAUUUAAGUUAUUUUCUUUUAGAAACUUUUCUUAUGUUCUUUCUUUAUAGCAUACAUAAAAGUGGUCAUGCUCCCAUGCAAGUCAAAGUUAUAGUGAUGGGAAUUACUUCUCUUGAAAUUUGCCUCAUCUUUUACUAAUUUUUUAGACCAUUUAUUAAUUUUUUUGAUAGGAUUUUCUUGACACCUUAUGAAAAGCAUAUACUCACUGACAUGAUUCUUAGUUUAAAGUUCAUAAUAUGAGCAUUCAUACAUGACAUAUAACAUGUCAAACCGAAUAUAUUUACUACUUUACGUGCAUUAGUUAUGUUUUAUGGUUAAAAUAUUCAAAACUAAUGAAAAUAAAUUAAAUAGUUUUUAGGGUUUAUUACACUUUACCCCUCUAACUUAUAGCAUGUUUUGCACAUUGCCCAUUCGAGUUUAAAAUCGAGCAAUAUACCUUCUAUGUUUUAUAAUUGCAUGCAAUGUGCAUUUGUUGUACGACGGCGUUAGCUAUAAUGAACAAAAGACACAUGUGCUAAACACAUGACAUGUUUAAAUGAGGGAAAAAUUGACAUUUCAUUUUCAAAUCUUCAAAUCCCCAAAACCCUAGCAUGUCCUCUUCUUUCCUCCAAUCGUUUGGUGGAUUCCUAAAUCCCCAAAUUGAAGUUGAAACCCUAGAAUGGCCACUGUCGAAGGAAUUCAAGAUUCUAAUGGAUCUCAAAACGCACUUGAGAUCGAAAACCUUGUCUGAUUCACCAUCGAUGAGCACAACAAGAAACGUGUUUUUUUUUUCUAUUUUUUAAUCUCAUUUUUCCUUUCUUUGUUUCUGCUCGUUUCUUGAAAAAAAUCUCCCAUUUUGUAUUUUUUUAUUUUUUUUUGUGAGGAAGAUAGAGAUUUGUCCGAUUCGCCAUCGACGAGCACAAUAGGAGACAAGUUUUGUUUUUUGUUUUUAAUCCCAUUUUUCUCUUUUUUUUGUUUCUACUUAUUUCCUAAGAAAUUCUCUCAUUCUUUUUCUUCUUUUUUUCUUUUUUUUGGAGGAAGGUAGAGUUUGGCUUAUGAACGUUUGCUUUUUUCUGAGGAACCAAACAAGGAUUUUUAUUUUUAAAAUUCGUUCCAUAAGUACAAUAAAAUAUUAUUUUUAGGGCAAAAGAAUAUGAUCAUUUGGUUGAUGGAAUUGAAGUUUUCAUUUCUUUUUUAUUUUGUGAAAUAAAUCAUUGCAAGGAGUUAGAUCCACAAUUUAAUUUUUGUUUCCCUUCCUAGGGUUUUUAAGUAGCCAAAGAAGGUGUUUUAUUUGUUUUUUUUUCCUCUUUAAAUCAUUCCUUGAAAAAUGAUUUUUUUAGAUGAGUUUCUAAUUAAGGAUUCUGCUUCUCCAAUAGUAAGAGCCUCCUUUAUAUCCAUUUCCAAUUUUCUCUUUUAUUUUUGGUUGAUUUGUUGGAUUAUGUAAUUUGAAUUGAUUUUUUUAAUUUAGUUUUGAUACAUUGGAAAAGGCUACUGCAAUUUGGGGAGACAAUCUCGGCCCCAAUUUAGGGAGACAAUCGGAGGUAGGAGGAAGGCUGGGUUAGGGUUUUAAAAUGAAAUAACGAUUUUGCCCUCAUUUAAACAUGUCACAUGUUUAGCACAUGUAUUUUCUGUGCAUUAUAGUUAACGUCGUCAUACAACAAAUGCACAUUGCAUGCAAUUAUAAAGCAUAGAGAGUACAUUACUUGAUUUUAAACUGAAGGGGGCAAUGUGCAAAACACGUUGCAGGUUAGGGAGGUAAAGUGUAAUAAACCCUAAUUUUUAUUUAUGGAAAUCUUUAACAUGAACUUAAUUCCCUCUUUUAAUGUAAUGAAAUCAAUAUGAAGAUUUUUUUUUUGUCCCAUAGCUGCAGCAAAUGAUUGUCCUUCACUUUUUAGUAAUAUAAAUAAAGAUUUAUUAUGUAUUAAUUUGAAGCUCCUCUACAAUAUAUUUUUAGCUUUACCAUGCCCUUGGGCAUUUAAUGGUUCAAAAUUAUGAAUUUUGAUUAAGGAAAAUUUUUUAUGUGUAUGAAAAUUUACAAUAGUUGGGAAUCAAGAAGGAUGAUUUGAAACUUAUAUGGAAGUUUUUUUGCAUAUGGGAUUGUUUGUUGGGUUCACACUGAUGCUACCACUUUUAGUUCUUUGAUCCCUAAUAUUGGAAUAUCUAUUCUUCUCAAGGACUGUCAACCAAUAAACCUUGUAGAAAGUUCAUGCAAAGCAAUCACUAGAGCUUUGUUAACAAUAAAUAAAUAAAUGAACUCUUUGAAGUUUGUUGUGAUAUGAUAUAUUAUUCAUUGAGGGGGCCUUAGUGAAGGUGGACAAUCAUAUAUUCAAAUUUAUGAGGACAGUGUUGGACAUUGUGGAAAGCCGAAUCCUGGGGGUUGGUUGUGAAAUUGGAGUUCCUUAGAUUAUGUGAGACAGAUUUUUGUGAUGGAAGUUGAUAAGGGGUUGAAUGCUCUUUUGGGGCUUUAAUAGGUUGGUUCGAUGCUAUGAGCUAACAAAUGUCUUAAGUAGAUCUACAUCCAUAGUGGAAUAGAAAAUCUCUUUCUAGGUUCCCAUUUAAAAGAAAUUGGUAGUCUCCUAUAUAGCAUAUAUGGUUUGCUAAUAAUGUGAUCAUUUUCAUCUGAAUGUGGAAAGCAUAAAAUUUUUUAAUUUUACUGCCUUUUGUUUUGAGAUAGUUUCUGGAUUUAAAAUUUAAGAGCAUUCCUUUGUCAUCAUCUGAUAAACUACAUUAUGUGGACACUUCAAAAUACAUAGGUUUGAUGACACAUGAUUAGGAUUUAAGGGUGUGAAUAUGGUUUGUUCUCUCUCUUCCACAUCCAUAUUCCCAAUGUGAGUGAAUGUCUAACAAGAGGAACAAAGGAUUGAUGGAGACGAAUGGUAGCCACCUUUAGAAGUUUAUCAGAAAAGCAAAGGAGUGGGCUCCAAGGCUCAAGCUUUAAUUUGGCACUCUCUAGAUGAUAAUGGGCAUAGUUGGGAUCUUAUAUAAGUCAAUAUAAGUUUAGCCUAGAAAGUACUUUCAGAAAUUAAGUUAUGGGCCAGUUAAUGGUCAUAAGUUACCAUUUCCAGUCAUUAUUAUUGUCAUUUUCCAAUAGUCUUUAAUGUGGUCAGUAGUUAGUCCAAGUUUGUCAUUUUCAAGUUGCAUUAUUAUUGUGUCUAGUUCCAAGGAGUUAUAAGUCUCUAGAAAAGUCUUAUAUAGUAGUUGAUUAGUUUUUUGAGAGGAAUCAAUGAAUGAAUGAAUUUUUAACAACCAUUUUUUUCCUUUGUGUGAUGCAAAGAGUACUUGGGUGUGAAGCUUAAGGUUUCUAGGAGUGAUUCCUAAGGUCCUUUCAAUUGUACUCUCGUUGCAUUUUACUUUUUGUACCGCAUCACCAAAAUUCUAGUUUUCUAGAAGUUCCUUUACCUCCUUGAUUCCUUCCUUUCAAUUAUGGUACUUCAAAUGAAUCAAGUACUAGUUUUCAGCUAAAGAUAGGCAUGUAGAAAAUUACAUUGAUAAUGUGACUAUGUUUCCAAGUCAUGGGGUUUGGAUGUUAGAGAAGACGUAUUUUACACCUAAUCCACAUACUUGCACGCAAAAAUUGCAAGGUAUUGGAGCAAAAUUGACAGUGUGGAAUAAGAUCACUUUUAGAGAUAUAAGAGAGAGGAAGGAUUCCAUCAUUAAGGAUAUUGCCAUGGUAUAGAUUCUCUUGAGCCAUCCUUAAGGGCUACAAAGAAAGUAGAGUUGGAAGAAAUGUUGUUAAGGACAAAGAGGCAUUGGAGGCAAAAAAUCUAGAGUGAAGAGGGCCAAGGAGGAAGAUUUAAUUCUAGAUAUUUUCAUAGAAUUGCUAAUGGAAGAAGGAAAAAGAAGUUCAUUAAAUCUUUAGUGAAUGAGAAUGGAACCAUGUUAGAUGACUAAGUUAGCAUUUUAAAGGAAAUUUUGAUAUUCUUUGAUGAAAUAUAUAGCAAGUCUAAUGAAGUUUUGUGGAGAGUAGAAGGAUUAGAGUGGGCCCCUAUCCACUUUUUUCAUUUUCUUUUUACUAUUUUAGCAUAUCUUUUGAGUAGAUUGAUGUUCAGAUAGGAGUUUGGUAGUUUUUAGGGCUUCUUAGUGGGUAGAAGUACAACAAUGGUGCUUCAUUAAUGGUUUGUUGAUGACACCAUACUCUUUUCAAUAGCUAUUUUAAAUUAUUACAAAGUCUUAACUAAUUUUGUUGGUAUUUAAGCACAUUUCAAGUUUGAAGAUAAAUUAAGACAAUGAGAAAAUAGGGUUGCUUUUGAAAAUGAGGAACUAUCGGUCCAAAUGAUGAAAUACUCUCUUGUUAGCAAUUUGUGGUCUUGGUCCAAAUGUUGUAUAGUUGAGGGUUUAAUUCUUUAAUCAACUUUUUUGAGUGGGUGGGCUAUAGGUGAAGAGGAGGGGGGUGGUUAGUUUUUUGUUUCCCUCUUCCUUUUGUUUUUAGUCUAUAGGUGCCUAUUUGUAUACCUCCUAUAUGCUUUGAGUUUGUUGUUGAGCACCCUGUUCUUUUAAUAUACUCUACUGUGACUUUGCCUAUAAAAAAAAUUAAAAAAAAAUAAAUAAAUCUAGACAAUGGUAUCUUGUUGGGUAUCAAUGUGAGUUUAGACCUAGCUUUGAAUUGGCCUAUUUAGAAUGUAAGAUUUUGAUUAACCUAUAUCUUUUUCGGGUCUUCCUUUAGGGUGAACCUUAGAGGCAUAUCUUUUUGGGAUUUAGUUUUGGAUAGGAGUUGUCGAUGUUAGAUGGUCGGAAAAAGGCCUACUUGUCUCCAUGUGGAAGAAUAACUCUAGUGUAGUCUUGCUUUUCCCAUGUCCCCCUCAUCAUUAUUAUUAUUAUUUUAUUCUUAAACCUCCAAUUAAAGUGGGUUAUACAAUUGAGAGAUUACAAAGGAACUUUCUAUAUUUAGGUGUUGGCGAAUGGAAGAGAGAUCAUUUUAGGGAUCAAUGUCUAAGCUAAAAGGAGAAAGGGCCUUGGAAAUUAAAAGAAUGACUUUGAGGAAUAGAGUCUUUUCAAGGAAGUGGUUGUGGAGGUUUCUUAAGGAAAACACUACUUUAUGGUACAACAUAUUUUGAAAUUUACGGGCCACAUUCUUACUGAUGUGAUGCUAAUGUUAUUGUUAUGUGAUCUCAUUAAUGUCCUUGGAAGGUCAUUGCACAAGUAUUCUAUGGUUUUUGUCAUUUUACUUGUGUUUAGUGGAUAAUGGUACAAAAUUCACUUUUGGGAGGAUAUUUGGUGGAGUGCUUUUUUGCGUUUGGCUCCCAAACCUCUAUAAAGUAGUAAGGGCGAGAAAUUCAUGUAGUUCUUCAGUUUCCAUUCCAUUCUCCUCUUCAUUAUGGAAUUUUAAUUGUUUGCAAAAUGUUACUAAUGAUUAAAUGAAGGAACUUUAUAAUGUUAACUUUAAUCCAUAUGUAUUUAUUGCUCACAUUCUUCGAUAUGAGAGUUUAAUCUUUGACAUCCUAUGGUCUAUUUAGUCUUAGUUUAUGCUUUAGAACCCUCUUUGUUUCCACCAAUUUAAGAUCCUAUCUUUUGGAAAAUUUCUUUUAGAAAUCUAAAUCUCUAUCAAAAGUCAAGGCCUUUACAUGGCUUGUGGCAAGUAGGAAGAUUAAUAUCCUUGAUUUCCUACAGAUAAGGGGCCCUUUCAAAGCCUUUACCCUAGAAUGGUGUGCCUUUUUUUUUUUUUUUUUUGUAUUUUCCAUUAGCAUUAACAUUAUUACAUAAGUUGUUUGGACUAUAAGAUUGAUUGGAAACCUAGGAGUGUGGUGGAGAUGCCAACAAUUUCCUAAAGGUUUUGGAUGUCUUCCUAAAGGAAACUCAUGGUGUAUUGUUAGUUUCACAUUAAUUUGGAAUAUAUAGCUGGAGAGGAAUGCGAAGAUUUGAAGGAUAGAUGAAGAAUUUUAGAGGCAUUGUAGAAUUCAAUCUAUUUCUUCUCAUUCCAUUCGGCAUCAAGUAGUAUAUCAUUUCUAGGCACUUUUUUGAGUGUUAUAUUGAUACAUUGGACAUAAUAUGCAGUUUAACUAGGUUGGCUAAGAAAAUAAUCUCUAAAUGGACUUUCCCAAUUGUGUCAACUUGAAUUUUGAUGGUUUCUCAUUAGGAAAUUCAUAACAAUUAAGGGUUGGAGGAAUGCCUAUGGAUCAUCAUGCAACACUAAUGAGAAUAUUUUCUAAACAUAUUAAAAUAGAUCUAGAAAUUGUGGUGGAGAUUUUAACCUUGCUGAGAAGUUGAUCAAAGUAGAGGGUCAUUCCAACCUAAUGUUGGAGUGAGAUUUUGUAAUAGUCCUUGGUUGAGUAAGAAAGAAAGAGGCUAAUGGAAAUUUGACAAGUGGCUUCAUUAAACUUUUAUUUUUCUUGAAGGAUGGGAUGCUUCUAUUAUUGGAUUUCUCAUUCAUCUAUAUAUUAACAAAGCAGGGAGCCGAACUUCUGUUCUCUUUUAUAGGGGGUAUUUUCGAAUAUGUUAGCAAAGCAUCGAGCCAAACAUUUGAUCUCCUUUGUAGGGGUUUCUCUACCUCUCUGAAUAUUGAUUUUGUAAUUGUAUCCAUUUUUCAAUGUGCAAUGACUUAUGGGGUUUCUAGAGUAGAUAGUUUUUUUUUUUCCCCUACUUUUGAUUAGAGUAGUGGAUGAUUUUUUUAGAGGGAGGAUUUACCAUACUUCUUUGUACUUAUUUCAUAGUAAUGAAGUCUUUUAUUCCGAUUGAAAAGAAAAAAAAUAAAAAAGACAAAUACUUGAACCAUGCAAGAUAACCUACAGUAUAUGAAACAAUAUAAUGAUCUAUUAGGACUUUAAUUCUUUUCCUAAAACUUCUGAGUUUUUCAAAAAGUGGAAUAAAAAUAUAAAAUAGAAACUUUCCAAAAUAAAAUGUUUAAAUAUGUAGGAACUCCAUAUGAUAAGAAACUUCCACAAAAGUAUAACUUUUCAAUUCUAAAUAAGACUCAAAUAGGAAAAAUGAGUAAGUUCAAAAAGUAGGAAGUUCAAAGUGUAUAAGUUUCUUAAAACAAAAAUAACAAGAAGACUUACUAAGCUCAAAAUAAGACUAAAAAAACCAACUACUACUAAUUAUGACACCAAAGAAUUAAAAUGUGUGAAAUUAUACAAAUCCCUUGGACAAAUCAAUUUAGGAUUUCUUUGCUUCUUUUCUUCCUUUGCUAAGAGACCUUGAAAGUUUAGUCCCAUCACCAAGGCUAUAUGUUUUUGUUUGGUAUUUUUUUGGAUUUUCCUUUUUGUUUUUUUCUUCUGAGGUGACUAUAUUACAUCCAAUUAUCUUAUCUUGAUGUUGGUAGAUGAUUGUUAUUUCCUGUAUUUACCAACUUUUAAUUUGUUCCAAUAGUGAGGAAGUAGUGGAAAGAAUCUUUUCAAUUUUCUGAUAUAGGGUUUAUUUUUCUGAUUCCUUUCCAUGAUCCUCCUAUGUGGGUGCUCAAGUGUGGUGGCACUUUCUCCUUCUCUUUUUCCAUUUCUUAUGACUUGUUGAUCUCCUAACCAACAACCCUGUAGAGUUUAUCUGUAAAAUGAAAGUCUCUCAUAAAGCUUAAGCUUUUGCAUGGGCUAUAGCUUUAUAAAGUUUGACCAUAUUGUAUAUCUAUUGUUACAUCUCAAGAAGUUACAAAUUUGUGAGGUGAGCUUUAGGUCCCAUACUCUUCUCAUGUCAUAGUUGUUGCUCUCUAUCACUGUGUGGGAGGUUAAUAACUGAUCCUCAACUAUUUAGCAGUCUGUUUUUAAGAAUCAGUAUUUGAAUGACACUUUUUUCUAAUAUUAUCUAAUGCUGAAAUAGAUGUCUUAUUUUGUCUUUGAAAAAUAAGUUUUCAUAUGAAAGGGUCAUAAAGAUGGAAAAUGCAUCAUUUUUGUUAGCAUUGUAUCAUGAUAUAUGAUAGUCGGAUUCUUAUCCUUAAAAAUAUAGUUGUCCUUAAGAUGACAUGGCGGUUAAAGCUUGUUAGUAUGUCCAAAACUUUAAACUCCUAUAUAAUAUUUUAGUUGGAAUGCAUGUAAUAUUUUGUUCAUGCCUAUCUCUAGAACACCCAGUAUGUGGUGGUCAAUAAAAUUAAAAUGGUUAGUAGUACUAUUAUUUUGUUCAAUUUAAGAAUUGUAUUACAUGUAGUACUUUUAUUUGUGUGUGAAAUAAAUGAUAUGUCAAUGGUGAUUCAUACCUGAUAUGCCACUUUCUCAAAUAUAUUUUAGACACAUUGCAGUUAGUGCCUUUACUAGAGUCCAUGACUCCAUGUCAUAUGACUUUCCACCUUCAAAAAAUCAAGCCAUAGUAAGGAAGAGCCUCUUAGUCACUUGAACAAGGUUACUAUUGGAUUCUAACACCUCCAAAUUUCUGUGAUUAACUAAAACCUAUGAUUUCUUUUAUAUGUGUGCACUUUUUCAUGUCAUUAACUUUUCAUGUCAUGAGUAGGCGGAUUGUAGUUUCCAAUAUGGCAGCUUAGUGGAGGAGGUAGAUGGACAUACAACUAUUCUCUAUCAUAGGCUUCAGCUAGAUUGGUUCCCUAUGUAAUAUUGUCUCAAGUUAAAUCACUUUAUUUAUGCUUUAUGAUGUUACAGAAUCUAGUAAUUGUAUGAGUGCAUACAAAAUUUCGUUGUUUUUUUUGUAUCAACAUUGUUAAAACAUGGCACUUUUGUGCAAAUUCAAAUUAAAGCUUUUACUUUACCUCUCUCUAGUUGGCAUGUAAUUGCACUUUAGAUUCAUAAUCUAAGUCUUUUAAAUUUUCUUAUAAACCUCAUAUGGGAGAAACUUCAAUUAUCAUUGAUCGCCACAGUUGGGCAUCAUAGCUUGUAGUUGUGUAUGGAGGCCAUAUAUACACUAAAUUUGUACUCGAACUAUUACAGUAGUUGGGCCCUACAUGUCCAUAAUGCAGUUCAAAAAGCCAAGUCUUGACUUUCUCAUGGCUAGGUAUGAUGCAACUUGGCAUGAAUGCUUAUCCCUCAGGUGGAUUCUGAACACUACCCCUAAUCCCAACUACAUUGAAGUCUAUUAUUGGGGUUGCCUGGGGAGAUCUCUUGAUAAAUCCUCCUCAAAGUUGCUGAGGCAUGGAGGUUUGAGGAUUCAACUCCUUCCUAGUAUGGUAAUAAGGCUUGGGGUUUUACAUAAACCUGUUAUACCUUAGUGGUGAACGUAGUCCCUUUGGUCAAGGGAUAAUUUGGAUGGAUAGUGGGCUUUUAAAUCAUGGUUAGAGGUUUGUGAACACACAAUUUCAUUCAUAUGUUGACAUAUAAAUAUUAUAAUUUUAGGCACAUUAUUGUUAAGUCAGUACCAAACCCAACUAACACAUCUAGCUUUUUCAAAAACAAAUUCCACAAAAUACGAAUCUUCACACCUUUUCAACUAAUUCUACUAUUAACAAAAUAUACAAAAGAUUUCUUAAAGUAUCUAGAAAAUUCUCAAAUUCUAACACUCCUUCUUGAGAAUUUUUCUUAGAGACUCCAAGCCUUGAUCUUAGCUCUUCGAACUUGGCUUUGGAAAGUGCUUUAGUUAAUAUGUCAGCAAUCCAAUUUUCUGAGCAACAAUGCACCAGAUUGACUUCACCAUUCUUCUCAGCUUCUCUAAUUGCAUGAAACUUCACAUUUAUGUGUUUGGUUCUUCCAUGCUGCACAGGGUUUUUUGCAAUAGCAAUGACUGACUUGUUGUCAACCUAAAUUACAGUAGCUUCAUCUCGGCUUUGCCCCAAAUUAAUCAAUAGUUUCCUUAACCAAAUAUCUUGGUUUGCAGCUGCUGCUGCAGAAAUAUACUCAGCUUCUACUGAGGAUUGAGCCACGACCUCUUGCUUUUUUGAAUUCCAUGAAAAAACUCCAUUACCAAACGAGAAAGCAUAACCAUAAGUGAUUUUGGAAUCAUCUAAACUUCCUACUCAGUUACUGUCUGCAUAUCCCUUAGAGUUCUUUACUUUCUUUCUUAACAAACCACAAACCAUAGUCAAAAGUACCUCUAAUGUACCCUAGAACUCUCUUAGCUACCCCAAAAUGAAUUUUACUUGGUGAGUGCAUAAACCUUGAGAGUAGGCUUGCUGAGAACAUUAAAUCUGGCCUUGUAGCAUAUAACUAGAGCAGACUACCUAUUAGGCUUCUGUAAACAAAGGCAUCUGCUUUGAUGUUAACUUCAUUCUUUGAUAAUUUCUCAUUCACAACCAAAGAAGUUGCUAGUGAUUUGGAUUCUCCUAUAUGAAACUUCUUCAAAACCUUCAGAGCAUACUUCUAUUGUGAGAUGAAGAUUCCAGCUUCACAUUAGUGAAUUUCCAUGCCUAAAAAAUAUUUCAUCUCACCCAAAUUGGACAUUUCAAACUCACUCUCCAUCUGUAGCAUGAAUUGCUUCAAGAUUUUUGAAUUACAACCUAUAACCAGUAGGUCAUCUACAUACAAAGAGACAAUAAGCUGAACUUCUUCUUGAACCUUCAACACAUAUAGAGUAGCUUCACUUUCACUUCUUUUAAAUCCUUGCUAUAGCAGAUAGGCAUCAAUUCUACUAUACCAAGCUCUUAGUGCUUGUUUCAAGCCAUAGAGAGCUUUGCAGAGCUUGUUAACUUUGUCUUCACAACCUAAAACUUGAAAUCCUUCCGGUUGCUCAACAUAAAUAUCUUCUUCAAGCACACCAUUUAGAAAGGUUGACUUCACAUUCAAGAUAAUGAAUUUUCCAUCCCAUCUUUGCUGCUAAAGCCACCAAAAGCCUUAUAGUAUCAUGCUUAGCCACUGGAGCAAAAAGUAUUUGAAAAAUCAACACCAUACUCUUGAGAAUAGCCCUUUACAACCAAUCUGGCCUUAAGUUUGUUUACAGAACCAUGUGAGUUAUAUUUGAUUCUAAAAACCCACUUAACUCCAAUUAUCUUUUGAUUUUUGGGCCUAUCAACCAGCUCCCAAGUUCCAUUUUUAUUUAUCAUUUUUAGCUCCUCCUCCAUUGCAAUUCUCCACCCAUUUUCUUUAGCUGCUUCAUCAUAACAUGUAGGCUCCUGUAAUGCUACAUCGCAUCUCUCAUAUAUUCAUCAAGUGACCUUGUUCCUCUUACUGGAACAUUAUCUAAGUUAUCAACACCAACUUCAUCUUCAAUUUCUUCUGGAAUUUGGGGUACGGUUACCCCAAUUUGAUCAACAUCUUCAACUUCUAUCUCAUUUUUCUCCCAGUUCCAUACUGCUGCUUCAUCAACUUUGAUGUCCCUGCUAAGCAUUACUUUUUUUAUUUUCAAAUUGAAAACUCUAUAGCCCUUGGAGGUUGAGCUAUAUCCCAAGAAGAUUCCCAUCUCAGCUUUGUAAUCCAACUUGUCUCUUUUCACAUCUAGCAUAUGAGUGUAACACAAACUCCCAAAUACUUUCAAGUGUUCCACAGCUGGUUUAACUCCAUACCAAGCCUCAAAUGGAGUUUUAUUCUUCACAGCUUUGGUUGAAGUCUGUUCAACAAAUACACAGUUGUGUUAACAGUUUUUGCCCAAAAACACUUGGGUUUUUUCUUUUCAAAUAGCAGACACUUUGUCAUAUCCAUUUGGCUCUAUUCUUUCUCUCACUCACUCCAUUUUGUUGAGAGGAGAAAGUGACAGUCAACUGAUGUACAAUUCCAGCUUCAACACAAAACUUGUCAAACUUGUCAGAUGUAUAUUUAGUCCCAUUAUCCGAUCUUAUUACCUUAAUGCUGAAAUUUGCUUGAUUUUCCACCAAGGCCUUGAAAUUCUGAAACACACCAGCCACUUCUGAUUUUUGCUUCAUAAAGAAAACCCAACACAUCUUUGUUUUAUCAUCUAUGAAUAAGAUGAAAUACCUACUUCCAUUCAAUGAGGGUGUUUUCAUUGGUCCACACACAUCAGUAUGGAUUAAUUGCAACCUUUUUUAAGCUCUCCAAGCCUUGUUUACAGGAAACGACAUUCUACUUUGUUUCCUAAAUUGACAGACUUGACACACAUUUUUUUCAUCACAAAUGACAGGGUAGGCCUUGUGUUAAGCCUUUCUUAUGCAAGUGUUUAAGUGUAGCAUAAUGGAAAUGGCCAAAUCUUUUGUGCCACAACACAGACUCAUCAACAAUAGUGGUAUAGGCAUGCUAAUUAGUUUCUUUCCACUUAAUUGGAAAGCUUUUGUCUCUCAUUUUUACAGUCAUCAACUUACAACCAACACUAUCAACAAUAGUGCAGGACAUAUUUUGAAAAUGCAAAGAAUAAUUCUUCUUUAGCAUUUGACCCACACUUAAUAAGCUUUGACUAAUUUUAGGCACAAACAACACAUCUGAGAUAUAUUUAAUACCUAUUGGAGUCUCAACAGCAACAACUCCCUUGCCCUUGACAUUAACCAAAUCUCCAUUUCCAAUCUUCACUUUCGACUUAUAUGAGUGAUCCAACUCCCUGAAAUAGCUCAAUUCAAGAGUCAUGUGGUUUGUACAACCACUGUCAAUAAGCCAAGUUUCUGUACAACUGCUUGUUGCAUGACUUGUAACAAUAAACAAUUGCUCCUAUUGCUACUGAUUUUCAGCCAUUUGUGCUUGUUUCCCUUACUGAUCAUUUUUAUUCUUGCAUACCUUCUCUACAUGACCAAAUUGCUUGCAUGAUCUGCAUUGCACACUUGGCCUAUACCAACAAAAAUUCUCUGAAUGACUCUACCUCUUGCAGUGAGGACAUGGAGGAUACCUCUUUUUGCCACCACUUUUUCUUCCUUGGCCCUCAUUCUUCUCUUUAUCUUUCUUCUCACCGAAUUGAUUUUUCUCUCUACCUUGAGAAGCUUUUCUUUUUGCUUUGCAAGAAAAGCCUCUUCAUUGUUAUCUUUCUGUCUCAUUGAUCUCCUUUGUUCUUGAGCUUGAGAAGCAUGAACAAGCUCAGCCAAGGAAAUUUUGGUUAAAUCCUUCGAGUCUUCAAGUGAAGAGAUCUUGGACUCAAAUCUUUCAAGCAAGCUCACUAGAACUUUCUCUACAACCCUUUGGUCUAUUAGAUCCUCACCAAGAAGUCGGAUUUUGUUAACAACUUCCAUGAGCCUGUCUAUAUAGUCUUUGAUGGACUCAUUGUCUUUCAUUCUCAAAACUUCAAAUUGCCUCUUCAGAUUCAGAAUCUGCAUUUGCCUAGUUCUAUCACUCCCCAAAUACAUCUCCUUGAGCUUGUCCCACACCUCUUUUGGUGUUUCUCAAGCCAUAAUCCUUGUGAAAAUUGGUUCUAAGACAAUAGCAUGGAUGUAAGAUAAAGCUCUUGGAGCAUUAGCUUCUUCUUCUUCAUGAGUCCUGAUUUGAUUGAGGGUUGGAUUGUUUCCCAAAGGUUGUAUUUGUCUUUCAAUUUCAACCCACUACCACAAACCAAGACCACUCAGGUAAGCUUUCAUCUUAACAACCCAAACUUGAUAGUUUUCACAAUUGAAAACUGGGGUUGAAAGAGUAGACGUAUUGCUGGAAACCAUGAGGGUUUUUAGAGGAAGCCUUGCUGGUGGUUUUUUGUCACUCACAGGUCCUAUUAAGAUUUUUUUUUGUCCUUUGAUACCAUGUGAACACACAAUUUCAUUCAUAUGCUGACAUAUAAAUAUUACAAUUUAAGGCACAUUACUAUUAAGUCAAUACCAAACCCAACUAACACAUCUAGCUUUUUCAAAAGCAAAUUCAACAAAAUACGGAUCUUCACACCUUUUCAACUAUUCUACUAUUAAAAAAGAUAUAAAAGAUUUCUUAAAGUAUCUAAAAAUUCUCAAAUUCUAACAGGUUCGUUGAGGAAGUUGCAGCACAUGGUUGGAACAUUGGGAGCUGUUAACCUCACCACUUCACUCAUUUUCAUACCCUAUUACUUGAUAUGUUGCUUGCCAAGUUUGCAUCAUGUGCUCCUCUAUCGCAAGAUCUACACAUGGCAUUGCUCACCAUUCAUUGGAUUUUAGUACUGUGGAUUGACCCCUUAAAACUAGUUUUCAGUUAUAAGAGCUCCUGGGGGAUGGGGACUAGAUAUGUAUGCAAUGGAUGUGUACAACAAAGGGGGAAAAAUAACAAAUUCCUCACUCAUUAUAAGCAACCUUAGGCUCAUGUUAGAUAUUCUUAGUUACAUUCAAUUUUAGCAAAAAUGACAAAGUAGGAAGAAAAUGAAAAUUAGGUUAUCUUGCCCAAUUUCUGGGGAUUAAAAGAAUCUAAUAUAGACACAGGUUAACACCCAACACUUGUACUCAAGUUCAUGUUGAAACAGAUUGACACCUAUUGACUGGGAGUAUCUUUGGGAUAGAUUGGCACCUAUAGACCAGGAGUAUCUCCACAUGUCCAAGCCUCCUGAUUAGUUUGUUCAUGAAGCUUUUAAACCAAAUCUCCGCAAAAAUAAGGAAAAUUUAGAAGAUUCUGGACAAUGCUACUUUUUUCCUUCUAGUUAAGAUGCUUAAAUAACUUAUACAAGGUGACCCACAAAGCAGAAAAAGAUAUGAUUAUUGACUAGAAACUGUUCUUGAAUCACAAAAUUCAAACUAGAAAAAAGAAUAAAUCUUAAUGUAUUCUUUGUUUGAAUGGGUUGGAAGAUCCUUAGGAGGUGGAAGUGUUUUUCGAUAUAUCUAAUUGAUGUUUUUAAUAGUACUUCAAUCGUAAAGAGUCUCUUUUCCCCUCUACCUUUGGGCACUUAUUGUAUAAAAUUUUACUCGUCAAGGGGGAAAAAAUAAUCUCAACCAGGGCUUGCUUAUAAUUCAUUUUCUAACUAUAAAACACUUAAUACCAUGAGAGUCUUGACCGGAUAGUAUUUGAGGGAACAAUUACACAUAUGGACAAUAGAUCUUAACCAGACUUGGUUGCUCUUUGUUGGAGGUAUGGGCUGAUCAGAUUGGUGAAAAAAAACAAGUUGGGGUCUCAUGAGCUGGUUAAUUGUACUGUGUUGAGGUUUGGUUUUGGAUGAGAAUUGGGUUGGUUUGGGAAAUUAUCAGGCCAAAUAUUGAUUCUUAGUGGCAUAGUGGUAGUGAUCGUGGCAGUGGUGGUAGUAGUCGUGAGAUAGUUGUCCCCUCUCAUACUUAACUAUGAGGCUUUGAGAAUAACACCAUUCACAUGUUUUGAAACCUAAGAUAGUAGGAUUUUAAACCCUACCACCUGCAAAAUGUUCCAAACAAGGCAAUUUUGUUUUUCCUAAGAAAAAAGACUUCUCAAAUUCUAUUUUAACAUGAGAUGUUUCUCCAACUUUAUAAUCCAAGUGGACUUGAAGGGUCAAAAUCACUUAUUUAUUUCCACCUUACUAGAAGAACAUUUCUAAUCUUUAAAAUGGAUCUUUCUUUUGUUACUGUUUGGAACAUUAUGUUAGAUAACAUGAGAAAAAAAACCUCAAAAAGGUGUCCUGCAUGUUGGUUUUGGUGUAUUUGGGAGAAGGGAAAACCCAAAAUUUGAAGAAUAUGGAGCUACCCAUUUUUAACUUGAAAAGUUAACCAACCAAAUAGUAUUUCCUUUGGAGGUUCUGCAAGGGAGUAUAGCCUUCUCAAUAAUUCUUUUGAGUUCUUAAAUGAGAUAAGAUGUUGGACUUUCCACCCUUAUUUUUCUUGUUUGCUCAUGUAUGUGUUUUUUAACAAUAAAAUUCUCUUAUUUACAAAUUGGAGAAAAAAAAUGAUAUGUCAUGCUCUAAAACCCACUCCAAGGGCAUGACAGUCAUUUUACACCUUAAACUCGAAGGCUCAAAGUGAAAACAACACAAACUUUCAUCUUGUAAAUAGAAAUUACCAAUUACCAAAUUGUUGUUCAGAGUAGUAAAAUAAAUCAAUUCUAAAAUCUCCAGAUACCAAUAUAUAAAAACUAACACAUCAACCCAAGUGUUAUUGUCCAAAUAACUUCAAACUCAAAUAAUUCAAACGGAAAAUAAAUUUGAACAUUUAAACAAUGUUCAAAAUAAAAAGAGUUUUAACAAAUGUCCUAACAAGUCAAUUUCCCCUCCUAAUCGUCACUCCUCGUUCGAAUUGAGGGUACCUGGAAAAUUAUUAACAAAAGAGGAUGGGCUCAAAGCCUAAUAAGGAACAUUAAUACAGUUUCAUGGAUCAAACAUUUUCAAUUAUAUUUACAAAUAAAAUAUAUAACAUAUACUCUUUUUAUGAAACUUUUGAGUUAAACAUGCUAAUACAUUUAAACUGUUCAACCAAACAUUUUCAUAUAUAUCAAAAUCAUUUUACAUCCAUUUCAAAUAAAAAAUAUUUCAAUUGUUUUAACUCUAGUUAUCAAAUAACAAAUAGUGCCUAGUUAAGUGGGACUUACAAAUGGGUGGCUAGCCUUAAUUGUUCCUUUUAAGGUGGAUGAAACCAAACAUUACUAAUACUAGUAACCUCUAACCAAACCCCUAGAAGUUGGGGUCCAAAUCAAUUACAUUCCCCACCACGAAAGUAUAAAAGUCAAUUAUUAUAUCCCGUUGACAAGAAUCAAAAAGUCAACUAUUAUAUCCUGUUAACAAGGGUCAAACAAACCAUAGUCAAAUUCCUUGUUUUAUUUAUUCAAACUUACGAAAGCAUAAUAUCUCCGUAUGUUCUAUUAUAAACAAAAGAAACGUUCUAAUAUAUUUUUCAUGUAAAAUUUUUUAAAAUAAACUAACCCUAACCUAAAUCGAAAUCUUCCAGAGAAUCCUUUUAUUAUUAUUAUUAUUAUUAUUAUUCAUUUAAAAACUUAAGAUUUUCCAAUUUCCAAUAAUAAAUCAAUCCAUAUUCUUAAAUUUCCAAUAUUUUGAUCUUAAAAAAUUUAAAUAAACUAACCCUAAUCUAAAUUGAAAUUUUCUAAAGAAUAUCUAAUGUGUUCAAAACUAACUAACAAAUAUAAUAUAUUAAUCUAGGGUUAGAAUCUUACCUGAAAAAUUCUGAACUUCAAACUCUAGACCUCCAAACCUUUAGCCCUACGUUCUCUAAUUCUUUGAUUUUUGGUUAAUAGGGUUUUUUGAAUAGAGAAGACAAGAGGGAAAUCUAAUUUACACCUAUGAUUAUUAAUUGUAAAAGGACUCUUUUACCCUUAAUGAGUUUAAUUAAUUAAUUAAUUAACUUGUAAUUUAUUGUUUUGCCCCUAAAGUUAAUUUUGGGGUGUUACAUGAUAUCUCUAGUAACUCCAUAAAACUCUAUAAAUAGCCCUAAGAGGUAACCAAUUGGAAGGAUCAAGAAUUUGAUCUCUAAAUUAGUUCUUUACAUCUCAAAAGUCCAUCAUCUUUGUUUUCUAUAUUGAGACCCUUCAAAGGGUUACUGUCAUUCUUCCCAACCACAUCUUCCCUGUCAUUUCCAAUCUACUCCUAUAACUAAGAUCGCUCUAUAAGCAUCCAUUUCUUAGGCUUUUGGUGUUUAAUGACUCUUUCCCUUCUUUCCCUCUCAAUUUCCUUUUACAUAAACUUUUAAUUUAAUUCAUUAUGAUCUUUUAUAAUUUCAUUGCUCAAAAGGGAAAUAAAUGUGCAAAUUUGGAGUUUGUUCAAUUUAAUAGUUUAGGACACAAAAAUGCCAAAUUUAGCAUAGUGAUUCAAACGAUGAUCACUAUGGUAUUACAUGUAUUGUGACCUUAGGCCAAAUAAACCUAUCUUAUGUUACUAUUAACCUGUCAAGCUUGGAUUCUUUAGCUUUGGUGAAUUUGAAUUUUGAUUGUCUUCCUUGGAAUUUGGAUAAAUAGAAAGUAAAAGUGUCUGUAGAGAUGACCUCGGGGAACAUAGAAUUCAUAUAAAAGAAGCUAGUGCUCUAGAUUUUAUAUGUUAUUUCAGGCAAUUUCAUUAAUGUCAUACUCUCAAUUUACCAAUUCACAAAAAUAAAUAAAUAAAAUAACACCACACAAUGUGUGAUUACUAAUGAUUUUUUUUUUUUUUUUACUUUUUCUUUUGAGUAUCAAUCAUGCUUAUUUUGAGGGUAUGAUUGCUUAGGAAAUUGUGUGAUUGCCAAAAUGCCUUUGUAUGAUUUGUAACGACCCGUACUCAACUGUGUAGAUAUUGUUUGCUUUGGGCCCAAAGGAACCUCAUGACUUUAAAAUGUGUCUACAAGGUUAAGGGGCCCAUACUUAUAAGGCUAAGAACUCUCUCCCCUAUCCAAUGUAGGACAUCACAAACCCCCCUAUUCAGAUACAACUUCCUUGUUGUGUCUCAUGGGAUUACGGGGCCAAACAAAAAAACACCCCUCAUUAGGCCAAACAAACAAACACUCCUCAUAAGGCCAAACAACCCCCACACCGAGAUCAAGGGUCAACUUUAAUACCAUUUGUAACAACUCGCGCCUAACCAUGUGAAUAUUGUCCGCUUUGGGCCCAAAGGUGGCCUCACUGCUUUAAAAUGUGUCUACUUAGUUAAGAGGAAUCCAUGCAUAUAUAACCUCAGUAACUUUCUCUCAUAUCCAAUGUGGCUACUUAUAUGGCUAUAAAAUUAGCAACUUGGCACUAUUGAGAGUAAUGUAACUCAUAACAAUGGAAAUGAUUAUGUGUACCUUAGAACAUUAUAUGAUACAGAAUCUAAACAUUGUAUGAUCAGUUGAUAAUAAAGAAAGGUGCUCGACUUCAGGGAAGAAGCAGAGGAACAAGGUAUAUGAAAUGUGAGGGUAGUACUUGCACAUGUAAAGUGUGAUUAUCCCUUUAAGAUGUUGCACAAUUUUAGCACUUAGCAGAAGUAGAGAUAGUGCUCUCUCUUUGAUUAAUCUCCAUGCCAAAAGCAUCCUAUAUAAGUGCCACAAUAUAAGUAACACCAUAUGAGUAACAUAUACAAUGUCUUUAAUUGUCAUUGGUCAUUGUAAGACAUCAAUUGCUUUGACUAUCCCUUGCUACAAAAUACCAUGAGCAUUCAAAUGUCCCUCAGUUGUUGGCAUGCCCAAAACCCAACAUUUGAUAGGAAGCCCUUUUAACUUGUCAAUUUGAACGAAAGUUAGUGGUUGACACGAAGCCUUUAACUUCCAGCAUGUCUAUUGUACAAUGUAUGAGAGGAAAACCUUCAACUUUUGAAGUGUUUCAUAGUGUAGUGUGUGAUAGGUAGACCUUUAAUUAUCAGCAUUCUCUAAGUUUGUGAUAUGAGAAUAUGUCAACCACUUUUAACAUCUUAUAGAAAGUAGCCAUGCUUUUAAGACCAUUCAAGGUGGUUGCAGUAUGCUUUUGUUGACCUAUGAGACUUGUGAAAUAUCUCCAAGGGUGCAAAGACAGGCAUGAUCAAAGUUAGAGGAAGGUACAUGGAACCAAGUGGUCAAGAAAAGCAGCACAAGGUUCUAGUGAUGGAACCUUGAUAAGGACAACCAGAGGAUUGGACAUCCUAUGUAGUUGCCCUAAGGACCACUUUGAUUGUUUUGAAUGAUUUCAAACCAGACAUGAUCCUUUGAUCUAUCUUCUCAUGCAUGUAUUGCUAUCCUUUGGAAUUGUCAAUUCCAUGUUGUCUGUUGUGAUAAAAUCUUAGGUCCAGGGUUUAGCCAAGAAGGAGAUGGGAUAGGGAAAUACUAAAGAGGAAAGAACAUGGAACUUCUAUUUUUUUUUUGGCUGGUGAUGCAUGUGAUAUGUGAUGGUAUGAUAAAGUCUUGUACAAAAACAUUUCUUUUUUUUUUUGACAAAUUCUUUAUAUUUUAACCUUUCUUAUACUACACAUACUUUAUCGGUGUGUAUUUUAGACUUUGCAUGGACAUAAAGCAGGAGAAAAAUUUUCAGGUCACUAAAGCUUAUGGAUUCAUAGUCAGGGGAAAGCUAGAAAUUUAAUUCAGAGGCACCCUUUUGAGAAUAUACGAAUAGAAAAAUGAAAGAAUUAAUAAUAAUACAAAAGGUUGAUUAUGCUUAUACUCAAUAAUUUAUCAUUAAUGGGAUUUAAUGAUUUAUCUAUUUAUCUCCAUUCAGGUAUCUAAUUAAUUUUAAAUAUAUAUUAUUAUUUUUUUUGAAAUCUUAUAUAAAAAAUUUAAAGAAUAUAAAUUAUUUCUUUUAUUAAAAAAUAGAUAAAUAGCAUCCACAUUAAGUUAAUAUAGAAUUGCUUUGGGAACUAUUCUUAUUUUUUAAUUUUUUUUUUUCCUUUUUUGUAAUCUUUUUUAGAAUAUUGGAAUAGAAAGCAUUGAUUUGAGAUUCAUCUAAGUAUUAUAAUUACUUAUAUUAAUCAAAUAGCAUAUGUCCCAGCUUAGUGGUAGAGCAUUUUAUAUGGAUACACAAUCGAACCCCAGUUUGUAUCAAAUUUUUUCAACUUGUCCUAGCUUAGUGCAUUUUUGCUUCCAGGUGGUGUGCGAAAGGAUGAAAAACUUCUGCCAUUUAUUGGGCUAGUGAUAGAUGAAUUGAAGGUUCCUAUGCAAAUUGACUAGUAAUAUGUUUAAAUGCUUUAGAAUUGUGUGAAGAAGUAUUAUAGGUAUUUGUAAUCACUACAAUCUAGUUUAUAUGAGCAUUGGCAUGGACUUAGUAAGCUCUACUACCAUUUAUUACUCAUUUUGGUGUUAAUAUUUUCUUUUCCUUUCAGUAGCCUUCUAGGUUGUCUUAGGGCUGAUGACCUCCUGUUUAUUCUUGUAUUUUGGAGUUCUUGUAUGUCAGUAGCUACACCUUCUCAAUAUCACUAUUGGAUUUAUUGUUUUUAUCAAUUCCGUCCUUCCAAAUAGAAUGAUUCCUUCCUUCAUGCCCUAUUCUUUGUGCCUGCAAGUUAAGCAAAUUGCUACGUUGUUGUUGCUUCUCUUAAAGGCCCUUGAUCGGUAACAAAGCAUGAUAUAGAACUACCUGUGAAACUUGGUCCAAAUUAUGACUGAAAAGAAAAUGUGUAGGAAGAGUAAGAAGAAACUGAUUUUUUUUCCCUUUCCCUCCCUUCCCCAUCCACAAACAACCCCUUUUUUCCUUCUUUUUUUUUUUUUUAAAGAUAGCUAAGAGUAAGAUGAAACUGAUAUUGGAACAUAAUAAAGAUUCUUUCAAUCAAUUAAAUAACAAAAUCUAUAAGCACAUUUAUUUUAUAGGAUCUUAGUGAAUGAGUUCAGGUUUUAAAUCCUACUGAUCACAAUGCUAAGUUGCAAGGUUUUUUUCUUUUUCUUUUUUUAAUAUUUCAUUGCAUUAACAUAUUAAGAACAAAGAAGGAUGAGAAAUUCUUCAUUACACAAUUCUCUAUACAAAGUUUCAUCAAGAAGGUGGAUUUGUAUAUACCGAUUCAAUAAGUCAAAUCUAGCUAUAAUUCAUGAGGUAUAAAAUCUCCUACAAAAGAAAACAUAUGUCUAACUCCAUGUUUUGAUAACUUAUUUGCUGCAUGAUUGCCUAAGCGAGGAACCUGAGGGGUACAUCUUAACUCUGAAGAAAUAUCAAUAAUUUGGCAUAACCACCCAUGAAACUUCCAGAAUCCUCUUCUUUACCGUAAUACGACAAUAGUAGAAUCACCUUUUGAAAGGGCUAGAAUUUUUGCCUUAAUGGCUAAUCUUGACCUGCAUGGUUAGAGGUACUCUUAACACUUUGCGAAAGUGAUCCCUAAGUAACCUUUUUGUUCCUAACUACCUUGGGUUGCCCAAAGAACAUCUAUCAAAAUGAAAUAGAGCAAAACCCAUUGAAGAUGGUAGUCAUUGAAAAAGUGUCUCCUUAGUCAACCUUGUGGUUCUGCAAACUAGGUUCCAAUCUAGUAGAAUAAAGCUUAAAAAACCUUCAUUGGUGGAAGCCCACAAGGAAUAAGAGAAGUAAAAUAAGUUCUUAAUUGUUUCUCGAGACCUCUACCUAUCCUUAAAAAUUCUUGCACUCCUCUCUUGCAGUGUAGUCCAAAUCAAAGUGAGGUUAGCAACGCGCCAAAGAUUCCUACCUCAAGGAAGUCCUCCAAAACCUUUGAAGAAUAUAAUCAGCAUUGCCUCUGCCUGUUCAGGUGGAGCCCAAUCAAUUCCUACAAGUAGAAACAUUCUACAUCAUAAUGUCAAUGCUACAGGGCAAUGUAAUAGAAAAAUGAUCUAGAGACUCCCUACUCAUACACACCAUUCAAAGCUAAGUGCUUUGUAUGGUCUUCUCCAUUGGAGCAAGUCAUUAGUAUUGUCCUUCUUAUUUGUCGCAAGUCAUGCAAAGGUGAAGACUUUUGGUGAGACUUUGAAUUUCCAAAUGACAUUUGCAGGAAUAAAAGAGACUACAUUGAUAAAAAUAGAGAUAACCUUAAAGAGGGAACUAACUGAGAACUAUCCUAAAGAUGUCAAAGACCAAACUUUCCAAUUAGGAAAAGUGGGUGACAAAUAGACAUGGGCAAAAGAAAACAUUAGACGAGCUAGUUCCUCAAUAUCUUGUUUUCCACUACUUUUAGCCCAGGAUAUUUUGACCAGAUGGAUUUCUAGGUUAUCCACUAAAUAGAACCUACAAAUUUAAUCCUAGUGCCUCUUAUGAGAAUUAUGUUAUAAGGAAGUUCCUGAAAAGUAUUUUGGUUGCACUUUUUACUGCAAAGUAGAAUCCUUGAAAAGAAAUUCUCAUUAGCCUAAGUGCAGUUGUCCAAGCCUGUGCAUGUUUGUUGUAAGCCUGAGCUAUCAUUUCAAUGUUUCAAUUGAUUACAAUAUAAAAUUUUCUUGGAAAGCUUUACUAGUCCAAUAGUCUUCUCAUGUUUAAUGGUGUAGCCUCACUUAUCUUGGGAAUGUUCAUUUUUAAGAUAAUUUAUUACUAUGUGUAUUUGAGUUCGUCAUAAUGGAUAUGCACCCAAUGCAUGGUAAGUGAUAACCAGUUGCAUCCAUGGAUAAAUAUUAGUGCAUCUAUAGUAAUGAUGACAAUCAAGAACCUAGUUGUGGGGUUGUCUCUUUGAUGAGGAUGAAUCUCCAAGAUAUACAUCAAGAAAAUGAAUUAGUAUCAGUUGCAAUUAAAGUAUGAUUAAUAUUACUUCGACUUAAAUUAGGAUUAGCAUUUGUUGGAAUUAAAUUAAGAGUAGCUAAUUAGGUUAUUGGAGAAUAAGAAUUAUAGUCAUAAUGGGUUAUUAGAAUCCUAGUAGACUUGGAUUUAUUAGAGAAGCCUAUAAUUAAGGUUAAUUGAUGUAAAUCAAAGUAAUGGAUUGAUGAUUAAUAAUACCAUGUUUUCUAGCAUACUUUGCAAUUUUCAUUGGUGAGACUCUAUUGAUUUUCUUCUACAUGAGGCUGUUAGAAAGUCUUAGUGAGACUUUAAGGUUUCUAUUCCUUCUUCUUCUUAUCUUCUUUCUCUAUAUUUUUUAUUUUAUCUUUCUCUACCAUCAACUUUAUCCCUCGUUCCUCUCCUUAAAUCCUAAAAAAAUGAAAAACCCUAGCCCACCUAUUUGAGUGUAGGUAAGCAUCCUAGGGUUGUCCUACAUCACUCUUCCCCCCCACCCCCCACCUUUUUUUUUUUCAUCUGUGUUUGUGGUGGGGGUAUCGUUGAGGAAUGUUUUCUUUCUACAACCUAAGGAGAAGCUCUUCAAAUCUGGAUUAUCUGUCCUGGAUUUUCCUCUUAGGAAGCUAGGCUCAUAUUGGCCUAAUCAUAAAAAAUUUUACUUGACCAAACUGAAUAAGUUGGUUCUCCAUUGAAUCAUACACAACUUGUUUAAAGGAUCAGAGUCUCAUCAUCUGUUCAUUUUUUUAGAAUCUAUACCACUUAAUCUAAUAUAAAUAUACUGAAAAAUAUUUUUUCUAGGUAUUUUUUAUUUCUUUGUGUGCUAGAAUAUAACUAUGUUCUUGUUUAUAAAUGUCUGUGUAGGUUGCAUCAGAGAAAGGACUUUUCACUAUUGUCAUAAAUCUGCAAGUAAGUUUCUUUUCUCCAUAACAUUUUAGUUUUUAACUAGGUGCUUCUGCAUGCUGGAAGAGGAGUAAAAGUUGUAAUCUUACAGGUACCCGGUUCAACACACUACAGUAUGAUAUUUUAUUUUGUAACUAAGGAAUUAGUAACUGGAUCCCUGUUGCGACGAUUUGUUGAUGGUUAUGAUGAGUUCCGAAAUAGCAGGCUGAAGCUCAUCCCAUCAGUUCCCAAGGUACUUUCUACAUUUUCCAGUUUUUGAAGGAUGCUCAAAUAGAAUGUCAGGACUGUUGCAGGCAGUCCUCACUCCUGCUUGCGGUGCUCAAUAAUUUAUAUUUGGAUGAUCAUGCUGAUUACUUCUUAGCAGAUCUUUUAUGCCUCAGAAGUAUAGAAUUAAGCUAAGAUGCCACACAUGUGCAUUUGCACUUCUUUCAUAAUGUGGUUUGGGUGGAUAAUAAAUUGGUUAGCAAGCAUGUAAAGUCAUGCUUGAAGUUGCAGUGGUAAUCAGGUUUUGUCAUAUUAAUUUACUUCUUUAUUAUUACUAUUAUUUUUGUUCAACUGGAUCCAUGCAUACUUCAAUAGAUUAAAUGCUUAAUUGCUUCCAUAAAUUAUUUAAAUAACUAACUGCAGGUUGUUAAGUCUAAUUUACACUCUCCUUGUGGACCAUAAAUUAUUUAAAUACUUCAAUAGAUCCAUGCAUAUGUGCCAGAUGUUCUGAUUUGAUACAUUGGAUUCUCAUUGAACUGCGCCAAGUGUCCUACAUUACAUCACCAUAUCCAAAUUUUGUAUUAGCAUGUGACAAUUUGCUUCAUGUGCUAAGAUGCAACGAGUGUUGAUCCAUUGGUUAGAUGCUAUUAUUGAUUACUUGAAAUUGGUUCAAGGAUCUUGAUUUGGUUAUAGAGUUGGACGCUCCUCGAGAGUAAUGGACUAUGCACGAAUUAUGCCCAUUCCAACUGAAUUGAGAGAGGGGAGCACCACGUCCAAGGGGUAUGUCACCAUUUAUGUUUGAUGCACUAUAUGUGAGGUUGACCUGUUUCUGUGACAAACCUAGUCAUGGCCCUUGAUUCAAUAUACCCAGGAGAUUUUUGAUUGGUUUAGCAUGUUCUUGUGGUUAGCAUGGGCCUCCCAAGUCAAUAACUAUCAAAGACCUCUCAUUGGUUAAGUCUAUGAAUAUGGGCUCUUAAAUAAGGUGUAGACUACAUGAUAUACAUCAUGUGCUCAAAUCUUACAAGUUUAAAUUUUUAGGAUAAUUAAUUCACCAAUAUUCUAUCAGAGUCUCAUUUGGUGGGAGGUCAUGUCUUUGAACCUCAUGACAUAUUUAUUUCCUUAAUUUAUUAAGCCUAAAUGAGGCUAUUUAAUUCUUCAGUUUAUUAAGCUCACACGUACGCCCGGAGUGUAAGCCUAAUGGAGGCUACACUUAAAGGAGGGUGUUAAGAGUGCAUGAUAUACACAUACAUUGUGGGCCUACUACAACCUUAUGCUUUUAGGAUAAUUGGUUGUUCAACAUAAAGGGUUGUAGAUGGCUCAUUGAAGAAGGAUUUUUGUUUAUCCAAAGAGUACUCUUCACCCAUCUUGAGUCCUUGAGAUUUCCUGUACGAGCUUAAGCCGUCCUUGGGGCACUAUCAUCUUUCUCCAUCUGCUCUCUUUUUAGCCCUUUUUGAUCUCCUCUCAAACGUUUUAUAACUCACCAUUUCCAUCGUUACUUAGGACCUAUCAUAAUGAUGCAAUAUAUUUAUUUUAGUUAAACUAACUUUGCUUCCUCAAGCAUUUCUUGGUUUUGCUUGGGUGGGUUAGUAAAUAUUUGAACCCAGCCCAAAUUCACCAUCCGGACCUUAAACAUUCCCAAGUUUCAGUACAAACUAUUACGUCAUUGAACUGAACCUGUCCUAUCUAUGGAUUUUCAUGUUGACUCAACAUAGUUCACAGCCUUAGGAUGCAUUAGUGGCUGGUAUCCAAUGGGUUUCUUGAUGGCCCUUAAAAACAUGCCAUCUCAUUUUCAUGAAACCUUAUAUUGAUGUGGGCAGUUUUUUCUCUUCAUCCUCACUAGAAUAUUAUUCCAAUUCUGUUUUCUGCUUCUUUGUGCUCUUUGACAUCUCUAUCUUCUGGGCUUGUUCUUUCUAUACUGUUUCAUGCAGGCUCCAUGGAUGGUGCGCCGGAUUGUUGGAAGCACCCCUCAUUUCCUAGGAAAAGUAGUUGAUUGCAAUUAUAUCCGUGGUCCAAAGUACUUGGAGGUAAAGGCCCUUCUCAAUUCUAUAGUAUAUGAUUUUACCUUCAGAAAAAUUCUGAAAUUCACUCAGGAAUACUGUAGUUUAACAUCACUCAAUUUUCUGUAGAUUGAUGUUGAUUUUGGUUCUUCAACUGUUGUUGAUGGAGCUUUGGCCUUUGUAAAUGGUGCAAUUCCUAACUUGGUUGUUGACAUGGCUUUCCUUGUACAGGUAUGUUCUCUUUAUUAAUCCUGACCAUCUUAACUGAGUGUUGAUCAGGACUUCCUACAUAAGUUGUUGAUUAUAUUCAAUGACAUAAGCAAGGAUUCACUUACAGGAGAGCUAAUCAUGUACUGACUGUCUAAUUAGAGAUGACAAAGUCUAAACCUGCCAAGUUGUUGCACAAGCCCUGGAACCUGCUUAUAUUAUUUUAAACCAAUAACUAUAUAUAUUUUAUCUGAUUCAAGAAACUUUUUAAUUUGGAUAACUUACAGGAAUGUCAGUGUUUUUAUAGUACUAAAAUCAUCACCAUGUACCAACUUGGUGAGUUACAGAGAAACUUUUAUGGGAAGGGAUGGGGAGGCAAGAAAGACCCACUUGGUUAAAUAUGAGGUGGUCUGUUUGUUGAAAGUGGAGGGAUGAGUAGAACAUUGUUAGGAAAUAGCUUUGAAGAUUUGGGGGAAGAAAAGGUUAGUGAAUGAAAUUAGUGUUAAGGAAAUUCGAGGGAAGGAGUUUUGGUGUUCACGAGAGGUAGGAGAUUUGUUGGGAUAGGGUUGUGGAAGGUGUGAGAAAGGGGUUUGUGUGGUUUUGCUCAGUUGUUGUUAUGGCAUGAUCAUGCAUCAGGGAAGACACUGUUGAAGGAGUGAUCUCCUAAUCUGUUCAGAGUUACAGUUAAGUAGAGAAGUGGAAAAAUACUGAUUCUUAGGUUGGAGAGGAGUGGGAGAAACUGCAGUCCAAGCUUUAUCAGGGUUCUUCCCAACUGGGAAAUAUUGAAGUGAUCUGUAGUAUGGUGGGGUGGAAAACUGGGGCUGAGGUGAUGCAAUUGAGUGGAAUCUUACUGCAGAUAAAAGUAGGAUAUCUGCUGAAUCACUUUUAUCAAAGCUAAGGAUGAAUUGGGGUACAGUUGAUGCAAUUGAGUGGAACCUGACUUCGAAUAAAAUAAUUUUUUGGUAAAUCACUUCUUGUGGCGAUAGGGAAUAGGAAAUGUUGACUAUCCAGGAGAUUUGGGGUUUUUUGGCACAUGCGACAGUGGCACUCUUCAUGAGUACAGCAGUUUGGAAAAUGAUGUUUACCAUGCCCGCUGGUGAGCAGGGGAAGAAUCAUUGCUAAUCAGUGUUGUAUGUUAAGAAGGAUGGCGACUGUAUUCAUCUCUUUCUCUGGCACAGAGGCUUGAGACUUAUGAUUUGCAAUCUUGAUCCUUUUUGGAAGUUUCAGGUGCUCCCCACAACUUAUGAGCAAGGAGCAGUCCAAUCGGCAUUAUGAGUUUGUAGUGAGGAUAGGAGGAAAGGUGGAAGACUUCACAUUAUAGUUGGUUUAGUGCUUAUGGAAGGAGCAUUGUGAAAGGACUUGUAAAGGCAUUGAAACUCCAGUCUAGAUUACAUGUAGCUUGUGUAGGGGGACCCCUCCCCCUGAGGCCGCGUGACACACAUUUCUUGGUGACACGUGGUACGUAUUCUCAUCCGGAUUACCCAAUCCGGAUUUCCCCAAGAGUACACAUGGCGCGCUUCUCCUAUCCGGACUUCCUCAGAGAGAAGUACACGACACUCGCAAAUAUCACAUCCGGACGACCGACAUAUCCUAUCCGGAUAUGUUUGUCCGGAUCAUUGACUGAGUAAGCAAAUCUUGCACGUUAUUAUAACAGCCUGCCAUGGCCUACAUUCCGCCACCUGCAGAGUGAAGGGAUAGGAAUGAAGUGACAACAAGUCACUUCCCAUGAUCUCUGACAGCCGCGGCGCCUCCCACGAUCUCUGUCAGCCACCCUAUGAGUGAUGAUGGCCCUGCCACCACCUAGGGGCAUCAUGACAAGCCAAAAUAUCUCCUUACCAUUAAAGAGGGAAACAAAGCUUCUGGUACUUAUAUAUAUGAACCUUCACACAAAGAGGAAGGUAAGCCUACUAUACCUAGUAAAAGGCCAACUAAUUUAUCUCUCCUAUCAUGGCUGACAAAACCAUCGGAGGGUGCGUCCAGACGCCUUUUGCAAGUACGAUUGAAUCAAGAACCUAUAUUGGUUAAGAUCGUGCGUCCAUCCAUUUGGCAGCUACGUGGAUCGCCAGGGACGCGAGGCCUCAACAUUGGCGCCGUCUGUGGGAAAAUUCGUUGAUUCAGUCACCGACGAAGAUGGCCACACCUUCCCAAAGUCGUUCAUCUGGUAAGGGAGAAGAAGAUAAUUAUGAAUGGCGCCAAGCCAUCGAAAGAAGACAGUUGGCAAGCGAACGACAACUGAAAGCUCUCCUUCAGGAGACAGAAAGAUUAAGAGAAGAAAACGCUGUACUACGCAUCCAGGCUUCAACAUCGGGGCCUCCUCAUCGUCAGCAUUCAAGAGGCCAUGUAGCAAACUCAAGGCCAGAACCAGAGUCAAUAUAUCCUGGGACAGCGGGAGCUAUCCCAGGAACAUACAACGUGAGGCCCCAUGAGCCACACACGCCCAUGCCUCAAGCUCCCCGUGAGGAAAGCUCGGACUCCACUCAUUUUUCAACAAAAAGGCAACGCGAUAGAAAAUCCCAGUUGUAAAAUUCAAUGCGCGCGAGACUAGGCCCACAAGAGCCUGGGAGACCAAGGCUACCAACAGCCACAACCUGGGCAAUGCGCCCUGACCCUAUGGUCACCCCCAUGGUACAGAACGUGCUCCUGCACCGUGACCCUAUGGUCACCCCCAUGGUGCGGAACGUUCACUCGCACCUAGCGGCACAACAAGAUGGGAGAAACCUCCUAAAUGGGCCACCUGUUGGCUCCAUCAACAAAAGACUAGACGACAUGCUCUCCACGCCUUUCUGCUAUCAUAUCAUUCAUUACGAGCCCCCAAGGGGAUUCCUCGUACCCAAAUUCUCCACAUACGAUGGGUCCAGCGACCCCUUCGAUCAUAUCAUGCAUUAUCGACAGCUCAUGACUCUCGAUAUGGGCAACGACGCGUUGCUAUGCAAAAUAUUUCCCGCCAGCCUACAAGGGCAGGCCCUCUCAUGGUUUCAUCGCCUACCUCCCAACUCUGUUGACAAUUUCAGGGAAUUAUCGAAGGCUUUCGUGGGACAAUACUUAUGCUCCGUUUGACAUAAACAGAACAUCAGCACUCUGCAAAACAUAAAAAUGCAAGAUAACGAAUCCUUAAGGGAGUUCGUGAAACAGUUUGGUCAAGUCGUACUUCAAGUAAAGGCUUAUAGUAUGGAUGCUAUCCUGCAGAUCUUCAAGCGAGGCAUCUGUCCAGGCACUCCAUUUUUCGAAUCACUCGCUAAAAAGCCUCCAACAACGAUGGACGACUUGUUCAGACGUGCAAACAAAUACUCAAUGCUCGAAGAUGACGUACGAGCAGCCACCCAGCAAGUCUUGGUUGCUGGACAGGCAUCUAGAAGUGGCGCGGAUAGAAAUGCCAAACUUCCGAACAGGCCAAGGCCGUUCGAUCAAAGGUAGGAAGGGCCAGGUCGCCCGGAAAGACCGCCCCUCACGCCUCUCUCCAUAUCAUAUGAGAAACUUCUCCCUAUGAUCCAAGGCAUGUCCGACUUCAGGUGGCCUAGACCCCUCGAAACGGACCCAUCCAAAAGAGAUCAUAGCAAAAAAUGUGUCUUCCACAAGGAGCAUGGUCACACAACUGAAGAAUGCAGGUGCCUCCAUUAUUUGGUCGAAAGGCUCAUAAGAGUAGGACACUUGAAGCAAUACCUCCGCUCAGAUGCUGGAGGUAAAAACGCUUCUCAAAACCACAACACUGGAGCCCCCAGGGCCCCAACCGCCCCCAAAGCCGUUAUAAACUAUAUUAACGGAGGCCCAUCUGACGAGGAGUAUGACUCCAAACGAAAAAGACAAAAGUUGUUGCGGGCCGCAUCGGUACAUGAACGUAUCAACUCCAUCCGGCCUGGGAUAUCUGGAGGGGGCCCCCGCCCCAUAGAUGGGACAAUCAUUUUUCCACCAGUAGACUCCACUCGGAUAUUGCAUCCGCACCGCGACGCCCUCAUCCUGUCCCUAGAGAUAGGAGACUUCGACGUGAGGCGCAUCCUGGUCGACCCAGGCAGCUCAGCCGAUCUUAUACAAGCAUCGGUCAUUAGCCACAUGGGACACAGUCUCACAGGCCUCGAAAACCCUGUGCGAAUCCUAUCCGGAUUCAACGGGUCAUCAACUACGUCAUUGGGAGACAUUGUACUGUUGGUCCAAGUUGGCCCAGUCACUCUCAACGUACGAUUUUCGGUGGUACAAGAUUUAUCACCCUUCAAUGUCAUAUUGGGGCGCACAUGGCUACACUACAUGAAAGGCAUCCCCUCUACAUAUCACCAAAUGGUAAGUUUCCUUACCAAAGAUGGGCAAAUUGAUCUAUAUGGCAGCCAGUUAGCUGCUCGCCAAUGCUACCAGAUAGCACGAGAAGCAGGGACUAGCCAGGAGGAUGCAUCCCUUCCUCAGUCCAGCCUUGCACGUAGCCAAUAGCAAUUAUUGGGUCCGGCGGACAAAGAUCCCCCGGCAGCGGAUCCCUUGCAAACAAUCCAAAUUUCAGAAGAAGGUACUCACCUUACGAAUAUCAGUUCCCUCCUGACAUCGGAAGAAACCCAGAAUAUGCAGAACGCCCUCAGACAAAACCAUGACGUCUUCGCAUGGGCACAUUCUGAUAUGAAAGGAAUUCAUCCCUCCAUUACCUCUCAUAGACUCAACGUCUUACCAACAGUCAAACCCAUCCGGCAAAGGGUUAGGCGUUUUCACCCGGACAGGCAAAAAAUUAUCCGGAGUAAGAUUGACAAGUUGCUAGAAGCCGGAUUCAUCAGAGAAGUGGAUUACCCGGACUGAUUAGCAAAUGUAGUAGUGGUACCCAAAAAAGAAGGCAAAUGGCGGGUGUGCGUUGAUUACACCAACCUCAAUAAUGCAUGUCCAAAAGACAAUUUUCCUUUGCCACGGAUAGAUCAAAUUGUCGAUUCCACAACUGGGCAAGGGAUGCUCUCUUUUUUGGACGCCUUCUCCGGAUACCACCAAAUCCCCAUGUCCCCGGAUGAUGAAGAAAAAACAGCCUUCAUAACACCACAUGGUCUCUAUUGCUAUAAAGCCAUGUCAUUCGAACUCAAAAAUGUUGGCGCCACUUAUCAGAGACUGAUGACAAAGAUCUUCAAACCUCUGGUCGGCCGCACAGUAGAGGUAUAUAUUGACGAUAUCGUGGUCAAAAGCAAAACCCGAGAGGAGCAUGUCCUCCACUUGCAAGAAGUUUUCCACCUCUUAAGGAAGUAUGGCAUGAAGCUAAACCCUUCCAAAUGCGCCUUUGGCGUAAGUGCUGGCCAAUUCCUGGGAUUUAUGGUCAGCCAAAGGGGGAUAGAGGUUAGCCCGAAUCAAGUGAAAGCGGUCAUGGACACACCACCCCCCAAGAACAAAAAGGAAUUACAACGCCUCACAGGCAAGCUUGUCGCGCUUGGGCGUUUUAUAACCCGAUUCACUGAUGAGUUGCGACCAUUCUUCUUGGCAAUACGAAAAGCUGGAGCCAAUGGGUGGACAGACAGCUGUCAAAACGCUUUUCAAAAAAUUAAACAUUGCCUCAUGCAACCGCCCAUCCUGAGCAACCCCAUCACUGGUGAAAAAUUAUACAUGUACCUAGCUGUAUCAGAGUGGGCGAUCAGCGCUGUUCUAUUCCGCUGCCCCUCACCCAAGGAGCAGAAACCUAUCUACUAUGUCAGUAGGGCAUUGGCGGACGUAGAAACCAGGUAUUCAAAGAUGGAGCUAACGGCCUUAGCUCUUCGCAGUGCUGCCCAGAAACUCCGCCCCUACUUCCAAGCACACCCGGUGGUCGUGCUAACUGACCAGCCCCUUCGCAACAUUCUGCACAAACCGGACCUAACCGGAAGAAUGCUUCAAUGGGCCAUAGAGUUAAGCGAAUAUGGAAUUGAGUUCCAACCCAAGCUAUCCAUGAAAGGCCAAGUCAUGGCUGACUUCGUGCUGGAAUACUCCCGAAAGCCUAUCCAGCAUAAGGAAUCAAGUGAAAAAGAGUGGUGGACUUUGCGGGUCGAUGGAGCCUCACGAUCAUCCGGAUCCGGUGUAGGGCUCCUGCUGCAAUCACCAACGGGGGAACAUUUGGAGCAAUCCAUCCAACUAGGGUUCCCUGCCUCUAACAAUGAAGCAGAAUAUGAGGUCAUCCUAUCCGGAUUGGAUCUCGCCCUGGCUCUAUCCGUCUCCAAGCUCCGGGUUUAUAGCGACUCUCAACUCGUGGUAAGACACGUUCAGAAGGAAUACAAAGCUAAAGAUGCGCACAUGGCACGAUAUCUGACUAAAGUAAGGGACACUUUACAACGAUUCCCCGAGUGGACAAUCGAAAAAAUCAGACGAACUGAAAAUGGGCGCGCCGACGCCUUGGCCGGCAUAGCUACCUCCCUCCCCAUCAAGGAAGCAAUAUUGUUGCCUAUAUAUGUGCAAGCCAGUCCUUCCGUAGCAGAAACCUCCACUUGCAACACCAUCGAGGUAAACCAAGCAGAUGGCCAAGAAUGGACGAACGACAUUAUAAAAUACCUUCAGACAGGCACUUUGCCCAAGGACCCAAACAGGCACACAAGAUUCGGGUGCAAGCCUCCCGCUUUACCCUAAUUGGGGGGCACCUGUACAAAAGGUCUUUUACAGGUCCCUACCUUCGAUGCUUAAGUCAUUUAGAGGCCUUGUAUGUAUUAGCAGAAUUGCACGAGGGAGUAUGUGGAAAUCAUUCUGGAGGAUGAUCUCUAGCACACAGGCCCCAUUCUCAAGGAUACUAUUGGCCAACAAUGAAGAAGGAUACGGCAGCCUAUGUCAAAAAAUGUGACAAAUGUCAAAGGCAUGCCCCCAUUUCGCAUAUGCCGUUAGAGACACUAAAACCAAUUUCAGGCCCUUGGCCCUUCGCGUAGUGGGGCAUGGACAUAGUGGGACCCCUCCUAGUCGCACCCGCCCAGAAGAAAUUCCUACUCAUCGCCACGGAUUACUUCAGUAAAUGGGUGGAAGCUUAAGCAUACGCUAGCAUCAAAGACAAGGAUGUCACUAAGUUCGUAUGGAAAAACAUCAUCUGCCGCUUCGGAAUCCCCCAAACCAUUAUAAUCGACAAUGGUCCACAGUUUGAUAACAUCGCCUUCCGAAAUUUUUGUUCGGAACUGAACAUCCGGAACUCAUACUCCACACCGCGUUAUCCUCAAAGUAAUAGGCAAGCAGAAGCCACAAACAAAAUGUUAAUCAUGGCUUUAAAGAAAAGGCUCGAGCAAGCAAAAGGAAAGUGGGUGGAGGAGCUACCCGGAGUCCUAUGGGCUUACCGAACCACACCCGAACGCCCUACAGGAAACACUCCCUUUGCCCUCCCAUACGGUAUGGACGCAAUCAUUCCUACCGAAAUAGGGUUACCCACUAUCCGGACUGAGGCAGGAAAGCAGGAUGAUGCAAACGCAGAGUUAGGAAGAAGCUUGGACUAGGCAGAUGAAGUAAGGGAAAACACAUCCAUCCGGAUGGUAGACUAUCAACAAAGGGCAUCCGCUCAUUACAAUCACAAAGUAAGGCCUAGAAGCUUCAAAAAUGGUACGCUGGUCCUUAGAAAAGUUUUUGAAAAUACUACUAAGACAAGAGCAGGAAAAUUUCAAGCCAACUGGGAAGGCCCCUAUAUAGUAUCUAAGUCAAGUGAAAGUGGAGCUUAUCAUCUACAAAAGCUAGACGGAACACCAUUACUCAGACCAUGGAAUGUGUCGAAUUUAAAGCAGUAUUACCAAUAAAUAAAAAAAAAGACAAGUGCAAAUGUGAAAGAAUAUACGUUUUAUUGAUAUUUGUAAAAGUUGUAUACAAAGGGUCCUCCGGACUACAAAAUACAGCGAGAAGAUAGCAGUACAAAAAUUAUUACAAAAAGAAAAGCUCUCAUUGAGCAGGCUUGCCGCGCAGCUUCUCCUCCUCACCCGGGGGAAUUGAAGGGACAUCCCGCUUGAUGCCAUGUUUCUUCAUACAGUAGCGAUAGCCGAAGAAGUACAUGUCGUUUACUUGCUUCUGGUAGUCCGCUUCAAGUUCCUCCCUUUCUACAGCAAACUCAGCCUUCAGCUCUUCUUUUUGCGCUGAUAAACGCAACUGAAAAUCUUCUCUCUGCUUUUUCUCGAUAGAUACCUCCGUCCGGAGUUGCCUCACCUCACCCCUUAGAAGAGCCUUCUCAUCCUCCGCCUCAAGCAGACGAGCAUCCAAAGUUUCCUCCCGGCUCUUUGCCUCAACAAGCUCUACCCGGAGAGCCUCGUUAUCCUCUCGAGCGGCGGAUAAACUGGCUUCGACCUGCUCCAGUUUCAAGCGCAUCUUCUCUUCAUUAUUUUUGCGCUGAGAGACGAAGGCCUUCGUAUAAUCAGCGGUCCGCAGUAGGUCAGAAAACAGAUCGUGUUGUUGAACCAUGCCGCGAAGACCGCUCACCAGUUGCAGAAAAACACACCAACAAGAAGUACAUAGUUACAAACCAUGCCACAAACACAUUAGUAUGGCAAGAAAAAUCAAGAAGUAAAAACUAUACCGUUUCCACCACUUCGAACAUUUUUGCUAAAGGCAUGACAACGUCUGAGUCGGGUGGAAUCCGUUUCAGCUUUUCUUCUAACUCCGCGUAGCUAAAAGCGCUAGCAGAGAUACAAACUGCAUCAUCAACUGGAUUCCCCCCUGAUGAAGCAUUGGAGAGUGGCUCCUCCUCCAGUUCUGGGGCCCCAUCAAUCUCGACCGGCUGAGUCGCUCCGGGUGAAUCCCCAUCCGGGACCACCACCGGGGCAGGUGGGUUCUCUGCUGCCAUCUCCGCCUCGCUCUCCUCCGGAUGAUCAUCCUGGACGGACGAGCAACUGACUUCGAUGGUUUCAAAGAACCGAUCCUGAAGCCACCCGAUGAGGCCAGACUUUAGGUCCCGAGUCGGACGCGACCUCCUUCUAGCUGGCCCCUUCACCGGUACAAGGGUAAGGGGGUUUGGCCCGCAAGGAGGUAAACUCUGACUCUCUGCCCCCAUUUCCUUCAUUGGGGAUGUCGUAGGAGGCAAUGCUGCAGCACAAGAAGCCUCGGCUGUGUCCCUAUCCGGAUGGGGAGAGCCGGGUUGAUUUAUUAAAGUAGCUUCUUCAGCCAGAAGAGCCAGACGGCCAGCCACUGACAUUGAAGGCCCUGAGUGGUUCAGACCCGCGAGAUUUCCGGGGCCGCUUGAAAUAGAGGGUGGGACGGGAUGUUCCGACUCUCUUAUUGUUACUUCCUUCACAUAAGUCGAAAGGGGAAUUACCAACUCCUUCGGAGGAGUUGGAAGUUUUAUUUCUUUACCCUUAUUAUGAAGAACCAGCUUCCUCUUAUUCUUCUUUUUUGCUGGAGCUUCACCUGGAAGGGAGGCUGCGCAACAUUUUUUGCCAGGAGCCUUCCGCAAAGUUCCCUCUUUCCUCCUUCCCUCCAGAUCGUCAAGGAGUGCUCGGCGUUUCUAAGCGUCUGCCUUUUGCACCUCCUUGUAGAAAGUGAGGUCUUUCAAAAUGUAAUGCUCCCCAGGCACUACCUUCUUUGGCAGCUUCCUGGGGAGAAUAUUGACGAUAUACUCUUGGGACUCCCUGACAACGGCUAACAGGUUUCACGCAGUGAGCAGCGUCUCAUGAUGCCUCUAGGUGGCGGAGAUCUCAAAUAACUUGUUCAGCCGGGCGAACGACGCUUUUUCUACCCACUCAACUGCGCGACCCCUCUUGUCCGGACCUGCAGUAUCAGCAAACAAAGAUGUUAAGCCAGAUGAUAACCCUCCUAAGCAGUACAACAAGAUGAAGGCCGGACAAAACCAGCAAACUGCCUUACUUGGAAGCACCAACGAAUGAUUUGGGGAAAAUGGCCUAUCCGGAUGCCCCAAAAGACCAGCCCAGGCACCCCGGACCAACACAUGUCCCUUGGCUCCUCCCUUUGUUGAAUCUGGCAACUCAGUCACCAGUUGAAGGGAAGGCAGGUGGGCAGGUGGGCAGCCAUGCUAAAUAUGUCAUUCUUCCCCUUCUUCAGGGAGUAGACAAAAAGAACCUCCAGCAGGGAGAGGUCCAAGUUGAAAAGCAGACUGAGAACGCUGCAUCCCAUCAGCACCCGGACUAUGUUGGGGUGGAUGAAGGCUGGUAGGAUCUGUGUGAAGUGAAGGAAUUCCUUGAACAGAGACGGGAGAGGGAACCGGAGCCCAGUAUUGAAUUGUUCCUUUGUAAAAGUGAUGGCAUUGUCUUCAGCUUUCUUAGUAGACACGGCCUCUCCAUCUAAAAAUUCCAAGAGCACGCCAUUGGGAAUACAGAAACGUUCGCGGAACUCCUUCACACUCAAUUUAUCAAUAGAUUUCUCAGCACGGGCAUCUUCGGACGAGCUAGAUGAGGUAGCUUCCUUGUUCGCAAACAUUUUUUAGCCUAGGGCUGCAAUGGAGUCUACAUGAAAGAAGGCCAACAGUCAAUAACCCCCGAAAGAGCCCUAGAAACCGAAUAACAAACUCCCAGUCGCAAAGCAACUAGCCCAACAAACCAACAACAAACCACAAAAGCAAACACAACGAAGCAAAGACAAAGAUAAGCGAACGUACCGAGCGUAAACUGGAAAAAUAGGGUGGAAAACCACACUGCAAUCACCGUCACGACGCGAAUGUUGCUAGCAGAAAACCCUAGAGCUCCCCUCAAGAGCGACGAUAUACAGAAGGUAGAAGAUAAAUGCACUAGCAGAAAAACGCAUAAGGAAAAAAUGCAAAAAGAAGGAACAAUCUGCUAUUUAUAGCGAGACAAGCCUCUCGGUAUUUUAAACAUUCAGCUGUGCCAUUAUUCCAACCAACACGCUGCCUAGGAAUACCCAGAGUCGACGGCUCAUCAUAAAUGCUUUUUCUACCUCGUCGCCCCCGCUUGCCACGUGGCCCAAUCAAGCAAAAAAGUCAACUUCAGUUUCCAAAAGAAAUCAUUUUUAACCCGCCCAUUUUGCUCAGGCAAAAAUCGGCAAGUUAAAAAGAGGGGCACUGUAGGGACCCCUCCUCCUGAGGCCGCGUGGCACACAUUUCCUAGUGACACGUGGUACGUAUUCUCAUCUGGAUUACCCAAUCUGGAUUUCCCCAAGGGUACACGUGGCGCGCUUCUCCUAUCCGGACUUCCUCAGGGAGAAGUACACGACACUCGCAAAUAUCACAUCUGGACGACCGACAUAUCCUAUCCGGAUAUGUUUGUCCGAAUCAUUGACUGAGUAAGCAAGUCUUGCACGUUAUCAUAACAGCCUGCCAUGGCCCACAUUCCGCCACCUGCAGAGUGAAAGGACAGGAAUGAAGUGACAACAAGUCACUUCCCAUGAUCUCUGACAGCCGCGGCACCUCCCACGAUCUCUGUCAGCCGCCCUAUGAGUGAUGAUGGCCCUGCCACCACCUAGGGGCAUCAUGACAAGCCAAAAUAUCUCCCUACCAUUAAAGAGGGAAACAAAGCUUCUGAUACUUAUAUAUAUGAACCUUCACACAAAGAGGAAGGUAAGUUUGUUAUACCUAGUAAAAGGUCAACUGAUUUAUCUCUCCUACCAUGGCUGACAAAACCAUCGGAGGGUGCGUCCGGACACCCCAUCCGGACGCCUUUUUCAGGUACAAUUGAAUCAAGAACCUAUAUUGGUUGAGAUCAUGCGUCCAUCCAUUUGGCAGCUACGUGGAUCGCCAGGGACGCGAGGCCUCAACAGCUUGUGCUGCACAUAUAUUUCUGGUUACCCAAAAAUUUGGACACAAUCUUGAAACCCACUCAACUUCUUUCCAGCACUACAUCUAAUAAUCUCCUUUUAAAAACCUAUAACCCUCUCAAGCUUUGUGAUGCCCUGGAGCAUUUGCUAAUUGCUACCAACCAUAGGGAAGACCCCAAGGAAAAUACUCAAAAGUUUGGGCCACCGGGAGACUCUAUUCUAUCCCAAAAAAAUUGCAGAAGAAGGCAAGCACAAUGGUCCUCUCUUUGGUGGAUUAUGGAUUCUUCCAAUACUUUCAAACAACACUAUGCAUAAAACCGGCACCUAACCCUAUGCCUUCUGAUUUUUCAACCCAUUCACUUUUCUUAUGGAUUCUUUGAUAAGUAAAAGAUUGGGCUUGGUUGGAUAUAUUAUUUGUUUUUUGUUUUUGAAAUUAGAAACUUUUAUAUAAAAAAGGUAAAAACUCUUAUACAAAAAUAAUAUACUCACCAUAUGUCCUUAAAUUUUUUUUAAUCUUCUAUUCUAAGAAACAAAAAACAAAAAGUGUAUCCAAGCCAACACUUAGGCUAUGUUUGGUUCCCGGAAAAUGCUAAGGAAAGGAAAAAAAUGUAGAGGAAAAUGGUUUUCUUUAGUUUGGAUGACAUGGAAAAUAUGAUGGAAAAAAAAAUACAAAGGAAAGUAUUAAAGAAAAUAUUGUAAUAUUUUCUCUAUUAUUUUCCUUAAAAAAUAACGAGGAAAAUAAGAGAAAAAGAGAAGGGAAAAGGGGGGGGGGGGGAUUUUAUCGGGCUCUUGUUCACCGAGGCUUCACCUCUCACUUCCUCUUCAUCAAUGGUCAUGGCUUCUCACCGUCGUCGACCCUUUCAACGGCCACCACUAUCACUCCGACCACCUUCCAGUGCUGAAAACCUACCCUUUUCAAGCACCCGAGUUCCCAUGGAUGAAGUGCGCUCUUCAAAUCAAGUUCCCAUGGAUGAAAUGAAUUCUUCAAAUCCAGUGAAUGUAUUCAGAUCCAUGUCUUCAGAUCAGGUAUGAAUUGAACUCCAAUCCACCUCAUCCUGUGAAAACUCGGAACCCAAGGUAAUCGUUCUCUCUUGGGUUCUCUAUUUGGGUUUCUAGGUUGCUUUCGCCUUUCCCGUUUCUUAAAUUUCACCAGAAUUUUUCUAAACUUUCUUGGCUUGUUGCUUUCUGGAUUUGAUCUGAUUUUUACCCUUGAUGUUCUGCUAUUGUUUACUGGCUUAUGGUUUUUUCAUAAUUUGGUUGGGGGAAUGGGUCUAUAGUUGUGUAUUGCAUAUAUGUAUCUUAUUGCUGCCUCUGAGUGCUUGGUUAUUGUUUUGUAUCAUUGUUGGUGGCAUCAAUUUUUGGAAGGUUUAUUACAUAUAUGCUGUAAUUAGGCUUGUGUUUAUUGCAUAUAUGUUGUAAUUGGGAAUUUGACAUAGUGUUCACACGGGAAAUGCUUCAUUUGAUCCAUAUUACUUGGUUUUUUCAAUGACAUGUGAAUGUAUAUUUGACAAGAGAAGACGGGUGGCUCUUCUGGCAAUGGUAAGUUGAUCGCUAACCAGCCACACCAGACCCUCUUUCAUCAUCAUACUUAGUUUUUUGAAUUACACUUCAUUUGUUUCUCUUUAAUAGCCAAAUUGGUUGAAUUGUCUAAAAAUGAAUCAAAUUCCACAUAUGACUUGGCACAAAAAUCACCUCAAUUGAUAUCAUUCCAGGGGAUUCCCAAAUGAGUCUCUGUAUUUCUUGAUUUGCUCACAUUAUGAGAGUAGUUAUAGAACUUAAGUUGUACAGUAAGCAUCAAUUGUACAAUAAGCAUCAACUGGUAGGCUAUGAUCAUUAUGACUCUCUAGGUUGUGAAAAUCUAAACAACAGCAUGUAAAAUAUUGUCUUCGAAAUCUAUUUACAACCCAAAUAAAUAAAUAAAAAUUGCAAAUCUUCAUUGUUGUAAGUCUUAUUAUGAAAGAAUAUGAACAUUACAAGGAUGAAAAAACAAAGAGUUCACAUACAGAGGCUAUCAGAAAACAGAGUAAAUGCAGGGAGCUAUGUAAAAUAAAUUGAAUUGUCUUGACUAUAUUGACAAACUGUAGAUAACAUAUUGGUAAGGCAAACUGGAUAAUGAGGAAUUCCUUACAAAAUUUGUUGCUGAGACAUUGCCUUCAUGAAUUAAAGGUUGUGCAAUCCUUCCUAAUCUCUCCUUGGUCACCAGUUUUGACGCAAACUCUCCCAAGCCUCCUCAUUACGGUGAUGAAAGCUCCAUUGAACUCACCUGGGUUGUUGGCAAAAUCAGUGACUAUAGGCUGAGAUGAAGGGUCACUGAAGAGCGCCUCAUCUGAAGUGAACAAACCCUUUCCUGCCACCAAAUUCUGGUAAUACCUUGGUUAAAAUCAUUGAGAAUUUAGUUGUAUUGAUUCUGAUAUACAUACCUUCUCCCCUCUGGCUUGUUCCAAUCACUCCAUCCGCUAGGAGUUAUCAUAUCAACAAUCCUGUAAUUUGAGUAAACUGCUGUUGAAUAUUCACCCCAAGCUCUUCUUAGGUAGAUUUUUCCAGUUCCAAUGAUUGUGCAGUUUACAAAGGAGAAUCUUGUGCCAUCGUUAGGUGAUUCCAUACGAUGAGAUGCAAUUGCUCCUGAAGUUGUCGUUAUUGAUUCGAUGACACAUCCCUAGUUCAACACAACUUCAAGUAUCAAAAUCAUACAGAAAUACCCAACAUUUGGAUUGAAGCAAUAACAGUAAUUUCUAUUAUCAAAAUGAUCAAGAUCAACCCCUUUACCUGAUAGAUUGAUCUUGCCCCAUCAAAGAUAAAGUCAAUGCUUCCUUGGAUGUAACACUGGUUAAAGUAGUGUGUUCCAGACAGAUCCAUGAGCCAAAAGGAUUGUUUGACUCCUCACAAAUUGUCGGGAUGAUAAUGAAAAACAAGUUCCCCAUAUUUCCUGUGCAUAACAUACCAGCAAAAUAUAUGAUCGACAGUUGUUGGUUAUAUUGAAAAUGGUGUACAAGAUGGUGUCAUGAUCCAGAAUGGUAAAUUUGACAUCUUGCCAUCUUACUGGUUUGUCCAAUGUUUGGUCAGGCAUGGUAUUAGUGAUGCAUAUGACUUGAAAAUAGUUACAAUCACCUACCUGCUGAACAACAACCAAGUAUAAGUGCAUGUAGAUGUUGGGGUGGUCUGGUGAUUUUUAUGAGUAUCCAACCAAGUGCUAAGCCAAUGAUAAAAGUUAGAAGUAUAUUCACUAGCAUGAGCCACCUAUAAUUUAACCAAAAAUUAUAGGUGAAACAGAUAGAGAAUAAAAUGAACUUAAAGCAACAAUUGAUGAAUGGGAAGUAUUUUAAGAGUGAACAGAACUGAACUCACAUUGUAGCCAAACUACUAGCUGUAACUGUAUCACCCAGGUUGCUAGCUACCAGCGCAGGAUAGAAUAUAUAGAACACAAGCUACUCAGAACACAUCAAAUUUUGUUGUCAUGGGUAGGGAUGGAGAGAGUGGGACACAAGAAUAUAUUCAAGAAGAAAAAAAAACAUUUAUGAGCAAGCAAGCAUAUACACCGCACAAAAUUAAAAAAUUAACCAAAAGAAAACUUCAAACAUGGAUCUCUUAGAGGUUUGAAGCUAUAAAGCAGUGUAAUGUCAACUAAAUGGCUUACAAGAGUAUGAAGAUGCAUACUGUUCAUCUUCAAAUUCUACUCAAAUGGCAAGGGUAGUCCAUGUGAUGUCCAAGAAUGCAAUAACCUCCAACCAACACAAUUUACAAAGCUAAUAUUCCUGUUUUGGGUGUUCCAUUUCCAUGAUUUUCAGUUUAAUUGCAGAGAAUGCACCAGUACCCAAAGUCGAAUGUGUGUAUUACAUCCUAGAAUACAUAUAACUAGAUUCUAGAAUUGCAAUGUAUUCUGUUGCAGACCUAGAAGACCACAGUCUUCAAACUAGAAAAAGAACGGUUUUGUUGCUUCAUUAAACUCCCCUCUUUAAUUGUUUCGUCUAUGUGAGUAAAUUACAUUGACCUCAUCUGAGAAUGGGCCUGAUGAGAGGGACCUGAAAUUCAAAUUGAAAUUUUCAAACAGAGAUCUCCAAGCAAUAACAUUAAUUAUAAAAAAAAACUAAUAAUACUAUCUUCUUAAGAUUACUUUUUCUUUGACUCAAAGCAGGAAUAAUGCUUUCUCAAAACUUUUUCUAUUAUUUGUGCAGCCAAAGCAAGUUCAUCCUGAUAAAAAUCCGAGUGACCCUUUGGCAGUUGAACGAUUUCAAGUAAGUUCACUUCUUUGUCAUUCAUUCAUCAUCUUCUUCUUAAUACUCUACUCUCCUUCAUUCAUCCCAAAACCAAGUGGAGGACCAAGUAUUCUUAAGUAAUCAUACAAAUUUCAAACUGAAUAUUGAACUUAGAAAGAGUUUCAUUUUGUUAUCAUGCUUUAAACUAGACAUUUCAACUCUAGUAAGGUUUGUUUUACUAUUUCAAGAAGUGGUAACUUGUCAUUAAUUUAACUAUCAUAAAUUAUCAUAAUCAAUCUUAAAUUAAGUUAAUUUAACUAUCACAUUUCAAGACUGAAUAAUGACUUUACUAACUCAUUCCUCUUACUUUGCUAUCACGUAGACUUAUAAUGAAGAGUGGCAAAGACUUAGAAGAUGGGCUGCAACUUGUGUAGCUAUGUAUGCUACAUAUGCAGCAAUUCUUGUUUCAAUUUAUCAUCACUCAAACUAUUUGGAGAGAUCAAUCUCUAAUGAAGGAGAUUAUGAACGACAUGCUUUGAUGGAAAGACUUACACUAAUGGAUAAUGAAGAUUGUUAUAAUCAACUACGAAUGGGAAAGGAUGCAUUCACAAGACUAGUAAACAUUCUUCGGGGAAUAGGUCGUCUUAGAAAUAGUGCACAUAGUAAUGUAGAAGAACAAGUUGCCAAAUUCCUUCACAUUGUUGGUCAUAAUUUAAGGAAUAGAACUAUGAAAUUUUAUUUCAAGCGUUCUAGUGAAACUGUUAGUCGUCACUUUCAUCAAGUUCUUAGAGCUAUAAUAUCUUUAGAUGAUGUCUUCUUAAAGCAACCUGAUGGAUUAAAGUGUCCUCAAGAAAUCAAGGACAAUACCAAAUUUUUGCCCUACUUUAAGGUAAACUUACUUAUCUAAUAAACAUCAUUAGAAUAUUAUUUAUAUUUCAAAAUAAACUAAUAAUUUUGUUUCUUUAUAGGAUUGCAUAGGGGCGAUUGAUGGGUCAUAUUUUCGUGUAAAAGUGUCAAAUGAUGUUGUACAAAGGUAUCGAGGGCGAAAGUACUAUCCAACACAAAAUGUUUUAGCAGCAUGUUCCUUUGACUUGAAGUUCACAUAUGUUUUACUUGGUUGGGAAGGAUCUGCAUCAGACUCGAGAAUCCUAGAUAAUGCAUUAAUGAGAGAUUUUGAUAAAUUGAUUGUUCCACAAGGUGAUUAUUGGUGAUUAGAUAAUAAUUUAUUAGCUCAAGUGACUAUUACUAGUAACAAAGAUCCUUUGUCUAUGCUUCUUAAGUAAAUAUUAUUUGGCUAAUGCGGGUUUUCAGCUAAAAAUUAGAUUUCUUACCCCAUAUAAAAGCACUCAUUACCAUUUAAAAGAGUAUAGUGUUCAUCAACCAAAAAAUGCUUGAGAGGUUUUCAACCUUCGACACUCGUCCUUGAGAAAUGCAAUUGAAAUAACAUUUGGUAUUUUGAAGGAAAGGUUUCCAAUAAUAGCUAGUGGGACGGAGCCACAUUACCCUAUUAACACACAAUCUGAUAUUAUACUAGCAUGUCGUAUCCUCCAUAUCUAUCUCAUGGGUGUUGAUCCAAAUGAAAGAUUAAUAGCAGAGGUCGAUAGAGAGCUUUUUAGCGAAGAAGCGGAGUUUGAAUCAAUGGUCUUGAGUUUAGCUAAAAAAUGCAAGGAAUGAGAAAUCUUAAGGGAGAAAAUAGCCAUGGAUAUGUGGAAAGAUUACAAUAGAAACCAUUGAUGAGUCCUUUUAUUUUAUGGUUCUUUUCUUAUAUAGUUUUUUGUGUUUCAUAUUAAGUACGAUGAUUGUAUUUAGAACUAUAACUCAUCUAGUUAAAAUCACACUUUGAAUGAGUUACAAUGAAGUUAUUAUUAUAUCUCCUCCUCUUGACUUUUCAUUUUAAACAUAUAUAUAUAUAUAUAUAUAUAUAUAUAUAUAUAUAUAUAUAUAUAUAUAUAUAUAUAUAUAUGUAUUAUUAUUUCAGAUGGAACAUAGUGAAGGCUUUGAAGUACACAAAAGUGUAAGUGAAAAAAGAAACUUGACUUGGAUUGAUGAAAUGGAUAACCUUUUGGUUAAUCGAUUAAUGGAGCGAAUGCAUAAAUGGCAAAAGAUAGGAGGAGUCUUCACCAAGACAGCUUAUGCAAUGGUUGCGCAAGAAAUUGGGGAAAAUUUUGAAUUGAGUUGUAACUUGGAGCACAUAAAAAAUUGAAUGAAAACUUUAAAAAAAAAACUUUAAUGUUGCUUAAGAAGUUUUACAAAAUGGUAGUGGAUUUGGUUUCAAUGAAUCAACUCAAAUGAUCGAAGCUACCACGGAAGUAUAGACUACCUACACUAAGGUGAGUUAAUUAUUAUUUUUGAGUUAUUAGAAAUAAAAAUUUUGCAUGUAAUGUAGAGCUAUAAAUUUCUAAUAGACAUUAUCACAAUUGAACUCGAGUUUUGUUAAUAUUUGUUUUUUCUGAUGUUAAAAGGCACACCCAGGAGCAUCUCAGCUCAGAUACAAACCUAUUAGAAAUUAUGAUAAGUUGUCCAUUCUUCUUGGAAAAGAUUGAGCAAUAGGAAGUCUUGCUGCAGGUGCAAAAGAAAGACAACUUCGUUGGGCCUAGGAACAGAAUUUGGAUGGCACAAUUCAAUUAGGAUCAUCACAACAUGGGAUCAAAGAUGAAACAUUUGCUUAUGUUGAAAAUGAAGCAACAACUGAGACAUCUUUCUCAUCUACAAAUGCAUAUGUUUCUGCACCAAAGUCAAACAAAGAAACAAAAAAGUGAAAAACAAAAUAUGCUGAUAUUGUAAGUGAAGAAUUGAGGUCAAUUAGAGUUGGAAUGGAUGCAGUUGUUGCGGCUCUUGAUAGAAGCAACCUUCAAAAUUGUACAGAAGAGCAAUUGUUUGAAGAGAUUGCUAAGAUUGGAGGCAUGAGUGAUGUAUCUCAUAAGAAAGCAUAUCAAGCUCUUACCGGUGAUGUGAGUGCAGCUCGAGCCUUCCUUGCUUGUCCAAUUGAUAGGCGUAAGCUUUGGCUGUCAGUUAAAUUUGGACCUACUUUUUUUAUGCCUAAUUUGAGAUGGAGAUUAUUUUUAUUUUUAGUUUUACUUUUGUUUUGGGACUAUACGUUAAGUUUUGAUAUUAAAACUCAUGGAUGAUAGUUGACUAUUAGAAAUUGAUCUAUUAUAUUUUUAGACUUACGAAGACUUUUUUUAUUCAUCUAUCUUUUCAACAUGUUAUUCAAUUAUUCCUUUGUUUGGUUAGCUAAAAAAUGGAGGAAAUUAUGCUUUUUUCGGUUUAGACCAGCUUGUUGUUUCUUGAGUUUUCAAUAAUUUACAAAUUGAAUUUCAAAUUCUGGACUUCUUUUUUCAUUGAAUUAUCUUAUUAUCUAUGUUUUUGCGGCUACCAAACAAAGCACAGAGUUCAGUUUGAUUGUCUCAGGUGCUUAAGGUGAUAUGUUUUGUAUAGAUAAUUGGGAAACUUUUGAUCGUGUUUUGUUUGUUUAUUUUGAUGAUCUGUUGCCUUGGAACACUAAGAUGUCUUUUUGUAGUUUUUGUUUUUCUGUGGCAAACUUGAUAAUUUCUUUUCUAGUGAUUUUUCUUUUAGUAAUUAAAGGGUUUUUUGAUAUGCUGUAGCAGUUUAAUCAGAUCAUAAAUUAGUUUUGUGAUUUUCUUUGGAUUCUUGUUAAUUCUGGAGGCCUAGGGCAGUGAGAUUACGGUCUCUUUGAUUCCAAUUAAUUUAAUCAGUCUAUGAUUAAAUUGAGCUUUGAACUUGUCUUUUUUUUAAAAUAAUUAAACAAGGUCUUUGUUCAUUUAAAUCGAUUUACUUUGAUUGAAAAUCAUGUCAUGUUUUCCCUAAUUUAGGCUGAUGUAAUUAAAUCGAGAUUUGAAUGCUUUUUUUUUAAUGGUUUACUAUACAUUUAAAGUAAAUUAAUAAUGUAGGCAAAAUUUUAAAACAUGAUAAUUUCGUCGUUAAAAGUUUUAAAAUAUUAUUAUUCUUUUUUGAUAAAAAAAAAUUAUAUAAUCUCAAUAUUUAUUUUUAAAAAUUGACGGAUUUUUUAUGAGAGGUAAAAGAAAUUAAAAGAAGAAAAACAUAUUUUGUUUUAAACGGUAGCUUCAACAUUCAUGAAAAAUGAAACUUGAGUGAUUAGAUUGGUUGGGUUGGUUUGGGCCUAUAUUUGGAGAUUUUGAAGGAGCUCCUUAGUGAGUCUUGGCCGAAUGUAAGAUCGAAAUAUGUAAAAAUAAAAAGUUACUAUUUUUUAUACAUAAAUCUUAUCAUUAUUAAUAAAAAAAUAAUAACAGAGACUUUUUAUGAGCAAUGUUUUAUGUCGAAAAAUUCACGUUUUUCAACAGUUUUUUUAUUGAAUUAAUUGAUUUUAUUAUUCAACAAAUUAAUAACCAUUUAAAACAAAUUGUUGAUUUUAUUUUCCUUCUAUUUUUCCUUAACUUUUUUUUUUUCCCUUGAAUUUUCCAAGGAUAACCAAACAAGUGAAAAAAAUUAUAUUCAUUUUCUUACCUUUUUCUUUCCUUCCAUUUUUCCUCUCAAUUUUACUUCUCUCACAUUUUUGGGGAACCAAACAGAGCCUUUGUGACUUAGUGAGCAAGUAUAAUGAUCAGUUGAUUUUUAUGAGUGGAUCAAGUCAGUUCUCUAAAGCAUAUUUCUUUCUUUUUUUUCAGGGUUGUUGUUUUAUUGUCACAUUCGUAUCACAUUUUCACUUAUAUGAUAAAAAUUAAUAUAUAUAUAUAUAUAUAUAUAUAUAUAUAUAUAUAUACACCAUAUAAUUAAUCAAAUGGCUAUGUAACUUAGUGCUUCUCAACCUGUUGUGUUAACCAGCAUAUCUUAGUAGCGGACAAAUGAGCAUGGGAGGCCGGAACAGGCAAAUGAGUUUAGAAAGAAGAAUGGGGAGCAACAAGUUUUUGGAAAGGAGAUGCUUCUUCCAAAUGCCUCACCGCCUCUUUCUCACAUCACACUUACCAGUCAAAUUCCCUCCUACCAGUAAACCUCGCAUGCUUCUCCCCUAAGUCAUCCUCCUCCUUUCCCCCUGUAAAACACACUACCUCUCAAUCUCAUUCCAAAAAUACCACCUAUCAUGUCUGUCCAUAUCAUAGUGUUCCCAUGUUUUGGCCAAGGCCAUCUCCUCCCUUGCUUUGAGCUCUGCAAACACCUCGCCUCCCGCACCUUCAACACUACCCUCAUCAUCUCCUCCAAUCUCUCCUCCUCCAUCCCCUCCGAUCUCCGCCGUAUUCCUCUCAUCCACAUCUUUGAGAUCUCAUCCUCAUUUCCUCCUCCUCCUCCGCCAUCGUCGCCCUCCCCGGAUUCCGAUCCCAUGAGCCACCAUCAUCGCCACCAGCAUCAGAUGGGUACGGCCAUCGAAUCCCUCCUCUCUUCCAGAUCCACAUCCCCAGACUACGUCCCACCCCUCUGUGCCAUAAUCGAUGUGAUGAUGAGCUGGAGCAAAGGUAUUUUUCAUAAGUUUAACAUCCCACUCGUUUCUUUCUUCACCUCCGGUGCCUGCUCCGCCGCCAUGGAGUACGCCUCCUGGAAAGCCGGCGCCUUCAACAUCAAGCCCGGCGAAGUCCUACCCCUUCCCGGCCUACCCGAAGACAUGGCCUUGACUUACUCCGACCUUCAACGCGGCCCUCACGGUCCUCCUGGCGGCCCACCUGGACCCCCCGGUUCAGGUCGCCCACCUGGACCACCCGAUGCAAGAGGUCCACCACGGUCGGGUCCCAAGUUCGGGGGGCCACCCAAACCAGGGCACCAGCCACCGUGGGUCGUCGAGGCAGCGGGCUCGAUCGCGCUUAUGAUCAACACGUGUGACGACCUGGAGCGUCCGUUCAUCGAGUACGUGGCCUACGAAACCGGAAUCCCGGUCUGGGGUGUGGGCCCGCUUUUGCCAGAUCAGUACUGGAACUCAUCCGGUUCGCUCCUCCACGAUCGAGACAUCCGACCCAACAGGAAAUCCAGCUGCACUGAGGAGGAGGUGAUCCAGUGGCUAGACUCCAAGCCCCGUGGAUCCGUCCUCUACGUGUCAUUCGGAAGCGAGGUAGGUCCUACCAUGGAGGGCUACGCCCAACUGGCGCUUGCAUUAGAAGCCUCGAACCGGGCAUUCAUCUGGGUGAUCCAACCCGGUUCAGGCCGGCCAGGUCCACCUCGACCACCGGGUUCAGACUCAAACGAAGACAGCGGAUACUACCCACAUGGAUUGGAGGAGAAAGUAGGGAAAAGAGGUCUGAUAAUACGUGGGUGGGCACCACAACUGUUGAUACUGAGUCACCCAUCGACAGGUGGAUUUCUCUCACACUGUGGAUGGAACUCCACUGUGGAGGCAACAGGGCGUGGAGUGCCCUUUUUGGCUUGGCCAAUCCGUGGAGACCAGUACUACGAUGCGAUGCUAGUGGUGAAACAUCUCAAAAUUGGGUACAUGGUGUUUGCUAAAGAUGCUUCUGAAACCAUCGUAAAAGAGGCCAUAGUUGACGGAAUAGAGAAGGUGAUGAGUGAUAAAGACAUGAAGAAAAGGGCGGAGAUGAUAAGUGGUAAGUUUGGGAAUGAGUUUCCGGCGACUUCGGCUGCUGCUUUGGAUGCUUUUAGGGAUUUUAUCAACCAAAGGGCUCCAUAAGCACUUAUAAUUAAUGUAUCAUCCAUCCAUACACUUUUUUUUUUUUUUUUAAAUGUAUUUACAUAUCAUGUAUCAUGGAGGCCUAACGUAUUAACAGUACGAUUUUAUAAGCUUUAGUCUCAAUUUUUGCCCUUUGAUGAUAUUACUAAAAGGAGGCCCGGUAUAAUAAUAAUAAUGAUAAUUUAUCUUUUAGUUUUUUAUUUGGGUGUUCGAUAAAACUUAAUAUUUAUUAUUUAAUAAUUUAAAGUCAUUUCAAUUUAAAUUAUAUUUGAAUUAUUAAGUUAAAAAUUAUUAUUUAAUUUUUAUUUUAAGUACUAAAAUUAUUUGAUAAAAUUAACUUAAAAUUUAUUUUAAAUUAUUAAAUUGAUAUAUUAAUUUCUUAUAAAUUAUAAUUGAGGCAAAUAGGAUCAAAAUAAUAAUAAAGGUCGUGGAAUAAUAAAAAAAAUCAUGAAAAUAACAAUGAAUGUUUUAAAUCCAACUCACGUACCACUUUAAUAGACAAACAUCCCAACCUUGGAACAUGCUACAAUCCCACGUGGCAAAGGACAAACAUCCCAACCUUGAACAUACUACAACCCCACGUGACAAAGAGCUAACAUCAAUAUGUCAAACCUUCUCAUUGAUGCGAACUCUUGGAGAAAGAUUAGUAUGUUAUUCUUAAAAAACUUUUAUUUAUUAAGCAAUGACCCUUCCAUUUGACAUCAUCAAAAUGACUAAGGCUAACUUUUGUCCCUACUUGACAAGUGAGUCUCGCAAUUAAGCUCCCUUCUACCUUUGUACUCGAGAGCCAAUCUUCAUUCGAUUAAAGGAAACAUUUGCACGCCUUUGUUAUCUUUUAUGAAGUAUAGGGUAAAAACAUAAAAUAAAGAUAUGAAUUUAAAAAUAAAUUAAUUGUUUUCACUUAUUAUUUAAAUUUAUUUAUUAUCUUAAAUUAUAUCAUUAAAUUAUUUUAUCAUAAAUACUUAAUUUAUUUAAGUUAUUAAAUUGAUUUACGAGCAAAAGAUAACUUAAUGGUUAGCCCUCAAAUAAUUUAUGACAAUAGCAUGCAACCGCGGAUGAAACAAAGAGUCCAUGCUUGAAGGGCCUAAAUUCUAUUUUUAUUUCCAAGCAGAUCCACUAAAAUAAAAGUAUAUACGACAUCUUAUCAUUAAGAUAAAUUAUUAAAGAUUAAUUAAAAUUCAACAAAAAGAUUCAAUACAACUUUAUAUUAUAUAAUUCUGAUGCUAAAAAUGUGAAAUGUUAUAAAAAAUAAUCAUCGAAAAUUUUUAAAUGUACUGUCAGUUGCAAAUAUUAUUAAAAGUAACAUGUAAUUAUCAAAAUGGAUAUGACAAACUUUUAAAUUUAAACAAUUUCUUUAUUCCACUAUAUCAACCAAGCUUUAAUUAAACAAAUUACUAUUUUAUUUAAAACCCAAUUCAUAGUAGUUUCCUUUCUAUUUUUUUUAAAUAUAAUAUUUAUAUUUUUAUACUUUAACUAAAUUCAAGUAAACAUGAUAAUAAUAAUUUUUUUGUAAUUUAUAUUUUGACGAUGAGCAUAUAUAUAUAAAGGAAAAUUAUAAAUACAUUCACCUAAACUCUUUUCACAUCUACCCUAUUGGCGCGUUCACUUAAAAACUUAAAAACUUCUAAAUACAUCCACCCUACAAUUUUAACAAACCCAAAAUACCCUUUCCAUUAUUCUCUCUAAACCCAUCUUCUUCUUCUUCCUUUAUCCUUCAACUACAAACCCUGGUUACAAAUCAUGUUUAAAGUUUAUUUAAUAUCAUAAGCCUAUUGUAACUAUGGUCAUAACUAACUUUUGAUUAAAAAAAAUAAAAAAAUAAAAAACUUGUUAAAAUGGUUGAAAAACAAUUUAGAAGGAUAUAUGUGUAAUUUAAAAGUGAGAAAUCAUGAAUGGCUAAUGUAAAUAAAGGAUAUCCGGUCUUAGAAGGUCUAACAUAAUUGAGACAUUCAAUCCUUUAAUUCCAAACUAUGUUUGGUCCUUGAGUGUUAGACAUCGACUAGACAUUAUUGGCUUGGGGGAUUUCAUUAAGGGGCAUUUAUAAACCUCCCUAAAAUAAAAGAUAAUGAAAAAAAAAUAUGUAAAAAAAAUCGUAAAAAAAAAAAAGGAUUACUAUACAAAAAAAAUAAAAAUUCAUGAUAGACAAAUAAAUCAUGAUGACCUUUGAAAAAUGGCCUUUCAACUGUUUCAAAAUUGAUUUCAAAAUCCAUUAGAUUACUUGAAAUCAUUUUUCAUUUACUUUUACUAAACAGUAGCCAAAAGUAAAUUACAAACGAACCCUCCAUAUGGAGUGACAUUUAACAAAGACACCAACACAAAGAAAAACAACUUGGGAGUUUGAACAAGCAUUCUACGAUGGAAUUCUACAAAGCCAGACUAAGAAGCAGCUUAUGAUGUAAUGUAUUCAACUUGGAUUUUACUGUGAGGUUGGUGAGGGCAUAAAAAUUAAACACCCACCUGCUCAUGAGCCACAGCUUGUUCGACCUCCAUUCUCAUCCGGUUAUUGAUCCAUGUAUGCUGAUUAUGUCGGGAAAUUCAUCUAUAGAACUCAGCUUCUCCAGGAUCAACCUCUCUUGCUUGGCAUCUAUGUUAUAAUGUAGUUAAGAUUUCACACGCUAUCUCAUUGAAAUAAAAUUAAAGUAGGCCAUGUAUAUGAACAUCAUAUCUCCAUUAACAAUCUAGCUUAACUAUGGACACAGAUUGUGAGGAUACAUUCCUGAUCAGGAUUCUCAGUGAAAUUGGAGUGCAGGGCAUUCCCGACACUGUCCACAAUGGCCGAGGUGGUCAUGGAUGAUUCAAUGCAGAGAAUGGCUGUGAUGGCAUCUAGUCUGGUGACCUCAUUUCUGAACAUCAGUCUUGCAUGUGCUGCAACAUUACCAGAGUUACCAGAGCAUCAUAUAAGUAGGAAGGUUGUGUUGGAAAGUCCAUGGAGGGAGAGAUACCUUGGGCUAACCGUAUCAAGCUUUCUAGCAUGCGCACGGUUGUUCUUGCUGCAUUACUUGAAUUAGUAAAAUGGAUGAUCUAAGCAGGUAAAAAAAAAAAAAAAACAAUAUGAAAACAUUGAACUAAUCAUAUGGGGUUGUUAGGUGAAACCUGCAUUAUGUGUUGCUGAUCUUCUUUGGAGUUGAUAAUAACUUGAAAUUACUUUCUCAGCUUCCUUUGUCAGAACCGGUUUGAAGUAUCCUUUUACAAAGUGAAUGUACCUGCAACACACCCUCAGAAUUUAACAAUCGUGGUUGAAAUUCUUGCUUUGGAUCUGGCAUGCUCUAGAAGAAGAUGAAGAAUUUUGUCCAUGGUACUAGCGUCAAUUUCUUGGUUGCAUCUGUAAGUUAUAAUUUACUAUUUUAAGAGAUUAUUACUAUUUAAAUCAGAGAAAAACUACAUAAGAAAAUCUGCAUUAGAUAAACCCAAGGUGGGUUCAAGUAGACUAAAGGAUUGAUCAAAGGAAGAAACCCUUGAAACUGUCCUAUAAUUUAGGAUUUUUCUCUUUUUAAUCUCUUCUUGUACAGCUAUAAAUUAGUUAGGAAUUUUUCUCCUUUCAGUAUUCUUCUUGUAAAACUAUAAAUUAAUUAGGUUUUUCUCCUUUUGUUCAGCAGUAAAUUAGUUAUUAGAAAAUUUGAAUUGAUUUAAAUUACUGUAUAUAUCAGGAAGUCUCCUCUCCUGGGAUAGGGGAGGCUAGAUAUAUAUUCUGGUGUAUCUCUUGAUUUUGGCUGAAUACGAAUAAUUCAGAAUUCCACAUGGUAUUAGAGCCAACACUAGGUUCUUGGUGUGCUAGGUGAAAACUUUGAGUGCUGCAUGUCCUUAUUUGAUUAUUUUUCUGUGGUGUUUUAAUUCCUCAACCUUCAUUGCCAUGUUUGAUUCCUCGACCUUCAUUGUUGAUUUCUUUCUUAUUUGUUCUGUCUAUGUUCAUCACAGUUAUGUCUUAAGUCAAACCAUACUCCUACCACCAGUUCUACUGAGGUGACAUUUAAAGUGUUGCUAAGCCAAACCAUGGGGGAACUACAAAACCUGCUUGCCACCUUACUGAGAAGAAUUAUCUUCAACAGUUUCAAUUGGUGUGAACCUUUCUAAAGGGCAGGGGAAAACUGUGUCAUUUAAUCAGCACAAGACCAAAGCCUGAAGAUCCAAAAUUUCAAAGUUGGGAUGAAGAGGAUUCCAUGAUCAUGUCUUGGUUAUGGAAUUCAAUGACCCCUGAAAUAAGCAGAACAUGUAUAUUUCUUACAACAGCUAAGGAGAUUUGGGAAGCCAUCCGACAAGCCUAUUCAAAGGUAUGAGAUUCUACUCAAAAUUUUGAAAUCAAGGUGAAGAUUUCCACCACAAAACAAAGAACCAAAUCUGUGACCAAAUAUGCCAAUAUCAUGAAGAUUUUGUGGCUGGAAAGUGACAACUAACAGAACAUUCAAAUGAAAUGUAGUGAAGAUGUAAUAAUGCUCAAAAAACGUUGAAAGAAAACAAAUUUUUGAAUUUCUUACUGGGCUCAAUGAGGAGUUAGGUCAAGUGCGAGUCCAAGUUCUAGGAAAAAAGAAACUUCCAUCCAUGAAUGAAGUCAUCUCCAUCAUUUGUGCUGAAAAAAGUUGGAAAGGUGUGAUGCUCGAACAAUCUUCUAUUGAUGGUUUUGCUAUGGUUGCUGAAAGCCAAACAAAUUCAACCCAAAUCUUGUUGGAAAAACAGGGCAUUCUAAUGGUUAAAGAAUCUCAACCGUAAAGAACUUUGGUGUGCCUAUUGUAAGAAGCCCCAACACACCAAAGAGAAGUGGAAACUUCAUGGAAAACCUUAGAACCUGAAUCGGAAUGGGGGAAAUAAAGCAUGACAGCAACACAGUAAAGCAAAUAUGGCAAAUUGUGGAGGAGGCCCUCAAGAAAAAACUAGUUCCAACAGAGAAGAAAAAUUUGGAGAACUAAACAAGGCUGAGAAAAUUUUUGGGUACUCUUAGUAAACAGUUGGGUAUGUGUUCUUUGCCACAGACAGGUAAGUCUUCCAUUUCUCAGACUUCUAAGGGCCUCAAAUUUGUCCUUCAUUGACUGUUGGGUCAUUGAAUAAAGUUUUCUCUUCAUAUAGUCCUUACCUUAGAAACAAAAAGAUUUCUAUUGAUGAUGGUUCGUUUACCACGGUUGUUGGUCAAGGAAAAAUUAUUCUCAUCCAGUCUAUUGUUUUACAAGAUGUGUUACAUUCACCUAAACUUCUAGUUAACCUUGUGUCAAUCAAUAAUUAACCAAAGAUCUAAAAUGUUGUAUAACCUUUUUCCAAAAUUAUUGUGUUUCAGGACUGAGCUAUUAAGUGCCUAAGAUCAAUCCUGGAAUUGUCAAUAUAGAUUUUAGGCUAUUAAGUCCCUUGUGUUGAUUCUAGAAACCUCGGGAUCAAUUUGAGGGCGCUAAAACUGGAAACUCCAACUUUCUUCCUUUGCUUUGGGUAGUUUUUUCAUGCUCUUGUAUCCCAAGUAUGGGAGGGAGCUAGGGCUACUUAUUUAGGGGAUAUUCUAAUGCAUAAAGAGAUUUGGAAAAAGAUACUAAGCGCAUCAUUAGGGCUUAGGGUUUUGAGAGUUGUAAGGUUGCAAUCUCCUGACACAAUAAUGAAAGUUCCUUGCCCUGCUCAUCCAUUGUUGCAGGCUAUAGCAGAACCACACAAUCAUUCUAUGCUUAUAUGAUUGUUGUUUGUCCUUUCUCAUCAAUCUUUAUGCUGUUUUUGCCAGCCUCAGGUCCAAGAAGAAUUUGCCCUUGUCACCGCCCAGUUCUUUGCAGCAUUGUCCAUACAUAAAGUGAUAAAUGACUUAUCAAGAAAGGUAUCACCUAUCUUUAUCGAGAACAUUUGUUGCUACCUCUGGUUUGACUAAUAUCUGGUGGUUUUCAGAUCAAACCCAUCUAAUUUGUGGGUUGCAUAAUGGUAAUGGAUUCUUUACUUGUUUCUUGAUUAGAAGGUUAAAGAAGUCUCCAUCAUUAUAGUACUAAAGAGGACUCAGUGAACACCACAUAAUCAAAAUUAUACAAAACCAGACAAAAUGGACAAAAUUAACAGAAGUCUUCUGCACCAGGUCUCCCCACAGCGGAGGAACCCAUCAUGGCAGCCCCUUAUCAUAUACAAAAUCAAACUUCUUUGAAAACUUAUUUGCUUUUGUGGCCAUACAGUUUCUCUGUCAGCUCCUGCUUCCCCCCAGUAUUUUAUUACACUAUAUUCUGCCACACAUGAUGACAAAGUCUCAGUGAUACAUGUGUACCUAUCGGUCCACCAUUCGUAUGCUAUCAAGUGUCAAAACAUAUGUUGCCACUUGUCACAAUAUAAGAGUACCAAUGUAAUCCUUGUUUGAAUGCUGCCAUGCACCCCAUGAAUCAGUACUUAUUAAUCAGAUACAUGUCAUCUGGAGUUUACUCCAUUAAUUAAUACUAAGAACAUUAAGCUACCAACUUUCUUAAAAGCUUAAAGCAUUACAAUAUGGGCUCAUAAUGUGUACUAGAUUAGCAUGCUCCCUCACAUACAACUAAGUACCCAUACGGGGAGAAACAAAUUAGUCGUUGCGGAUUCCAAGCAAAUAGAUGGGGAAAUAAACAAGAGGAGAGAUUCCAAUUGGAGACCUCUCAUUAACCAUAAUUCCAAUACCAAGGUAAUCCAAAGCUAGAGGAGCAUCAAAUCAAGUAUCCAAGCAUUUGUCCAUAUAAACUACAGUGAUAGAUGUUAAGAUAGCACCCAGUGUUCAUCUCCUCCUAAAACUAUGUUUAUGGAUGUCGAUGCCACUAUAGGUCUUUUAUUGUUUGUUUGUUGUUCUUUCAUAGUUAUUCUCAGCGUGCAAAUUGAUUCUUUUGGUACUAUGUCAUUGUACUACACUGUCAAAGGAUGUUAAGGUUUACAGAAUAAGGAACACAAAGGGUGAAGAUAAAACAGAAGUAAAUGGAAACCUAGAAUUUGCAUUCUUCAAUAAUAUCUUAUACAUAGAUAUAACAUAUAGCACAUAACCAUAACAACACUAAUAGAUGAAAUGAGCUAUCCACCUUACCCUAGUCAAGGAACAUGGUAGAAAUAAGCUCACUGUUGACAAAUGCAGUGCCCUUAAAAAUUCCAAAACUGAAAGCUAAUCCAUUGGUACAUCAGGAUGAGACAAGAGCACUGCUCACAAGUGAGACAGGAGAACAAAGCAAAGGCAAAUUCCAAAAGGACUGGCAUAAGGACCCAUCAAGAGAAUCAUACAUUAAUAAAAUGGAUAGGUGAUAUAUGAUAGCACUAUGGAAAUAUCUUCACCAAAGAAAACUGGUGAUCAUAUCUUCCAAACCACAACAAAACAUGCCACUAUAUUAAGUUAAACCAUUAAUAAUGCACGCCUAUAUUUAGUCCGACAUAGUAUUGAUAUGAGCGCAAGUGGGCAAAGACAUAAUUCCAGAUUAUAGGGCAGUCCGUACAGAUAUGCUAGCAGGCCUCUCAAAGUGGUGUUAAGGAGAUGUGUUUAUACAAAGACCAAACAUGCCAAACUAGCUUUUAGUUAUGCUACAGUGCAAAACACUUACAAAAGAUUUUACCUCCUAAGUAAGGGAAGCGGCCAGAUAUUGGCUAGAUUUUCAUCACGCUUGCCAUUCUCUGAUUCUUCAGGCUAAUCAAUUUCACAAAAUAAAUAAAUCAAUAAAAGUCAAAAUUUAAAAUUUAAUUUUUUUUUUUUAAAAAAAAAACGAUUUGUCAAAUGCCUCAUGAAGAUUAGGGAGCUAAUGUAUUGAUUUUAAUGAUAUAUUACCUCAGCAAGAAUGUGAGAAGAAACAACUGCAUCCCAUUCUGGGUUCUUUGUAUCCAAGAGGACAAGAACUAUAUCAAAUCUGCUCAAUAAGGGUCCAGACAGUGUUGUAUUGACAGAGAGAGCUAAAUUGGGUUAAGAAAUAUUUCAAUAUCACAAGGAAACAAAAAUCAUCGACUAGAAGGAGAGGCUACUUUUGGUAAAGAUAGAUUUAAGAACACCUAGCUAAAGUAUAUUUCAUAUUUACCUCUUUUGUUAUGUUACAUGGAUUCAGGUGCUAGUGUGCUUGUAGGCACCCAAUCCUUCAAAUUCCAAAAUUUUAGGAUGUGGAGACUUUACUAAAAAGGAUCCAUUAGCAACUACUGAUACAUGGAUACAAUAUAAUAAUGAUUGAAAUACUACUAAUCACACUUCCCAAUUAAGCCAAACUGUCUUAUCCCAAAAUAGUCUGGCAUUCAAGCAUAUUUUAUUUGACUUUCAAUCUUCUCAGCUAUAAGUUUACUGUACCAGUAAUAAGUUUAUAUUAGCAGAUUUUACUACUUUCUACAUUACUAUCAAUUUUAUGUUUAAAGUGAACUUUUUGUCCUCAUAUUUUAUUUCCCUCUCUAAUUUCCAUGUUCCCAGAAAACAAGUCUCUUCAAAAGCAGCAGCAAUCCUUUUAAGGCAAGGUUGCAAUGAUCUCUAGAGAACAAAAGAAAAAACUUCCUUGUAAGCAGGAGAGUAGUAUCCAAGCUGGAUUUCAUGCCAUGUCGACAUGGGAACCUAGGUGAAGUAAAAGAUGUUGAGUACCACAGUUUCUGUGAGACAAAUGCAAGAACAUACAUUCAACAGGAAACCAAAUAAUAUAAACAAUCAAGUAACCAUAAUUUAAAGACGUAAAUUAGAAAACUAGAAAUUCUAAAUCAAAAUGAUACAUUGACCAGGAUCAUAAUGUCCUUUAGGAUUUGUUGCACCAAAGACAAUUGUCCUGGUAUUAAGAGUUGUCACAAGACCAGCCUGAAAAAGGAAAAUUAUUAGUAAGAGAAUGUCAUUCAUGAAUUAUGCUUCACUACACAUAAAAAGAACAUGGGCACAAAAUAAGUAAUGGUGAACAAAGAAAAAAGCAGUUGAAUUUCUAUUUAAAAAGUUUAAACAAACGGAACAAUAACAAAGUAAACAUAUGAUAAAAAUAACAAUAGAAGGUUUUGAUUAACUCACCAACUUAUAAACCAUUGAAGGGGAAUUGGAACACUAAAGGAGAUAUAUUGGAUUUCAUAUAACUAUAGUGUAGGUGAAACAAAUCCAUAUACUCUCAAUAGCAAACCCUUAAUACAUUCAUUUGUGGAUUCUUGCCUCUAACAUACCUCCUCUCUCAUCAAGAGUUCUCAACUCUACUUUCCUAGAACCUCUAAGGGCUUAAAGGUCAUCCCUUAGAAGGUAUUCUAAGGGAUCCACAUUCUGAUAUCUCUAAGGAUGAAGCUUCUCUCUCACCAAAAAUUCCUAAAAAUGCCUUUAUUCCGAACCUUCAACUUAGCUUCAACAAACUUCAGUUUGCCCAUGAAUUUAUAGCCUUUCCACCAAUUAACCUAAGUCUCUCUCAACUCCCUCAAUCUUCAAACCUAUGGUAGUGAAGCUGCAUGCCUAGAAAAUGUAAGGAAACCAAACUCCAAAUAAUUUGGUUAGAAGUCACCAGAAUAGGGCAGUGCUUUGAAACAGGGCUUCCCAUUGCUUCUUGUACACUGUGGGGAAUUCUAAAUUCCAAAUGUAGGAAAUAAAAAUAUCUUUCACAAAUGGGGUUGCCCUCAGCAAUGCAAGUUGGAUGAAGUCAAAGACAUCCUUAAGAGGGGAGGAUCAACAAAACUACAGGCAAUGGCAAUGUUAUCAAAGCCCAUCAUAUGAAGUUAACUAAGAGGAUCCAAGCUUCCCCAAAAGAGUAAGUUAAACCAAAUAAGUCUUCCAAUUUGAUCUAGAUGUUCGAUCCUAGAGAUAAGCUAUUUGGAUUAUAAGGUGCUUGAACCAAUAAUCCUCUAAACAAUCCAAGGAAAAUAUAACAGAAAAUGAGUAAGAGCCUAACACCAUCUCACAUGUCUUUUGCAAGUAAAAUAUCUAAAUAAUCCAAGCCUCAUAGGAGGGCAAUUCACCCAAUUCCUUACUUCAACCCUCUAAUAGGAUUCAAAUAGUUUUCCUACCAAUAUGUUCCAGUUUGGUUUGUUAGAGAAUAACAAUAUCCAAGACUCACUUUCGAAGGAAAUCUCAAAUCGCUUCCCUCUUACUCCUAGACCUCAACCCACAAAUAUUUUUUAAUAGGCAAGAAAGAAUUUAUUAGAAAAUUUUCCAAACAAAAGACCCACCACCUCAUGCUAAAUUACAUACCAACUACAUUGCUAGAAUGCCAUUGUGAAAUCAUCAUGCCCAGGGACCAUAUCACUUCCCAAACCAUUAAGAGCAUAAAAGAACUCUUCUUCCCAAAAAGCCUCAUCUCACUUCUCCACAACCAACCUUUCUAAAGCUCUAAAGAAGACCUUUUAAUAUUGGGCCUCCAAUCCCCAAAAUCUGAGAACUGAUGGAAAAACUAGCAACCCAUUCUUUCAUUCAUCCUUCUCAAAUAUCCAACCCUAUUUAUCGUUAAUUUUCCAAAAUCAUUCCUUCUAAAGUGGUUUUGAGCCAUCCUGUGGAAAAUUUGAGUGUUUCUAUCACCCCCCUUUAGCCAUGACUCCUAAGACUUCUGUCUCCAAGAGGUCACCUUUAGGUCUGCCCAAUAAUAAUAAUACGCCAUAGCACCCUUUCUAGCCUCCAAAUCCUCAUCUUCCAAAGGCCCAACUCUCUCCUUAUUGUACUAGUAACCAGUGUUGUCAAAGGCAAAAGACAAUGCCAAGGUGAGAAGACCCCUUUUAACUUGAGACAAAAGGCGAAAAUUAAGGCGAUUGCCUAACUAUAAUAAGGUGAUAAAUAGUAUAAAUAUAUUUACCAUUUUACCUAUUCUAUACUCAACCAAUGUAAGUAUUCUUCAAUAAUCAAUACUACUAAAUUUUCAUCCCCUAUGAUGCCUUAUAAAAUUAAGAAAAUAGUAAUAAUCAUUCAAAGUUUUUACCCCACAUCAUAAGAAAAGUCAUACUAUUUCGAGAAAUUCAUCAUGUCCAUAUGAAUAUUCUACUGUUCCAAACAUCCAAAAAUAAAAAUAAGAAACAAAAUAAGAUAAUGAGCGUCCUAAAGAAGCUUUAAGCAUCAUCGUUGUAGUCAUCAUUGAAAUUAAAAUUGUCAUCACUUCCAUCAAGACUAGAUUGGUAUCCCUCCAUCUCAUUAUCAUCCUCUUCGAUGUCCUCUAAAUUGCUCUCUUUCUCUUCAAAAUCAGGUUAUGAAGUACCAGCCACUAAAUCCCCCUUUAAACUUGUCUUUGAUCUUGCUCAAAGUCUAGUGGAAAUAUUUGCAUCUCCCACUCCUGCUGCACUUGUCACUGCACCCCAUGUCAAGCUAUCAUCCCCAAAAACCAAGUCAUCCUCCGAAUGAAUGGUGGUGUCUUCUUCACUUAUUUUUCCAAUCAACCACUCAUUACUUUCGUCAAUAUCUACUAAUGAGAUGGGGUCAAUGACAUUGCAUCUAUCAUAUCGUGCUUUAAGAGCUUGGUUGUAUUUAACAAACACCAAGUCAUUUAGUCGUUUUUGCUCUAAUUUGUUCCUCUUCUUGGUAUGAAUCUUUAAACAUUUAUUAGUAAAUGUUACCACAAGCUAUAUUAGUUAUAACAACUUAAGUUACUUAACUAAUAAAAUUUCUAAUUUUAUAAAUUUAUAUAUUAUGUAAUCAACAAAGUAUUAAAUACUUACAUGCUCAAACACACUUCAAUUACGUUCACAACCCGAUGCACUACAAGUCAAGCUAAGAAUCUUUAUGGCUAGUUGUUGUAAAUUUGGGGUUGUGUUGCCAUAUAGUUUCCACCAUUCAGCUAUAAUGUUUCAAAUGGAAACAAAAAAUUAGUAGCCUAGCAAGUAAUAUUUGAUCUAAUAGCUCACAAAAUAAGUAAUUUAAUAUCUUAUUUAGAAAUAUAAACUUUCUUUAAGCACUUUAUAGUUUAUACCUGGAGUUAGCGUCUUCCUUGAUCUAAUGGCUAUUGGAAUACCAAAGAGACCCUCCGCAUUCUUAUAAGUUGACAACUCAUGAAUGAUCUUAUCUUGCACAUCAAUAUCAGAAACUAAUCUAUCUAUACAAGAAUAUAAUCUUGAUGUCACUUCUUCAUCAAACUCCAUACAAGGGUUGUCGUAGAAAAAUUCCAAGUUUAAGAAGCAACUUGUUGCCUGCAAGGGAUGAUGGAGUUGACAUUCCCAUCUCUUACCAAUAAUAGAGAAGAUCUCCUUGUAUUUAUCCUCAUUCUCAUUAAAUGACUUUUUGAUAGUCUCUUUACAUCUAUCCAUAGCUUCAUAUAUGUACCCCAUGGCUGGUUUUCUUUCAUUGUCAACAAGUUGAAGAACUUUAACAAGAGGACCCAUCACCUUAAGAAUAUAGACAACAUGAUUCCAAAAUGAAGGCAUCAAAACUACUUUUGAGACUUGUUUUCCCUUUGCUUCCUAUGCCCAUUUACUAGCUAACCACAUGUCAGAAGUGAACAUCAAUCUCAAAUUACGCUUUUGCAUAUGGAUACUUUGUAGGGUAAGAAAACAUGUUGCAAAUCGAGUCAUGCCUAACCUAACCAAUUCUCUUUGCUUGGUGAACUCUCUCAUCAUAUUUAGCACCCCCUCAUGAUUGUAGAUGAACCCAUUCAAUGUGAUGGCUCUAGUGAAAGUCCUCUUAAUUGUAGGAAGUUUCCUAACAUCCUCUAAAAUGAGGUCUAUGCAAUGAGCUGCACAAGGUGUCCAAUACAAAUAUGGUCAUUUUGCCUCUAGGAACUUUCCUAUAUAAAGUUAAAAUGAUAAAAACCAUAAUAAAUAAAAAUGAUGAAUAAUAUCUUAAAUUCAUGAUACAAUGUUUCAAUUUAAAUGGCACAAAUAAAACCUAAAGAACUUCAUCAAAUAAAAUCUUGCCUACCAAUACAUAGUUAGAUCCAUUGUUAGUUAUUACUUGAACAACAUUCUUCUCCCCAAUGCGCUCCACAAACUUGUCCAAUAAUUCAAAUGUCUUCUCCCCAGUUUUCAUGAAUGAACUAGCAUCAAUGGACUCCAUAAACAUUGUUCCAAUUGGGCAAUUUACCAAAAAAUUCAUCAAGGUUUGAUUUCUUCUAUUUGUCCACGCAUUAGACUAAUAGAAACUCCAUACUUCAUCCAUGCAACAUUAUGAUCUUUCAAUAAAUUUUUUGUGUACUCCACUUCUUUCUGAAGGAUUGGAACUCUUAAUUCAUAAUAACUCGGAGGUUUCAUAUGUGGACCACAUUGUCCAAUAGCUUUAACCAUCCAUUUAAAACUAUCUAAAUUUGCACAAUUAAAUGAUAUUUUUGCUUGAUAAAAGAAUCGACCUAUGUAUUGACAUACACUUUCUCUUUUCUUUUUAUCAAACACAUCAUUUAUAGAACUUUGUUUGAUCUUUCCCUCUUUCCAAAGUUGAACUACUUUUUCUAGCUUUUGAGACACAAAAGCAUCAAUGGGACCUUUUGUUGUUGACUUCAUCUUCUUAUUACUUCCCAUGCCACUUCUUCUAUUAUCAAUCACAUUUUUUCCAUUCAAAUUGACUUCUUCAAGUUCCUCUUCCUCAUCAAUAUCAACAAUGUUUUCUAAGCCAUCAAAUUCAAGAAAAGAACUAUAGUUGUCUUUUUCAUUCUUUUUAUUAGUCAUAUACUGCUCAAGCUCUUCUCUUACUUCCUCUGGACAUUUUAAACACCUUGCAACAUUUCCCUUUUUUCCUAUUUGAUGUUGCUUUGGUAUAAAAAUUCCACCUUUGUCUCAUUCCCACAAAAUAAACAUGCAACUGAAUUUGUAUUUUUUAAUCUUUCAAAAAAUUAUAUUUCCAAGCCGGAUCUUUUUUGUUUGAACCUUUUGAUGAUGUGCCAUUUUCUGAUACCAUUUCCAAAAGCUAAAUUUGGUUAAAAAAAAAAAAAAGAACUAAAAAUUUAAAAUUUAAAAUAUAAGGAAAAUAAGACAACAAUGUAAAAAAGUUAUAAAAUACAAAAAACUUUUAUAACAAAUAAUAAAAUUCUCAUGCAAGAAGCAUGGUCCGUUGAAUGAUAUAUUUUCAAUGAUAAGAACUUAUAAGUGGUGAAAGUGGUGGGACCCAUUGAAAUGAUGAGUCUCGGGAAGGUGGAGUAUGGCUUUCUGCAAUGUGCAGUGGCAGUAGAAAAUGGUUAAAUCUUUACAGUGUGUGUACUAUGUAGUGGCACUGUGAUAGGCUUAGAAAAAAUUGGUUUCAGGAAGGUAUUGAGUUUCUACAAUGUGCAAUGGCAGUAGAAAAUGGUCAAAUCUCUCUAUGUAGUGACACUAUUACAGGCAGCUCUAUAGUGUGCAGUAUUGCAGUGACAACAUAGAGUAAAAAAUAUGUAUAAAAAAAAGGGCCCAUGUGAGUCUUCACAUCACAAGCAAAGACAAGUUUUUGCUUAGCAGAGAAUAAAAUAAAAAAACAAAAAUCAAUAGCUUUGAAGUGUGUAAAAGAAGGCAGUCUUCAUUCUUCAAAACACAAGCAAAGAUAAUAUUUUUCUUUGCAAAGAAUAAAAUAAAAUAAAAACAAGUCAAUUAAAAGGUGCAGUAGUCAUAACAUACUUUUUUUCUUUUAAAAAAAGUUGGCUUCAUAUUUCAAAACUUCAAAUCGUGAAGAACAAAAAACAAAAGCCAUAAGAAGAGUUAUAGAGAAGAGAAAAAGGAGAAAACCUUGUCAAAGUGAACCACAAAGCUGUUGAAAUCUUCUUCCUUCCACCUUGUCUUCUUCUUGCUAAAAGGUAACAAAAAACUUUCUUUUCUUCUUCCCUCUACCUCGUCUUUUUCUUAAGCCCUAAAUCUUGUUAUUCCUUUUUUUUUUUUGCCCUUUUAUUAGGGCUUUGUUAUCAACCUUUUAGCUUCUCCAUACCUCAACUUUCCAAAUUUUAUUUUUAAUAUUUUAUUUUUCAAGUUUUCAGCCUUAUGAAUAAAGGCAAUCGCUAUUACACCUUAAACUUUAUCCUAAAGCAACGACCUAGGGGUUGCCUCGCUUAGGUCUUCAAGAGGCAUUUUUUAUUUUUCUCACUUUGCCUGGUGGCCUAGGCGAAUCAAGUGAUCGCCCUUGACAACACUGCCGAUAACCAAUCUGCUCCUAAGUAGCUACUAUGCUAACUGCCAUGUUACUGAAGACUCGUUUAUGCCAAACUUUAAUAUCUUCUUUCAAAGCUUUCAGCUAGGUCAGAUAAAGAAAACUCAAUGAUCCAGUCAUAUUGUAGCUUUUCCACCAGUUCUUCACGAAGCCCUUAAACCAUCCACCUUUAGCCACAUAAUCUUAAAACUAAACACAGUCUUAUCGAUUGUAACCCCAUCACUAUCCAAUGAAAUCAAUGUAUCAGCAUAGAUUGGCCUUGGCAACACGCUCUAGACCAAACUGAAGAAAUGACCCUCCCAAUCUGUAAUCACAAGAAAGAUAUCAAGAGAAUGGGAAUCCCUUCUUGCCCCUACACUCCAUGCAAACUCUACUCCUGAAAAAGGCAUAUCUAUUAAACUAAAAUCCCUGAAAAACUUCAUGAAGUGCCUCAUCGCUGCUAAAAUAUGGAUGCAAUGUCCUUUUUCUUAAGGAAAUCCCACUAUAUAAAAGUCUUUCCUAAUACACCAAGGAUCCUCCCACAACCCCAUAAUAUCCCCUAGUUGUUUUUGAGAAAUCCUCCUUGUCCCACUUCGAAUCCAGGUGCCCCUAAAAACCCACACAGAUUAUCCUCAAAACUGGUAAAACGGUAGGAAAAUAAAAAUGCUCCAUUGCUCCUACUCCCACCUCAACCAUCUCAAAAGCUCUCUGAUAAAAAAAAAUUAAAAAAAAUAAAAUAACUGUUGGGGCACGAAAUACAUUAUGGGUUAAAAUCCUACUAACUUGAGCUUUUAGGAAAAUUAGUUGUUCAACAUGAUACCAAAGCUGUAAUUAAUUGGAAGUCAUGAGUUCGAAUCCUCUCUCCAUCUAUUUAUCUGUCUUAUUAUUUUAUCUGAAAUUUGUGAUUUGUCUACAUCUACUAUUGUUUGUGACUCCCAUAAUGGGUAUAGGCCACAAAGGAGGGGAGAUGGUGGAGCAUGACAUACAUUGUGGCUUAAUCCUACUAACUUAAGUGUUUAGGAAAAUUACUUCUUCAACAAUUAUACCCACUUUCCUCAAAGCUCCCCUUGCCCUUAAAGCUUCCCAAACUAAAAAUCCCUGCACCCAAACAUAUCAUCUAUUUUGCUCUCUUGAAAGCAUACCAAAUCCAGCUUCUAAGACUGGAUGAUAAUCUUGACCAUUUUCAUCUUCUACAGAUUAUUUAGACCCCCUAUAGUCCAUGACAACAUCAUUAUUUUCAUGGUGUUGAAGAUCCAUCUCUAUCUCCUUCUGAUCUACUUUCCAUGUAUUGCCCUUGUAAUUCCCAAAACACUAAUUUUUUCAAUUCCCUCUGUUUCCACCUAAAGCCUCUUGCUUUUCACUUUCUAGCUUAUAUUAAGAAUGACUUUCUGUGUUUUGCCCCUAUUUUUCUAAUCAAGGUCAUAAUUUCUUUCUCAAAACUAUCAAAGGGUGUGCCCACAAAUCUAUUGAAUCCCGCAAAUUUACUAUUAGACUAUAGCAAGGAACCUUUUUAACCAUUUCCAACCAAACUUCUAACAACUACUGCUCCUAGGAGAAUCAAGGGGUAACUCAAACAAGAGAGAAAUAAACGGUGAUGAAAGGAGGAGAACGCUUCUCAUUAGGGACCAGCUUCCUUGAAUUACAUGGCCCUGAACUAGAUUCUCAAGAAAAUCCAUUGAUCUGCCAUCUUGCAAGAUCAUUCUCAAGGGACCUCAUCCGCCAUAGCAAGCUCUAGAGCUUAUCUCCCUCACCUUCUAGAAAUCCUUUUGCACUAACCCCAUAGGAGAAGAAAUCUGAGAAGAAAAGGUAGGAGUAGAAGACUCAUCCUUGUUGAAAUUCGGCAUUCAAAGUUAGGGUUUUAAUUUAGGAAAGUAUUUUAGGAAUAAAAAAGGAGAGAUCAUUUAGGAUAUUUCCUUAGGAUUCAGUUUCCUAUUUUUUAGGAGAGAAUCAAGCUAGAUAGAUAUUUUCUUAUUCAGUCAUUUGUGUAUAUAUAUGUGUAUGGCGUGUACCGAAUAAAUCAAUAAAGGAGUUCAGAAAUUCUUCAUGGUAUCAGAGCCAGUUUUCUAUAACCCUAAUCCCUUCUGGCCGCCUCUUAUUCAGGCCAUCAUUCAUUCCAGCCAAACCUCUUUGGCCAUCUCUCAAUCCGACCAUCUCUCUCUCUGGCCAUCACUCAUUCCGGCCAAGUCUCUCUGGUCAUCUCUCAUUCCGGCCAUCAGUCCCUGUUCUCAGGCCUGUAUCUCUAGUUUUCUUCUCUUCCCUAUUUCCAGCAACCAUAUUCGACUGUCUUCCUCAUCUCCAUGACAAAAUACGGAAUGACAUCAUCACAAGUAUCUAGCGUCACGGCACUAGAAUCAGGGGGCAGUUCUGAAAUUCCAAACCUUGGUGGCAGUGAUUCCUCUCCUAUUCUCAUCACAGGACACAAAUUAAAUGGCCAUAACUAUUUACAGUGGUCACAAUAUGUGUUACUGUUUAUUUGCGGUAAAGGAAAGGAUGAGUACCUCACUAGAGAAGCAGUCAUGCCAGAAACUACAGAACCGGGUUUCAGGAAGUGGAAGAUUGAAAACAGCAUGAUCAUGUCAUGGCUUAUCAAUUCCAUGAACAAUGACAUAGGUGAAAAUUUCUUGUUGUUUGGGACUGCAAAGGAUAUAUGGGAUGCAGCCAAAGAAACUUACUCAAGUUCUGAAAAUACUUCAGAACUUUUUCAGGUUGAAUCAGCCCUACAUGACUUCCGCCAAGGAGAGCAAUCAGUUACUCAGUAUUACAACACACUCACAAGGUAUUGGCAGCAACUUGACUUAUUCGAGACUCACUCAUGGAAAUGUUCGGAUGAUGCAACAACAUACAGGCAGAUUGUGGAACAAAAGAGACUGUUCAAGUUUUUCCUAGGACUAAACAGGGAAUUGGAUGAUGUUAGCGGCCGAAUCAUGGGCAUUAAACCCCUGCCAAGUCUCAGGGAGGCUUUUUCAGAGGUUAGGCGUGAAGAAAGUAGAAAGAAAGUGAUGAUGGGAUCCAAAGAGCAACCUGCCCCAACAUUGGAUGCCUCUGCCCUUGCUGCUCGGUCAUUUAAUAGUAGUGGUGGAGAUCGUCAGAAACGGGAUAGGCCUUGGUGUGAUUAUUGUAAGAAACUAGGCUAUUAUAAGGAGGCUCGCUGGAAGCUUCAUGGCAAACUGGCUGAUUAGAAACCAAAGCCACGGUUUGACAGAGAUGGUAGAGCACACGUGGCUGCCAACUCUGAGAGCACAUCUGUUCCCGAGCCGAGUCCAUUCAACAAAGAGCAGAUGGAGAUGCUAUAGAAACUAUUAAGCUAAGUUGGCAGUGGCAGUACUACCGGGACAGCCUUCACUGCUUAUCGAGGAGGAAUGAAGCCGUGGAUAGUGGACACAAGUGCUUCUGAUCACAUGACAGGAGAUGUUGCCAUUCUUUAAAAUUACAAGCCAAGUAAUGGUCAUUCAUCCAUCCAUAUUGCUGAUGGUUCAAAGUCAAAAAUUGUUGGGACAGGUUCCAUAAAACUUACUAAAGAAUUGUAUCUUGACUCUGUCCUCCAUGUUCCAAACUUGGAUUGUAAUCUUUUGUCCAUUAGCAAAUUGGCCCGUGAUCCCGUGAUCUCCAAUGUGUUACUAAAUUUUAUCCAAACUCGUGUGUUUUUCAGGACUUGAAAUCGGGGAAGAUGAUUGGCAGUGCUGAACUGUGUUCCGGGCUCUACCUCCUCCCAUGUGGCUGAUUCUCAAACCAAGUCUCUCAAGCAAGUUGCAUACAGUCUCAAAGUCUGUUAGACUCUUUCAAUUCUAUGUCAAAUUCUAAGGUCAAUAAAGAUAGUGAGAUUAUAAUGUUACACUAUCGCCUUGGUCAUCCUAGCUUUGUUUACCUUGCAAAAUUGUUUCCCAAAUUAUUUAUCAAUAAAAAUCCAGCAUCUUAUCACUGUGAAAUUUGUCAGUUUGCAAAGCAUACUCAAACAGUAUAUCCUCAAAUCUCAUACAAACCUUCGACUGUUUUCUCUUUAGUACAUAGUGAUGUGUGGGGUCCCUCACGGAUAAAAAAUAUUUAUGGCACUCGAUGGUUUGUGACAUUCGUUGAUGAUCAUACACGGGUAACAUGGGUUUUCCUUAUGAAAGAAAAGUCAGAGGUCGGGCACAUUUUUCAAACCUUCAAUCUUAUGGUUCAAAAUCAAUUCAAUUCCAAAAUUCAGGUCCUCAAGUCAGAUAAUGCAAAGGAAUACUUUACUAGUAGUCUUAGUACCUAUCUUCAAAAUCACGACAUCAUCCACAUAAGUUCUUGCGUUGACACCCCACAACAAAAUGGGGUGGCUGAACGCAAGAAUAGACAUCUCUUGGAGGUUGCCCGGUGCCUUAUAUUUUCCUCUAAUGUUCCAAACUAUUUAUGGGGGGAAGCCAUUCUCACAGCUACCUAUUUGAUUAACCGUAUGCCAUCUAGAGUGCUUACCUUUCAAUCCCCAUGUCAACUUCUCUUAAAAAAAUUCCCUCAUACCCGUGCAACCUCUUCUGAUUUACCACUCAAAGUAUUUGGUUGCACGGCAUUCGUUCAUGUGUAUCCUCAAAAUCGUAGCAAAUUUGCUCCUCGAGCCAAUAAGUGCAUUUUCCUAGGGUAUUCUCCAACCCAAAAAAGGUACAAAUGCUAUUCUCCAACCAACAAAAGAUUUUACACCACCAUGGACGUCUCUUUCUUUGAACAUGUCUUCUUCUAUCCCAAAUCUCAUGUUUAGGGGGAGAGCAUGAAUGAACAUCAAGUUUGGAAGUCUCUUCUUGAGGCUGUACCUUUUUCUCACUCAGAGUCACCAAAUCCUUCCCAAUCCGCGCCCACUGAGUUGUCCACACCCAUGUCGUCAUUAGUCCAGCCAGCCUAGCCCACAAAUGUUCCUUCUCCCGUGACCAUCCAGUCUCCCACGCCUAUUCAACCGAUAGCCCCACAACUUGCUAAUGAGAACUUACAAGUAUACAUCAGGAGGAGGAAAAGACAUGAAUUAGAGCACGGAUCACAGCCAACAUGUGGCCAAUAUAUUGACUCCAUUUCAAGUCUACCUGAAGAGAACAUAGGUGAGGAUAAGGCUGGAGAGGUGUCAAUUCCCAGCAUUGAUGAUUCUACUUUGCCGAUUGCAUUGAGGAAGGGUGUUAGGAGAUGUACAGAUCAUCCAAUUGGGAAUUAUGUUACGUAUGAAGGGCUAUCACCAUCUUACAGAGCAUUUGCUACUUCUCUUGAUGAUACUCAGGUUCCCAACACAAUACAAGAGGCAUUCAAAAUUUCAGAAUGGAAGAAGGCAGUACAAGAUGAGAUUGAUGCACUUGAAAAGAAUGGGACAUGGACUAUCACAGAUUUGCCGGUUGGGAAGAGGCCCGUGGGGUGCAAGUGGAUUUUCACCAUAAAAUACAAAGCAGAUGGAUCAGUCGAGAGAUUCAAGGCUCGUUUGGUAGCUAGAGGGUUUACACAAUCCUAUGGGAUAGACUAUCAGGAGACUUUUGCUCCUGUUGCAAAACUGAACACUAUCAGGAUUCUUCUCUCAUUGGCUGUCAAUCAAGAUUGGUGCUUGCAACAACUGGACAUAAAAAAUGUGUUUCUAAAUGGUGACCUAGAAGAGGAAGUCUACAUGGAAAUACCACCUGGUUUCGAAGAAAGUAAGGCAAAGAAUCAGGUUUGCAAACUCCAAAAAUCCUUGUACGGCCUUAAACAAUCUCCCCGAGCCUGGUUUGAUAGAUUCACAAAGGCAGUCUUGAAGUUGGGCUACAAACAAGGUCAGGCUGAUCAUACUCUAUUUGUCAAGAAGUCUCAUGCCGGGAAAAUGGCCAUAUUGAUAGUCUAUGUCGAUGAUAUUAUUCUAUCUGGGAAUGAUAUGGAGGAAUUACAGAAUUUGAAGAAGUAUUUGUCAGAAGAGUUUGAAGUUAAAGACCUUGGAAAUUUGAAAUAUUUCUUUGGUAUGGAAGUGGCUAGAUCAAGGAAGGGAAUUGUAGUCUCUCAAAGAAAAUACAUACUCGACCUUCUUAAGGAGACCGGUAUGCUUGGAUGCAAACCAAUUGAUACUCCUAUGGAUAGUCAGAAGAAACUUGGUAUCGAGAAAGAGAGUACACCGGUAGACAGGGGGAGAUAUCAACGACUCGUCGGGCACUUGAUUUAUCUCUCACACACUCGGCCAGAUAUUGGCUUUGCAGUGAGUGCCGUAAGUCAAUUCAUGCACAGCCCCACUGAGGAACACAUGGAAGCAGUCUACAGGAUUCUUAGAUAUUUAAAAAUGACACCAGGGAAAGGUCUAUUCUUCAGAAAGACAGAGAAUCGUGACACUGAAGUAUACUCAGAUGCGAAUUGGGCAGGAAACAUCAUUGACAGGCGGUCCACUUCUGGAUACUGUUCUUUUGUCUGGGGAAAUCUUGUUACCUGGAGGAGUAAGAAGCAAUCAAUUGUAGCCAGAAGUAGUGCAGAAGCUGAGUACAGAGCUCUAGCACAGGGAAUUUGUGAAGGGAUUUGGAUAAAAAGGAUUCUUAGUGAACUGGGACAAACGAGUUCAUCUCCGAUUCUGAUGAUGUGUGAUAAUCAGGCAGCUAUAAGCAUAGCAAAGAAUCCCGUGCAUCAUGACAGGACCAAGCACGUUGAGAUUGACAGACACUUCAUCACAGAGAAGGUGACUAAUGAGAUGGUUAAAUUGAACUACGUUCCUACCAAGCACCAAACCGCAGACAUCCUCACCAAAGCUUUACCUAGGCCUAACUUCGAAGACUUAACUUGCAAGCUGGGAUUAUAUGAUAUAUAUUCUCCAGCUUGAAGGGGAGUGUUGAAAUUCGGCAUUCAAAGUUAGGGUUUUAAAUUAGGAAAGUAUUUUAGGAAUAAAAAAGGAGAGAUCAUUUAGGAUAUUUCCUUAGGAUUCAGUUUCCUAUUUUUUAGGAGAGAAUCAAGCUAGAUAGAUAUUUUCUUAUUCAGUCAUUUGUGUAUAUAUGUGUAUGGCGUGUUCCGAAUAAAUCAAUAAAGGAGUUCAGAAAUUCUUCAAUCCCCAAGCACCAAAACCUAGUAAUAGACUAAGAACCUAGGGUUCAAGAUACUAGUACCAAGAGAAGCUUAAAAGCAUGGUGUUUUCUUAAGAAAUCAAUUAUUUGAUGUGCAAGAUGUCCUCAUCAUUUAGCUACUAGAACCAAAUAAUUUUCUGUACUUCACAUGCCUAUUUAUAUGGAUGUCAGUGAGAUCACCUUCACCUAGGCCUUAGGGACAUUUUUACAAAGAAUAUGAAUUGCUGAUGAAUUUUCAGAAAUUUGUGUCACCCAUUUUCAUUAAUAAUCUACCCAACUUAGAAGUUGAAUCUGGAAAGGUGAAACAAAUUCACCAUUUCACACUCAGAUGAUGACUUAAAUUAAGGGCAAUUCAAACUAUAUAGCACAAGUAGUUGUAGUAAAGAUAUACCAAGCACAAAGUAGUAAAGAUUCAAGUACAAAUUUAACUUUCCUCUGUUGUUUUCAGCAUCUUGUAUUUCAAAAUUAUUUCUAAUGUGCAAAAAUGAAGAGGGUCCUGCUAGGUAGAAAUCCAGCCUUAAAACCCUCAAAACCUUAUGAACAAGUCAAAUUCAAAUCUAAAUAGAAUCUUUCAAUAAAUUUUCAAAAUAUAGUCAGAACAAGUAAUUUACCUUGGCAAUACUUAUAGUCUGUUGCUCCAUUGCUUCAUGUAUGGUUGCCCUAUCAUGUUCCCUCAUACUGUCAAACAGAACAUGAUUUAGAUUAAGAAUUAAGAAAGGGGAAGACAAAAUGGGAAGGUGGGGAAUAACUUGAAAACAAGAUGAGAGAUGAUAGGAGAAACAAUGAAAAAAAAAAUUAUAUAAAAGAUAGAGGUUUUAUAUAUAUAUAUAACCUGACACCAGGUUGUUAAAAUAUAAUAUUAGGGAUAUUUAUGCCUUAUGUAUGUUAGAAGUGUAAUAAGUAGUUGCCUCACGUUUGUUUACUCUCAUUGUUUCCUUCUAUUCCUCUUUCUUUUUUUCUUUUUUUUCUCUUUUUCAAACCAGGCAAUUCACCAUAAUACUAGCAACUAUAAUUAACCAUCUCAUUCAAAUAACUAGCAACCUAAUAAUAGAUCAUUUUGGGGGAAGCAAGUCAAAUUCAUAGUGGAUAACUAUGACUUUAUCACAAACCUCCAUGCUAGAAAAUUUCAAUCGCCUAAUUAUGUCAACCACAGUUAUUAGCAGAGUUAUUUCUUUAAGGGGGUUAAAAAAAAAGGAAAAGAGAACAACACAACUACCAAAAUGAUAAGAAUAACAAGACUCAAAGAAAGAACCAUAGUCGGUUGAUAUAUUUUUCCUUUUCCUUCUCAAAAUAGGGUUCAGAAAACAAAAUAGAUUAUGCAUGUCGAGUUUGAUACACGAUUUGCAAAAGCAAAGAGAAAGGUUGCCCUAUUUAAAGUUCAUGAUGGACAAAAAUAGCUUUUUCAUUCAAUCAAAAUAGCAAUACCUAUUGAAUUCGUCUAUACAACAAAGCCCACCAUCUGCCAAAACAAGUGCCCCAGCUUCCAACAUCCAUUCCCCUAAAAAUUCCUUAGAAGCGGUUAGUCUUUUUAGUUGAAUUGAAUUUCACAUAUGUGGUGAUAUUAUGUUACAGAGAAAAUUUCAAGGAUGCCCAAUGAAAUUUUUAAAAAUAAAUGUUGUACAUACUUAUAUGAUGACCUACAAAGGGCUUAAAAAAACAAUAGAUAAAAUUUCAAACUAAAUCCAUUUCAUAAGCAGAAUUUCAAUCCACGAUAUUUUUUUGGGCUUAUACUUUAUUGGGUUAAAUAUUGAUAAAUUGAGUAAACAUAUAUCCUUCAAUGAGAUAAAUAAAGAAAUAACUGAUAUUGGCAUUCAACUUAAAGUAAUACAUCCAGAAAUUAUACUAAAAGAUCUUUUAUGGAAAUGAUUUAGCUGCAUGAAACAAUUAUCCCAUUCCAUGAACCACCUAAUUCAUAUUCCAAUUACACUGAUUUAGCCACCAUAACAUGUCUCCCUUUGUAAGAACAUGUCUCCCAUUUCAUGAAAUAUUUUUUUUCUUUAAACAUUGGAUAGAAGAUGUAUGACUGAAAGCAGAAGGCAAUAAAGAAAGUAACUGUUGAAACCGUAGGUUUGAUUUUUAGGAGUUCGAAUUUAAAAAUAAAAUCAGAAGAUAAGGCUUGACUGAGUCCUAUUAUUUUGGACUGUUUAGUUUAGAUAAGUCCUAGAUUUUUAGGAGUUUGAAUUUAAAAUGAAACCAGAAGAUAAGGCUUGAUUGAAUCCUAUUAUUCUAAAUUGUUUAGUUUAGAUAAGUCCUAAUGUAUUUAAAUUUGUUUUUAUCUCUAGUUUGAAAGAGAGAAUAUCGGAUGAUAUUCUGCAAGAUGGGAUUGCUUCGUCUAUUUAAGUUCUCGAUGUAAACCAAAUUUUUUUCAAUAGAGUAUCAUUCAAUUUCUCUUCCAAAUUCAAUAUGGUAUCAAAUCCCAAGAUCUGAACAUAAACAUGGUGAAAACUACAAUGACUGGCGAAUGUCUAGCAAGGUCUUCAAAUGUCAUCUCCAAUUCUUCUCUUGUCAAUUCUGAUGGUAAUGGUGGUUCUGAAAAUUCCAUUCACCACAUUACUGUCCACAAAUUAAAUGGCAAGAAUUAUCUCCAAUGGGCUUAAUCGGUAAUGAUGUAUAUAUGUGGGAGAGGCAAAGAUGACUACAUCACAGGCGCGAAAACAACCCCUAUGAAGAAUGAUGCAUCUUACAAAACCUAGUUUUCUGAGAACAAUAUGAUUAUGUCUUGGCUUACUAAUUCCAUGGAGACAGACGUAGGCUAGACGUUCCUAUUCUACAAGACAACAAAAGAAAUCUGGGAUGCAACCAAGGAGACAUUUUCAAACAACGGAAAUGCAACAGAGGUGUUCGAAAUCAAAAGUCAGCUUCUAGAAUUACGGCAAGGGGACCUCAGUGGGACCCAAUACUUCAGCAUUCUCUCCCUAUAUUGGCAAAAAUUGGACGUGUACAAAGAAUUGGAAUGGGAUUGCACUAGUGACAACAUCAAAUAUCAAAAAACUGUGGAAAAAGAAAGGAUCUUCCCAUUCUUGGCGGGACUCAACAAAAAUCUUGAUGAAGUCUGAGGAAGGAUUCUUAGCACUAAGCAACUCCCAUCACUGAGAGAGGUGUGUUCUGAGGUCCGACAAGAAGAGAGUUGAAAGAAGGUCAUGAUGAAGGAUCACAACUCAUCAGAGUCCUUUUCGAGCAAUGACGGAUCAGCCUUGGCCACCAAGGGACCGAAUUCUCAACACUUUGAUUCACAAAGGAGAUCCAAUGGGCCAUGGUGUGAUCAUUGUAAUCAAGUUGGUCACACUCGAGAAACCUGUUGGAAAAUUCAUAGGAAGCCGUCCAAUUGGAAAAGUAACAGAACUCAGGAAAAUGAACCUCAAGGUUAUUGUGCCACCAAUGAUGAACCACCACAAUCCAAUAACUCAGCCAACAAAACGCCUUUAAGUUGAGAAUAGAUGGAGCUACUUCAGAAACUCCUCACACGUGAUCCUUCGAGUACCUCCACUAUAGGAUCAAGUUCCAUUGCCCAGAAAGGUAUAUGUUCCAAAGCCUUGAAUGCUUUUUCAAAGUCAAACUCAUGGAUUAUCGACUCUAGCACAUCCGAUCACAUGACCGGUGAUAUAACUCUUUUUCACUCUUAUCAACAUUGUUCUAAGAGUUAUAAAAUUAAAAUAGUUGAUGGCUCUUACUCAUGGGUGGUCAGUAAAGGGAGUGUCAUUCUUCCGAAUAGCUUUAGAUUGCUCUCUGUUCUUCAUGUUCCUAAGCUUACAUGUAACCUGCUCUCUAUAAGCAAAGUCACUAAAGAUCUGAACUGUGUUACUAAAUUCUUUCCUAAUCAUUGUGAAUUUCAAGAAAUGGAGACGGGGAAGAUGAUUGGUUGUGCCUGGGAGCAUGAGGGUUUAUAUAUCUUUGGAAAUAAAGCUGCAAAAGGGCAAACUCAGAAGGCAAGCUGCAAUGUUCUUUCAUCUUUUACAAAUUCCAAUGACCAUGAAAUAAUGUUUUGGCACUUUAGGCUAAGCCACCCAAGCUUUCCAUAUUUGAAAAAGUUGCUUCCAUCGUUAUUCAAAAAUAAAAACUUAGAGUCAUUUCAUUGUGAGUUCUAUCAAUUGUCUAAACAUUGUUGAAAUUCUUAUGUUUCACAACCUUAUAAAAAAUCUCAUCCUUCUUCGCUCAUACAUAAUGAUUUAUGGGGACCUUCCAAUAUUAGCAACGUAAUAGGCUCUAAGUGGUUCAUUUCAUUUAUUGACGAUCAUACACGAAUAUGCUGGGUGUAUUUGUUAAAAGAAAAUUUUGAAGCAAAAGACUGACAAUGGUACUGAAUACUUUAAUUCAAUUCUUGGACCCUAUCUUCUUGAACAUGGCAUUAUUCAUCAAAGCUCAUGCAUGGCUACACCACAACAAAAUAAAAUUUCAGAAAGAAAAAAUCAUGAUUUGUUGGAAGUUGCUUGAUCCCUUAUGUUCUCGACAAAUGUUCCUAAAUAUUUUUGGGGGGAAGCCGUUCUUAUUGCAUCAUACUUGAUAAACAGAAUGCCCACUAGAGUAUUACAGUACCAAACUCCCAUUGAAGUCCUAAAAAAUUGCUACCCUAACAUUCGGCUAGUGUCAUCCCUUCCACCAAAAAUUUUUGGUUACAGCGUUUUUAUCAACACUCAUGCUCAAAACAAAACGAAACUAGAUCCAAGAGCCCCCAAAUGUCUUUUCUUGGAAUAUUCUUCAACCCAAAAAGGUUAUAAAUGUUACUCUCCUAUCACAAAAAGGUUCUAUGUUCCAUGGAUGUAACAUUCCUUGAGAAUCAAGCCUAUUUUCCCAAAACUCAGCUUCAGGGGGUGAUUUUAAGGAAUUCCAGCUCAGAUCAAUUUUGGGAUAUUGCUAUUCUAGUUGAUAUUGCUCUUCCAGCCCAGCCCCAAUUUUCGAAUAUGCCACCUCAACUACCCCUGUAACAGUAAGUAAGUCCAGCCCUGAAACCACUAUUUUUUUUUUUGAUAAGUAAGCAAGCAAUAGAUUAAGAAGUGGCAAAAAGCCACAAGGCAUACAGGGAGUAUACACAGUAGCCUAAGCCAAAAAACACAAAAAACAGACAACCUCACCAGCCCUUAAGUGGACGCUAGCCACUCCAAAAAGCCUAAGAGAGACAAGGACUCCUCACCAAUGUACACCCGAGCGCAACUCUACAGAUUACAAACAAAAGAAUUUUUGAGCUUCUAAAUAGCUAAAGAACCCCCCCCCCCCCUAAAAGCUAACAUAUUCCUCUCAUUCCAAACCGUCCAAAAAAUACACAACGGGAUGGAAUUCCAAAUCUUUUUCCUUUUUUUCCCCACAAAAGGGUCCACUGUUUUUGGGAACACCCACGGAACCCCAAACAAGGCGAGAAUGAUCUCCCAGAGGACCCUGACCACUGUACAGUGUAAAAGAAUAUGAUUUACAGUUUCUUCUUCACAACCACACAAAAAACAACGAUUGGGGAGCUGCCAUCCCCGUUUUUUAAGACUAUCCAGGGUAAAAAUCUUCCUCCAAGUGGCCUCCCAAGCAAAAAAAGCAGCUUUGGUUGGAGCCUUAUCCACCCAAAUGUUCUUCUUCGGGAAAGUGAAGUCAUUGGGAGCGACCAUCAGAAUAUAAGUGUCCUUAACCCCAAAGAUACCACUUCCCCCACCUUUCCAAAACACCGAAUCCUCUUCUGAAGAUAUCCUGCAAUCCCUCAACAAAAUCAGCAACUCCCCUAUCAAAUCCAACUCCCAAUCAUUAAAGUCUCUACAAAAUCUGAGGUUCCAACCUCCUUGACCAAAGCUAGAGUCCCACACUUCAUUAACUGUUGCAUUCCUAUGGACCGCUAAAGCAAAUAACAGGGGGAAGAUUUGGGACAGCGCUGCAUUGCCACACCAAUGAUCAAUCCAGAACUUAAUUUUAGUCCCUUUACCCACUUUAAACUGGAAAUUAUCCCAACACCAGCAAGCCUCCUUCAGAAUCUCCUUCCAAACCCUCACUCCAUAUGUCCCACAAACCUCAUUAGUCCUCCACCCAAAACCCUCCUGGCCAUACUUCACCAACAACACCUUCUUCCAAAGAUUAUCCUUUUCAGUGGCAAAUCUCUAAACCCAUUUUCCCAGCAAGGCCUUGUUCAGAAGGAUAAUCUUCCUUAAACCUAGACCACCCUUCUCCUUUUGAGCGCACACCACCUUCCAAUUGAUUAAGUGGACUUUCCUUUCCAAGCUUCCCCCUCCCCAAAGGAAGUCUCUUUGUAAUUUUUCCAUCCUUUUUGCAACAAUCUUGGGCAUUCGAAAAAGGGACAAUUGGUAAAUCGGCAUGCUGGCCAGUAUGCUCUUAAUAAGGAUGAUUCUCCCGCCUUUAAAAAUAUAUUGUCUUUUCCACAAGGUUAGUCUUCUCCUCAUUCUCUCUUCCACCCCAUCCCACAUAGAAAGAGUCUUGUGAUAGGCUCCUAAAGGCAGCCCCAAAUAAACAGUGGGCAAAGACCCCACCCUACACCCUAGCUCCACUGCCAUUUCCUCAAUCUCUUCCACCUCUCUAACUGGAAUUAAUUCGUUUUUGGCCAGAUUGAUCCUUAAACCGGAAGCAGCCUCAAACCAAGCCAAAGUCCAACUCAAGAAAGUUAGAUUCUCUUUCCUUGCUUCACAGAAUAUGAUUGUAUCAUCAACAAUGAGUAAAUGGGACACAUUUAACUCCAUCCUUCCUCCCCCCCGAAGCUUACAGCCUUAAAUGAACCCCCCAUCCGCAGCCCUUCUUAAAAGUGCACUUAGCACUUCCAUUCCCAACACAAAAAGGUAAGGAGAAAGAGGGUCUCCUUGACGCACCCCCUUGAUGCUUGAAAAGAAGCCUGCAGGCACCCCAUUGACGAGAACAGAGAACUUGGUAGUUGAGAUGCAUUGCCAAAUCCACUCCAUCCACCGAGACCCAAAGCCCAUCUUAUGCAAAACCUUCAUUAAAAAACUCCAAUUUAUGUUGUCAUAUGCUUUUUCAAUGUCCAAUUUACAAAUCAGCCCUUUCUCUUUUCGUUUUUGCCAAAAGUCAACCACCUCAUUAGCUAUAAGCGAGGCAUCCAAAAUCUGUCUACCCUUCACAAACUCGUUUUGAUCCUCGGAAACCACCUUUCCUAAAACCUUCUUCAGCCUAAUAGCCAGUACCUUAGCCAACAACUUGUACAGACCCCCUAGGAGGCUAAUGGGCCGGAAAUCCCCCAAAUCCUCAUCACCCCCUUUUUUUGGAAUGAGGACCAGGAAAGUGGUGUUCAGGCUUUUGGCAAAGGAUCUUUGAUCAUAAAACUCCUUGAACAACUCCAAGAUUUCCUCCUUCAUAAAAUCCUAACAUGCUUGCCAAAAGGCCACUGUGAAGCCAUCUGGGCCAGGAGCUUUGUCACCAUUCAGCUCCAACAGGGCAGAAUGGAUUUCUUCCUCAAAGAAGGGCACUUCCAAAUUUUCACCUACGAUGGAGAUGCAGCCCCUCUAUGUCCGCUCUCCAGCCUGGCUUAUUCCAGCAAAUUUGACCUCAGAGCUUUGGGUUUAUUCCAGAUGAAAAGUUGCCAAGGAUAUACAAACUCCCAUGCCCUCAGCUGAUGGCCGGUUAACUGAACCUAAUCCGGAUCCUCAUGACCAGAAUUCAAGUAACACAAUAACUGAUACUAAUCUAGUUGUAUUAUAUGAUUUGGAUGUUCCUAUUGCAUUUUGGAAAGGGGUUAGAUCGUGUACUACACAUCCCAUUGCUGAUUUUGUUUCCUAUGAAAGAUUAUCUCCACAGUUUUGAGCAUUUACUGCUAAUCUCUCUAAAGUUGAUAUACCCAGGGACAUUCAUGAGGCAUUACAACAUCCAAAUUGGAAAGCAGCUGUGCAUGAGGAGAUUAAAGCUCUUGAAAAAAAUGGAACCUGGGAAUUAACCAAAUUGCCUUUAGGAAAAUCUACUGUGGGAUGCAAGUGGAUUUUCAAUGUGAAAUAUAAAGUUGAUGGGAACAUUGACAUAUAUAAGGCAGGAUUGGUGGCUAAGGGAUUUAUGCAAACGUAUGGAGUGGAUUAUCAAGAAACUUUUGCUCCAGUUGCAAAACUUAACACUGUUCAAGUUCUACACUCCAUUGCAGUCAACAAUGAUUGGCCUCUUUAUCAGCUAGACGUAAAAAACGCAUUCCUAAAUGGUGGUCUCAAUGAAGAAGUCUACAUGGAUAUUCCACCAGGAUUCAAAGACGCUGAAAAAAAGAACCGAGUGUGCAAGUUAAAGAAAUCUUUGUAUGGCUUAACGCAAUCACUUAGGGCCUAAUUUGACGGUUUCACUUCACCUAUUAAGAAAGUUGGGUACAACCAAGGGCAAUCAGAUCAUACAAUGUUUUUCAAACAUUCAUCAGAUGGGAAAAUAGUUGUUCUUAUCGUCUAUGUAGACGACAUAAUUCUUACAGGUGAUGAUGAAGCAAAAAUGAUAAAUCUGAAAAACACCCUCUCUCAAGAAUUCGAAAUCAAGGACUUGGGAGCUCUUAGGUACUUCCUUGGCAUGGAGGUGGCUCGAACUUCAAGUGGAAUAUCAGUUUCUCAAUGGAAAUAUGUCCUUGAUCUUGAAAGGAAACCGGUAUGCUUGGAUGUAGACCAGCGGACACACCUAUGGAGCAGAAUGGCAAGCUUAGUGAUGAAGAAGAAAGCCCUCCGGUUAACAAAGGUCAAUACCAAAGACUUGUUGGGAAGUUGAUCUUUUUAUCCCAUACUAGGCCAAACAUAGCCUUUCCUGUUAGUGUGGUUAGUCAAUUCAUGCAAGCUCCCACUAAAGAACAUCUUAGUGCAGUUCACAAAAUUCUCCGAUACUUGAAAAUGACACCUGGAAAGGGGUUAUUUUUUGGUAAAAGUACCAAACGAAGAAUCGAAGUAUAUUCUGACGCAGAUUGGGCAGGUUCCAUGAAGGAUAGAAGGUCCACUUCAAGCUAUUGUACCUACGUAUGGAGUAAUUUGGUUACUUGGAGAAGUAAGAAGCAGUUUGUAAUGGCUCGAAGUAGUGCGUAAGCUGAGUUUCGGGCUAUUGCACUUGGUGUAUGUGAAGGACUAUGGCUAAAACAUGUGAUGGAGGAGUUGAAGAUUUCAACUAAGUUUCCAAUGAAAAUGUUUUGUGAUAAUCAAGCAGCCAUCAACAUCUCCCAUAAUCUGGUUCAUCAUGACAGAACCAAACAUGUGGAAAUAGACCGAUAUUUCAUCAAGGAGAAAGUUGAGAAUGGGGAGUUUUUAUUGCAGUACCCGCCUACCAAACUUCAAACUACAAACAUUCUUACAAAAGCUCUACCAAGACAACAUUUCGAUUCUCUUAUAAGCAAACUGGGAAUGAUCAAUAUCCAUUCCUCAGUUUGAGGAGGAGUGUUGAAACCGUAGGUUUGAUUUUUAGGAGUUUGAAUUUAAAAAUAAAAUCAGAAGAUAAGGCUUGACUGAGUCCUAUUAUUUUGGACUAUUUAGUUUAGAUAAGUCCUAGAUUUUUUGGAGUUUGAAUUUAAAAUAAAACCAGAAGAUAAGGCUUGAUUGAAUCCUCUUAUUAUGGAUUGUUUAGUUUAGAUGAGUCCUAGUGUGUUUAAAUUUGCUUUUAUCUCUAGUUUGAAUUAGAAAGAUUAUUAGAUGAUAUUUUGCAGGAUGGGAUUGCUUUGUCUAUUUAAGUUCUCGAUGUAAACCAAAAUUUUUCAAUAGAGUAUCAUUCAGUUUCUCUUCCAAAUUCAAUAGUAACCAACAAACAAAUGUCCAAAAAAGUUUAAGACACAAGUAGAUAAAGAAGAGAACAGAAGAGAAAAAAAACAUGCCAUACUGUAAUGGUAGUUAAAGUUCAAACAUAUUAAUUGAAGUACUAAGCAUAAUAUUUACCUCCAUCCCUGACUGCAGUAACAGUCAAUCCAGCACUAGUGCUUCCAAACCCAGUAGUAAUAACAGAUCUGUUGCUCAACUUGGCAGCAAACUUCAAGAACUGAGAUUUUCCAGUACCUAUGUGACUUAGAAGUUAUCAUGCUGUUUUUGGCAGUUCAAAAAAUUUAUCUGCUCCCUGAAAUCUCCUCUGUUAAUCAAAUUAUGAGAAAAGAAACACAAAACAAUCCUUAAGUUGAUGCCUAUUGAAGCCCAAAAAUCAAAGUUAGGGGUGCACUCAAUUUUAGGUAAGAAGUAAAAAUCCCCGGCAUAUUGUAGGGUCAUUUGAGAUUAAAAGAAAACAAAUUGUAAAUUAAUUUCUUUUUCUGGACAAGUAGUAGACAGCAAACAAAGUUGAUUCAACUCAAGCUAUAGACAAUGUUUGAGUCCACUCAACUCAACUCUAGUUCAUUAUUCAUGUGCUGGGGUCCAAAAGUGAAACAAACAGUACUACAUUCUCUUAACUCACAUGCAUGCCUUGAAAAUCUAAUUCACCUGACAAGACAUGCAAAAUACAUGUACUAAUGCAUUGCCAUCAUUUUCUAUUUUACUAUUGAUAGGAAUAAGAGUAAGAUAUCCAAGAGUUUGAGAGGCACAUGUCUACUAGCAUGUAUCAAGAAAUGGUUGUGAGCUUCUUUCAUUGGAAAGAGAGUUAUAUAUAUAAAAGGACACAAAACAGGAUGGGCUGUGGCAAGCACGCAGAAGGAAUACAGGCAACACCCUCAAAACAAGAUGGAAAAGAAAAAAAAAUGGAGACUUCAAGCCCUUCCAACCUAUCAAUGAAAUUCAAAAAACACACGCUCCCCAACAAGUCCACUGGCCAAACAAACAAUAACUUGAGAAUAAUUUCUUUCACUUUCAACUCCGAAAGCCCACUUGGCUCAAAAACUUGGUGACUCCUCUUCCCCCGAAGACACCAGGCUUGGUACAAUGAAGUUGUGAUCUACAUUUUCAUUUUCUUCACAGAUCAACAAAGCCAACUAGAAAGAUAUUCCUUUGACAGUCUAGACAAGAUGCAAACCACCUCAAAAAGAAUCAACCAUAGACCAGAGGUUACAGAACUGUUGUAUCAAGAGAUGUUUGGUGGACUUCUCAUCUCUCUUCGCAUACAACACAAUUCACCAGAGUUCUACCCAAACAGAGUUCCAAAUUUUUAUAAUGCACCUAUUGAAAUAAAAUGUUAAAAGUAGCUAAGCAGAAUUUUAUGACAAAAAAAAAAAUGCAUAACACUUUCCUUGCAUCAAAGAAUACACUGUCUAGAUGUUCCUAUAUAAUAGUAUCCAAGUUCACUACCCUAAAGAGGCUCGAUAGCAAGGGUUAGUAAUUGCAAUACAACAUUCCUAGGAAUUUU